UGGCCACGUGCUAGGGGUCUUGUUCUCACGGUUGCAAACAACCACACACUAUCUCAUCACCUUGCUUUCGUUGUCGAAGAUGCAUGUGUGAUAUGUUUGCAUAAGACACAAACGUUUUUUCUUGACUUUUAUCGAGUGUUGUCCAUGUCUCUUUCACACACGCACACACACUUUUUUCACUCACUCUUUCUAUUUCACUCUCUCUCUCUCUCUAGUUAGGGACUCUCUCACGUCCAUAAGUAUAUGGAUGUUUUGAAAAGUCAAACCUCAGAAAAGUUUGACCAGGUAUAUGUGGAUAAAAACAUUUACAUCUGGAAAGAUCAUUAGAUUCAUCACAACAUGUACUUACUUCAUACUAUCAUUUAUCUUUGGUAUUGUAGAUAUAAGUAAUUUCUUUAUAAACUUGGUCAAAGUUUUAAAAUUUUGACUUUAAGAAAAUGUUGGAACUACAUUAUUGAAUGGAGGGAGUAGCUCUUUCUCUCUCUCUGCUAUCUCUCACGGGCCUCCCCUCUCACACGAACACUCUAUACCGACGGAUUAUACACUCACUAUGUCAGCGUAUAGCUCAGUAUGUUGUUUAGUUGACCGGUCAACCAGUCCACAUGCUGCUUUGUCAGCUCAUGUUCUGUAUCUUCGUGUGCUGGCCCAUGUGGCAGUGGGUGAAAAUAAGUAAACUAGAGGCCCAUCUGACACGCGGAGAUGUAAACGAAAUUGAAACCACUCGGGGUAGCACCCCGCACGCUAGUAAAUUGAGGGAGCAUUGAGGACACACUUCUUCCGCGUGGAGGACGCACUCGCGCACAAUUCACCACUGCGCGGCGGCAUGCACAGAAGAACGCACUCGCGCACACCCAGCACACAACACACACCAGCACACGUGUACACCAGUGUCGCCGCCGGUUGAGAUGGGCCGCGAGGCAGCCAACAAGCGGAGGCGGCUCGAUCCAAAACCGCAUCCAGUAGCCUCCCCGGCGACAUGCUGCUCGUCAUCAUCGGCCUCCUCCCCACCAAAUCUGCCGUGUGGACCGCCCUGCUCUCCCGGCGGUGGCGCCCCCUCUGGCGCCGCGUCCCCCUCAACCUCACCGUCGACAGCUGCCUCUGCGACAGCGAUUGCAAAUGCAUGGCCGCAGUCUCCAAGAUCCUUUCAUCGCACCCUGGGCCAGCCAGACGCAUUGACAUCCGCAUGUUCAGUACCAACUGCAAGGUCCAACCCAAGUUCGACGAGUGGUUCUUAUCCCUGCCCUAGAUUAGCUCGAGGAGCUCAGCUUUGAAGCUGGACGAUGUCGCUCUCUGCCUCCAUCCGCGCUCCGCCUCGCGCCAACGCUGCUCCGCGCCAGCUUCAGCUCCUGCUAUCUUCCCCAGAUUAAUGACGUGCCCGCCCUUCUUCUCCCUCAACUCAAGCACCUCGACCUCUUCGACGUUGUCAUCUCAAAGAAGGCUAUGGAGCACCUGCUCCGCAGCUGUACUACGCUCGAGUACCUUCGUCUUGAGCAGAUCCAUAGGUUCAUUAGCCUCCAUAUCGCCUCGACGAAUCUCCGAUGGAUUUAUGUGUCUUGCUGGCCCCGCAACAAGACAUCAAUUGGGUAGAGAUCACUCCAGCUGUUCCACGUUAUGGUCAUUAAGAAUGCGCCUUUCCUUGAGAUAUUGCUGGUAUCAGAUCUAGAAGGUCCAAGAAAAAUCAGGGUCAUUGACGUGCCGAAAUUGACAGCGUUGGUGCACUCAUCUGCCAAAUUCUCCGAACUCUUUAUUGGAUCCGUAAUCGGGUACAACACUCAUCUUCUUCUCUGUCUUCUUGAAAUUCACAUUUUUAAAUUUCUUCUUGAUGUAUUUACGACCGUCUUCCAGAAAAUGAUUCCCACAAGCUUGACCCAGUCUAUGCGCAUAGUGAAGAUCUUGGCAAUAAAAUCUAUCGGCCCCAAUCUGGAUCAAGUUGUUGGAUUCCAUACAUGCUUUCCGUGCACGGAGAAGCUACUCAUUGAGGUGAAACUUCUUUCCUUUUAGUAAACGGUAAUCACAACGUAGCUCAAAUUUUUCGUAAUUUUCCCAAAUUACGAUGACAAGUGUAGUGUUCAAAACUGCAUCUACGCACUGCACCAAAUGAAAUGUUUUUAGUAUUUUUUUUCUCACGUGAUCACCCGCAUCGUUUUUUUGUUGUAGUACUAUAGUAGCCUAGGCUAGUCAUAGUGGAAAGUAACUUAGACUACUCCAGUAACUCGAUGGUUACCCUAAGAGCAAGUACUAUCUCUGUCCUGGUUUACUCUUCCUAUUUUGUAGUAUCAAAAUUUGACCAUAGAUUUAACUGAAAAAAUGUUAAUGCAUGUCACUAAGAACUAUACCAUUGGAUCCGUAUUUGAACAUAAUUUCAAACGGUGUAAUUUUUAGUGGCAUGCAUUGGCAUUUUCUUGCAUAAAUAUAUGGUCAAAAUUUUAUACUAAAUAAGAGGUAUUACAAAAGUGGGCUAUAACGGCCCUCCACUAUGUAGGCCAAAACACAUGCCAAAUUCACUUGUGAUGCAUUUGGCAUCGAUGCCCCUCCACUGCUCACCUGGUGCCCUAAUCUGGAUCACCUACUUUGCUCCGGCGCCAAAUUAACUCACGCAAUGAAAAAACACUUGCGUGGGAGAGAGAGAGAGGACUAAGGCAAUAAAAACACUUGUUUGGGAGAGUGAGAGGCUGGUGUAGUUGGUUUGAUUGAUUUGUUUAUACAUGUGGGUCUGUGUGCACAACGGUGCCAACUCUCUCACAUCGCGAGAGCGGUGCCAAAAUCUUUUGAUUUGACAUCAAUGUGUAUUAUGGCAUCAGCCACAUAGUGGAAGGCAACAAAUGACCAAGCUCUUCACGUACUCCUAGGUAAAUGAGAGGAAAGAGAAAGAGAGAGAGAGAGAGAGUGAAAAAAUAUCACUAGCCAGCCAACCCUAUUGUAUGAGCGAAUGAUAUUGGUACCUCUUGAUGACACGGCAAUCUUAUACAGCCAGCUGCUCUAAUAUGUUCUCUUCUUUUGCAGAUAAAAAAAGACCUGAAAGUGAAAAAUGUGCUACACUAUAACAAUCUCAUCGAAUGCCUUGAUCUCCAUCUUAUAGAAAUUGAUUUGAUCGACUACCGAGGCAGCACAUCUGAGAUUAAAUUGGCUAGGUUCUUUGUUCUGGAGGCAAGUGUGCUCAAGGUAAUGAGGUUUGGCGUUCUGUGGCGCAACAAUUUAUGGCAUGCUAAUCACCGCAAGCUUCUAAGCCUAAAUGACAAAGUCUCCGCAGAAGCUUAAUUUGUUUUUUCAAACAUCAAGUGGCCAGAGACUUGAAAACUUAUUUGCCCAUUAGUGACUUGUUAGGGCGGUGGAUUUUUUAUACGAUAAUGUUGCAUCCACCUAAAGUAACGAAAGUUCUUACGUGAACUUCCUAGUAAUUCCCUCUUCGUAGGUGCAGCAUUACUCCUAACAUUUGUAAUAUCAGUUUGAAACUUGUAAUAUUGUCGUGUCCUAUUCCUGCAUUUUCAAAAUCCUGCGAAUCAAACAGGUCCUGAGUUGGUGAUGAUGUUGUGCCUGCCAUCUUUCACCAAUAGCCGUCGGAUCUAGAUCUGACGCAUACAAACCAAACUUCUCCAGUUUUGCAAAAAGAUGCCCGCACUUGUUCCCUAUUUACAAACAACUCCUUAUCUCUCACAAUCAGCCUUAUCUCCUCCCCACCACAUCUAGAAGGCCAUGGAAAAAUCUGGCGCGAUGGCCGCUGUCGGCGCCGCCCACCCCCCAAUCUUGGUGUUCCGUGCAAUGCACGGGCAUCUACGCAUGGGAAAUUAUGUCGAACAUGGCUAGUUGUAAGCAGGCUAGGUCUACAGCCAUGAUGAUAGUGACUGCAGAAGGUGAGGCUGACUGUGGUAUGCCGAACACGGCGCCUAUACUCAGGUGUCAUCUCUGGCGUAGGGUCUUGUCACUUCACUGUGAGGAGCAGCACGUAAUAAUUUGACCAACGGAUAGUACAAUGCUACUACAUUGGUAGUACUACUACUACUAGUACUAGCACCACCGUCCGGAUUUAGUAGUACUACCACGUCCAUUUGGAUUUAGUAUUUGACUAGCAAUAUCUAGUAAGGCAUGUCACAAAAAAUGUAUUACUCCCUCUAUAAAUAAAUACAUGGUGUAUUGUUUUAUUCCUAUCGAUGAGGUAACUUAAUGUCUUUUUGCUACUUAAUAGGAUUACAUGCAAUGAACUAACCACUGCAUGUGAUGUUUGGUAGUCUCAAGUCAUUGAAAGCAUGCACGGGCAUGGAGGGGGACGCGGCUUCAUUGACUUACUGCACCUCCCUUUGGGUGUAUGACACGUGGGCCCAACGGGUGGCGGCCAACCUGUCAUACAGCCAAUGGCAGGUGCAGUAGAGGGGCGAGGAGUAGAUGGCCAACACGCACGUGAAUUCAACAUAGUCUGCACUUCUCAUAUAAAGGCUCCCGCCAAUCCAAUCUACGAAAUCCUAUGCACCUACGUACCCAAGGGCAAGAGUGAUCACUCCAGUCGCAAGAUCAGUUGACUAGAAGCUAGACCCAUGGAGGCGAUGAGCGCGAGCAUCAGCCGACUGUGCCAGGUGGUCCACGACGCCGGCCUGCGGCCCGGCACCGAGGAACGUCUCCAGGUAGUGCUUGAGGCCGCCAGGGCGAGGGCCGCUUGGACGACAGCUUCGUCUCCUUGUUCGACGAGGUCCUUGUCGGCUUCCUCGGCAAGUUCACCAUUGUCAAGAAGCUCGCGAACGACCUUGACGUACGCCUCCAGCCCACGCGCCCAGGCUCUGCGAUGCCUGCCACCCUCAACGGCCUUUAUGGUGACAACCUCUUCGACGCACUGGUGGCCCUGUGACUGCCCGCCGUCGCGCCGGAGAAUGUCCACCUCAAGGUCGCGCUCGCCGCACGGCGCCUGGCGCAGCAAGACACCAUCGACAUAAUCACCCACGUCUACGCGCAAAUCAUCCACAAGGACUACUACAUGCAAGAGGAGGACGAUAGGAUGCUGGCCUUCUUGGACUACAGGGCAACCUUGGACGGCAUUGUUCAGAAGCACGUUGAGCUUGCCGCCAAUGCCGUUGCUCCUCACACGUGGGUUGGUGACCCGGUGCACUAGGGCGUGAGGAUGUUGUUGAUGGAUCCGUAUGUAUCUUUAGCUUUCCGUCAAAUCCAUGUAGUAGUAUAUGGUACUACUAGUAAUUAUCUUACCUUUCGCAUCAACUUCAUAAUUUUCCUACGUACUCCAUGCAUGAACCGCGCCAGAACCAAACUUCUCAUUACUCUAGGGAAAAUCGUUAUUUCUAUCUAUCGGUCGCCCCAUGGAGCAAAACCAAAUUUUACAAGUUACAAGUUCAAAAGGAAAAGCCUGCCAUGUUCACGUUGCACCCUCACACGGUUUGUCCGGCACGCCGCUCAAGGGGGAAUGCGUGCUGUGUUGCAUUUUCACUUACAAGUGGGACCGCAGUUGAGCAAACCAACUAUCAGCAAACCCCCACCCCGCCCACCGCGUGAUGGCUGAGAAAACAGGAGGGAGAAGAGAUGGUUGUAGCUAGCACGGACUCCAAGAAAAUUGGUGUCGGAUGGGACUCGUGUGGGUGGCGUGUGCCGUACUGCUAGACAUGAAUGCUAGUUAUGGCCCAUGCCACCCCACUAUAUCGAUGUGCUGGUUACAUAGAACAAAUUUCCUGGAGUCCGUGCUCAGCCCUCCUCUAUGUCUCUUCUCAGCCAGCCAGCAGACACGAGGAGCCCAUCGUCUGUUUGCUCAUAUGCAGUCCCACAUGUCAGUGAAAACGCAAGAGGACCCACUGAACCUACACAUCUUUCACCUCGACGUGCUGGUGAUGAAAAACAAAUCCAAUAAAGAUCUUCGGUGGCCUCUUUUGGAGUUUCUCAAGAGUAGUAAGAUUCUAUUUAUAGUUUAACCCAAGAUGCACAUCACGUGGCUUCACCUACCACUCUAUUUUCUUGCAUGACACGACCUAGAUGUUGGAUGUCCCACGUGUCGGCAAAAGGAGGAAGAACUCGACCAAAUCUUCAGUUGUGCUCUCGGAUUAGACUAGUUGUGCUAACUUAAAAUUUUAUUGUGUAGAAUGGAUGCAAGUUUUGGUAUUGGGAAGAAGAGUGCAACGAAAUAUAGAUAGAGCGCAAAUUAGUAGAUGUUCUAGCACUUUUAGCUAGCAUAGAGGCUAGAGAUGAGACUAGUGCACUUGUUGAUAGAAUAAAGGCUAGACACGUCUACUUCUUUACACUAGAAGAAGAAAGAAGCAUGCAAGAUCGAGCCUCCGCAGAUCAGCAAUGAAUGCAUCGAGAAGGCACUAAUCCAACUUACAGGAGCAGUUAUGGAAGUUGGACAUCUUCUAAAAUGUAUUGUUGUGGUUCUUGUUUUCUUUGGUCUUGCUUUUCUAGUCAAAAUUUUGGUGAUGUAUUUCCAUGUACCAAAAAAUCAAUGAUGAAAAAAAGAUAUGUGUUUGCAAAGAAAAAUGUACGCGGCCGGGAUGCGGUCGCGUGUUCGGCGCACGACCACCGCAUCCAAGAAAUGGCCCGGACACGACCCCAUUGCCCUACCCAAACGGACAGAUCUGGGCAAAACGGAGGUCCGUUUGGGGUCGUGCGUUGGAGUUGGCCUUACAAGUGGGACCGCAGUUGAGGAAACCGACUAUCAGCAAACCCCCACCUCGCCCGCCGCGCGAUGGCUGAGUUAGAGAAACGACGAGGUUGAAGAGAUUGCUGUAGCACGGACUCCAAGAAAUAUGGUUUCAGAUGGAAGUCGUGUUGGUGGUGUGUGCCGUACUCCUGGACGUGAAUGCUUGUUCUGGCCCAUGCCACCCUACUACUCCUACUACUUAGGUGGUGUUUGGUUCUCUAGUCCUAGGACUUUUUCUAGUCCCUAGGACUUUUUGAAAAAGACUCUCAAGGAGGUGCUUCUAAGGACUUUUAGCAAAAAGUCCCAAAAAAGUCCCUGGAACCAAACACCCCCUUAUAGUAGUAGUAGUAUCGAGGAUUCGAGGUGCUGGUUACAUACAGCGAACACAUUAACAUAUGGCCCACCUCACACUGUGGCCAAAUUUCUUAGAGUCUGUGCUAGGUUAAAAAGUGUUCUUUGUGAGGAUGGGUGGCUGGUCUCAAGUUUAAAACUUGUUGUAUUAUGUACGUAGACGUAGAGAUAGUGCAGCAUGUGAAGCUAGUACAAAUAGUGUACUAUUGUUGAUUGGCCUCAUCCGAUAACCUGUUGCAAUGCACGUACAAUUAUGUAUUCGGAAAAUAUUUUUUUGCCUCGUCGCAGCACCCACUCAGAGAAGCAACUCGAAAGCCAUUCAUAAAUUUAGUAAGUUUAUCACAGGCAUAUCAUUUUAUUACAUACAACAGAUCAUCAACCCACAAUGACAACGAGGAUACAUUAUAAAUACUAAAGUUUUCAUCACACAACAAAUAACAAGCAAUGAAAUGAACUUCAACUCAACCAAUCCUCGGCGUUGGAAACACUUGCUUUGAACCACAAGUGAUUCUCUCGGAAUGGCCAGCUACUGUCAAUCUCGAGACCAACAUAAAACUGAUCAUCCAGGCUGAAGCGACCUACUAUAUCACGACCAGGGUAGGGAACCACCGCAAUGUCUGAUGUAUAGAUACAGUUGCUUCUCAUAAAUGGUAGUAAUGUUGUGUCAACAAUAGUUGGAUCGCCUUUCACCAUCAUUGGAUAGUUUUGUCCAAGGAAGAGCGAGUUUGCACCAAGACUAUCAAUACUGUACCAGGGAGAAGGUGUUGGCGCUAGCACAGUAGUAUCCAUCCCGAAUACCAUACAAUGGGUGUUGGAAUAGGUCCGGAGAGUGCGACCAUGGGAGACAACACCUGCUUCCUUAGUAGUAACAUCAGUAGUGGGCUGUAUACAGACAAGAAGGAGUGAUCCAUCAGAAGUUGCCAGGCGCCAUUGAGUAUAUCGGCCCUCCUCGUCCUCAUCUCCCCCUUGGUUAUAAAUUUUUUCAAGUAUAGGUGGUGGAAUGUCCACAAGACCUUGGAAACACAAGAAGAAGGUUAAUUAGUAGAGAAGGGAAACUUGCUAACUCGCAUGCAUGUGGAUGAAACAAUUAUAAUUAUGGUGGAAGACAAACGUACCGAAACUACGAGGAUCCCAUGCAAAAACAGUGCCACGAGUGGUGGCAGCAAACACAAGACCCUCUUAUUCAAUUGCAUCACAGUAUACAUCCGUGUAUAGAAUCUAAUUUUUUAGCAAUAUCCAUCUAGUCGAACCACGAAUGACGGCAACAAGCUUGUCGAAGAUAGCAACAACUUGAUAGUUCUUGUAAUUCCAAGAGCGGUUGGGAACUCGAGAAAUUGCUAUCUUCCGUAGAUGAUAGUCACCAUGAUCAUAUUUGAACAUACGUAGAUCAUCUGUUGCUCAACCUCAGGGCACUCGGAGAUUUUUGGAAGUGGAAUCCGCUGACGAGUGUACACAUUCACAAGUUCCCACUCGCAAUUGUACCCAAUAUAAACAACCCAAUAUUCAUUUGCGUCUGCCCAAGCCUUGCCCUCAAGCGAUGGCAUCUUAACAUCAUACGUAUCAUUAUCAAGCGGCAUCAACUUGCACAAGGCGAGGCUUCCCUUGUCCCCGCACCAGUCAGCAAGGUCACGACGAAGAAGAUAGGGGAGAUCAAACUGCUCCUGGACCCUUGGGUUCCUUGUAAUGAUGUUACUAGUUGAGUCAAGAAUGGGCUUGAACGAACCUGCCAUGCUAGCCGAGGUGAUGAUGUCGCACCGAUCAAUGAGUUCCCCCACCACGUCAUCUUUCAGAUCGGGGCAAGAAUAACGGGGUCGUUUCCAGCCUGUUCCCUCCAUGGAGAAGACGAUCGAACAAUGGCAGAAGGAAGGGUGAAGGCAAAUGGAGGAGGGAGGAAGAGCGUGUGACAGCAGUUCCAAAUCAAGAGGGAAAGGCGAAGAGUCGAUGGACGGUUGCCAGUUUGCCACGGUACAUGAAGAGGCGCCCCGACCUACACGUCCUUUCGGAAAUUGUACAAAAGGACUCGUCGUCUUCUCACUGACAUGUUGGAACGGGAUCACAUGUCAACGAAACAUGGUGUGUAAUUUCUCGUGCAAAAUGCGAUCUGGCCGCUUUGUCCCGAGGUGCCGCAUUAGUUAUCGACCUUUAUUUUUUAACAUACAAUCUAAAUGGAUAGCUCAUGUGGUCAUCACACGUGAGCGGAUAUAUAGGUGGGCUAGGUGGGUAGUCGGCAACAACCUAAGUGCUAAAAGAGUUGAUCUCGAAAAAAGAGUUGAUCCAAUGCUUGGUUUUGUUUGGAUUUUCCAACUAUGACCAUUGGAUAGAGUGAAUCAAUGGCUUACGAUCAAAGUUAUUCUCAUUCUAUAGAAUGGUAUAGGAACGUGGAGAGAUUUGGUUGAUUAUAUAUCGCUGAAUAAUAUAAAAUAUUAUGAGUGCAGACGCUCCACCCCGAGGUUUGUAGCUCCUUCUCGGUCGUCGGGAAUCUAUGUUCUUCCACUCUUUCGUUGAAGACAUGAGCUUUGUUCAUCCUAUUGCCGACACACGGGACAUCUAUAUGCCUCCAUUUUACAAAAUCAUACUAUAUGCCUCCAUGACACGCGGGACAUCUAGCAUCAAGGUGGCGUGUCAUGCAAUAAAAUGGACAUAUGCAGUGCGUAAGUGAGUUGUGCACUUCGAUGGCACCUAGUACUACGCAAUAUUUUUUCUCCUUGAUGGCACGUGAAUAGUGCACGUACUCAAUGACAGAGCACGCGAUGGUAGCCAUGGACAUGGUCGGCCCUUUUUUAAGAGAGUACUAAUAAAUAACUUUGAUGUGUCCCGUCAACUCGCAGAACGACGAGAAGCUUUCUUACUACGCCUCCUCCCUCGCCAACGCGUGCACGGUGGCUCACAGCACAAGGAGAAACUUUUGCUUACAAGCGGUGGACGUGCAGCAGUUCAUUUGGUGUUAGAUUGCCAGAAGUACUACUGUAGUACCAUCAUUAUUGUUCGACUUCCAGAAGAGGAGAAGAGCCAAGCACAAGGUCACCUACUAACCUAGUACGGUACUACUAUAGCCAAUGCUGGUCCACCUGUUUAGAGCAUGGUUAAUUAAUAUAGCGGUUCUUGCAGCGGCACAUCAUUUAGAGCAAGUACUCUCUUUGUAGGAACAAAGGAAGUGAAACAAAAGUUGGAGUCGAUGCUAUAUUGCCAAUUAAAACAUGAUUACAUAGGGGAAAAAUCCUAUAGAAUUCUAUCCUAUGAAUCAAACGACCAAUGUAGGAAAAUUAUGAGGGGGGUCUCUCCAACAGUGUUCGUUGGCUCGCACCUAGCAUCACGGUGGUCGAACUUGGAGUCAUUCAUCUGGUACACGUGGCAUCUCAGAUCUGGACACAAGGUGACGUGACCUCUCACUUCCUCCACCAUUUGAACUGGCGCACCGGUGGAGGGCUAGCAUACUCCAAUAUUAGGUUGGCUCUAUGUGAUGUGGCAACUUCAUAUACUAACCGGAUGUUGGCUAUACUACUACGGUACUCACACUCCAAGAAGUGACUCGAAAACCAUUCAUAAAUUAAGUCUAUGACAUGCAUUUGCAACUGAAAUGUACCAUUCAUUAAAUACAACAAGUCAUCAACACACAACGACAACGAGGAUACAUGUUGGAUUAUAGAUUAUUUCCAACAAAACAUUCUAGCAAAUACUAAAGUUUUCAUCACACAAAAAAUAACAAGCAAUGAAAUGAACUUCAACUCAACCAAUCCUCGGCGUUGGAAAUGCUUGCUUUGAACCAUAGGUGCUCUGGGAAGGGCCAGCUAUUGUCAAUAUCGAGAGCAAUGCAGGACUGAUCAUCUAGGCUGAAGUGGCAUAUAUCAGGACCAGGGUAGGGAACCACCGAAAUGUCCAAGGUAUAGAUACAGUUGCUUCUCAUAAAUGGUAGUAACAUUGUGUCAACAGCAGCUGGAUCACCUUUCACCAUCAUUGGAUAGUUUGGUCCAAGGAAGAGCGACUUUGCUCCAAGACUAUCAAUACUGAACCAGGGAGAAGGUGUUGGCACUAGCACACUAGUAUCCGUCCUGAAUACCAUGCAACGGCUGUUGGAAUAGGUCAGGAAAGGGCGACCAUGGGAGACAACACCUGCUUCCUCAGUAGUAACAGUCUGAGUGCACUGUAUAUAGACAAGAAGAGGUGAUCCAUCGGAAUUAGUUGCCAGGCGCCACUGAGUAUAUAAGUUCUGCUCCUCCUCAUGCUCGUGAUCAUCACCAUCAUCAUCUCCCCCUUGCUUAUAAAUUUUUUCAAGUAUAGGUGGUGGAAUGUUCACAGGACCUUGGAAACACAAGAAGAAGGUUAAUUAGUAAAGGGAAACUUGCUAACCCGCAUGCAUGUGGAUGAAACAAUUAUAAUUACAAUGGAAGACAAACAUACCGAAACUAUGAGGAUCCCAUGCAAAAGUAGUGCCACAACACAAGAUCCUUGUAUUCAAUUGCAUCAUAGUACACAUCCGUGUAUAGAAACUGAUUUUUGAGCAAUAUCCAUCCAGUCGAACCACAAAGGACGGCAACAAGCUUGUCGAAGAUAGCAACAACUUGAUAGUUCUUGUAAUUCCAAGAGCGGUUGGGAACUCGAAAAAUUUCUAUCUUCAGUAGAUGACAGUCACCAUGAUUGUAUUUGAACGUACGUAGAUAAUCUGUGUGCUCAACCUUAGGGCACUCUGAGAUUUUUGGAAGUGGAAUCCGCUGACGAGUGUACACAUUCACAAGUUCCCACUCGCAAUUGUACCCAAUAUAAACAACCCAAUCUCCAUUUUCGCCAGCCCAGGACUUACCCUUAAGUGAUGGCAUCUUGACAUCACACGUAUCAUUAUCAAGCGGUAUCAACUUGCACAAGGCGAGGCCUCCGUCGUCCGCACCCAUGCGAACAGACUUAUAGCAAAGAAGAUAAGGGAGAUCAAGCUGCUCCUGGACCCUUGGGUUCCUUGUAAUGAUGUUAUUAGUUGAGUCGAGAAUGGGCUUGAACCAACCUGCCAUGCUAGCCGAGGUGAUGACGUCGCACCGAUCAAUGAGUUCCCCCACCAUGUCAUCUUUCAGAUCGGGGCAAGAAUAACGGGGUCGUUUCCGGCUUGUUCCCUCCAUGGAGAAGACGAUCGAACAAUGGCAGAAGGAAGGGUGAAGGCAAAUGGAGGAGGGAGGAAGAGCGUGCGACAACAGUUCCAAAUCGAGAGGGAAAGGCGAAGAGUCGAUGGACGGUUGCCAGUUUGCCAUGGUAUACAAAGAGGCGCCCCGGCCUACACGUCCUUUCGGAAAUUGUACAAAAGGACUCGUCAUCGUCUCACUGACAUGUUGGAACGGGACCACAUGUCAACGAAACAUGGUGUGUAAUUUCUCGUGCAAAAUGCAAUCUGGCCGCGUUGGCCCGAGGUGCCGCAUUACUUCUUGACUUUAUUUUUUUAAUGUUGUGCCGUUCAAUUUUGAAGCACGACUAACUGGUACUGUUUGCAGAGAAAAUAUAAACUACUCUACCAGUACUCCACCUCUAGUACUAGUAGUAUAAAAAAGAUAUAUAGGCUAGAGCUUCAGAGCUUUCUUGCUAAGGGCUGCCCGCUUGCUUCUCACACUAUCACCCUCUCUCCAGAUCUAAAAAGACGACCUCUCUCUCCCUCCUCACCGGUGGUCACAGAUCCGCCGGGGAAGAAAAGGACAUGCAGUGUUGACGCACUCGUCGUUGGCGAGUGAGGUCACGCACUAAUGACAAGGUUGUCCUCUCAGACCUAGCACCCGCACGGGAUGGCCACCGUCCCCAAGCUCGUUGUCGUAGUGCGUGCGGAGGACGACAACCACGAGCGAAGCCACUUCCCGCCGACCCUCAGGUAUGCUACCUCUUUUCAAACCAUACCCUUGUUCUAUUGCCCCAUCUACCAUGUCGCUGCAUGUGGAUCUUUUUCCACUCCACCAUCUUCCAAAUUUGCUAUCCUCUGCUCUGCUGGUCACGCAGACGAAAACCUUAAUUUGCACUAUUAAAGGAAACACUACUUCAUGCAGACUAAUCCAUGUCUGGGUUUAAUAACGAAAGGAAGGGAGACUGUAUUGUCCAAGAGAGUAGGCAUCAAACCCGCAUCUAGGUUGAAAAGAGGAAAAUCAGUAGCUAAGGAACGAGUCGUGUGUCUCUUGGUUGAAGAAGGGUAGAAAGGCAUGACAACGCAAUAGAGAAUGACGAGGUCGAUCGGUUUGUUGUCCUCACAUAGGAAAAAGGUGGCUAAACAUAACAAAAAUGGGACGUAAUCCACAUGUGCUACCUGGAUAUUUGUUGCUCUGGGCAACCAUACCUCCCUCACCACUCUAUGCGUCCGUGGGGUACAUCGUACUGGUGCACCAACUGUCCGAAUGGGCCUACCAUGCUCCUAGUGUCACUUCUUUACUGUUAGUAUAAUGCCAGCAGUCAAGUCAAGCAAUGCUACUGCUCAAGUGAUGCCACAUUUAACUAAUACCGCACUCGGUCUAAAGCCACCGAUAAAUUUAAGCAAUGCCAUUUAAUGUCACUGGAUUAUUUCAGGGUUAGCUAUUGAUUGUGGAUGUAUUGAAGAUUUUUCAGCUAAGGCAUUCUAAUGUUGUUGCACAGCCAGUAUACCAACGAUGAAACUUGUUACUACCUUCAGUUUUUUGCACUAUUAAUGCUUAUAGAUUAAAUACCACACUUUCAUGAGAUAAGUUAAUUUUUUUUUGUACAGUGUCACCAAAAUGCCAAGGUGAUGAUGUCAUUUUAUUUUGGUUAAACUGCACAAAAAAUUAUGAAGAUAAGAGGAAAGGUCAAGAGUGGGCACCUCCUCCUCCGGCUAUUCUCUUGAUUCGUUCGAUCAAGUUUUUAUGUUUGAUCGAUUAUCAAGAUUGGGAUAGCAAUUUUUAAGCCCCCCCCCCCCGAGUUCGAAAUGAUAUUUACCUUGGAGGUACAUGGUUUGCAAUUUUUUAUACUGUCAUUAGUUAAUCAUGCUAGUUACCUUCAGACUUUUGUAUUUGGUUUAAUGCUCAUGCACAGCUAGUAUACCAAUGCUGAAACGUGUUACCUUUACAUUUUGUAUUGUUAAUUCUUAUAGAAAUCUUCCAGUGCCAGAGUUUAUUGAAAUCUAUUUAGUAAAACCAUUAUACUAUACCCUGUAAUAAAAUAACUACUCUACUGUUGCACUAGCCACUGGAUUAGUGUAUAUUUGUAGUAUUCAAAAUUUCAAAUGGUGUUGCAUUAGCGUAUGGACAUAAAUAAAGUGUGGCAAGGUUUCCCAGAUAUGUGAUCAAGAAAACUACUACCUGUUUAUCUAAAUACUAGUAGAUGUUUGGGUACUUUAAACUGAACCGCGAAAACAUCUUAUAUUAAGGAACAGAGGGUGUAGAGUUCACUCAAAUUAUCCCGGUAAAGCUAGUCACACCUUUGUUAAAAUUAAUGUUCAUUAUGUUAUCGGAGGAGGUCUGUAAGUUUGUCUCUAAUGCCUGUCGACUACAUACCUGACAUCAUGAUGUAAUGUUAAGUCAUUUCCUUUUGUACAGUGUCACUGAAUUGUCAAGGCGGUGAUGGCAUUUUAUUUAGUUGAACUGCACAAAAUAUGCUUAAAAAAAGAGGAAAGGUCAAGAAUCGAUCAUUCUUUCAGAAAGAACUAUAUAUGCCUUUCUGACAUCAACCUCUCUUGCCUUAUUUAUUCCUUCAAACAGGUGGUUAGAAACAGUCUUGCUACCUUUUACCAUUAAGAAAUUGGAAUGCUUAUAUUUGUGAGUUUAUGCUUCAACUAGUGCCACUUUUAUAGUAAUCACACUUUCAAUAUCUAUGCAAAUAGGGAUGCUCGAUUUUAGUGGAACUUCACAAAAAGUCCAACUGGUUCAACAUUAGGAGCAUGUUUUCUUCCAAACCUUUAUAUCCAAUUGGUGGCACUAUGAGAUUUUCAUUAAGAAGGUACAUGGUUUGCUACUACCUUGCUACUCUUUUUGUACUGUCAUUAGAUAGUAAUACUAGUGGUUUGCAUGUGAAUUUAUUGGCAGGGUGGACCUACAUUGGAGGUGCAGGACAGGAUUCAAUGAUUGGAUGCUCAAUUUUGGUUGUACCGAUUUCACCUCUUCCAUCACUGCGAACAUGGAUAUCCUUGGUGAGGGAAUCCUGGAUUAGGGGGUCUCCGGACAGCUGGACUAUAUCCUUUGGCCGGACUGUUGGACUAUGAAGAUACAAGAUUGAAGACUUCGUCCCGUGUCCGGAUGGGACUUUCCUUGGAGUGGAAGGCAAGCUUGGCAAUACGGAUAUGUAGAUCUCCUCCCUUGUAACCGACUCUGUGUAACCCUAGCCCCCUCUGGUGUCUAUAUAAACCGGAGGGUUUAGUCCGUAGGACAACAUACAAUCAUACCAUAGGCUAGCUUCUAGGGUUUAGCCUCUACGAUCUCGUGGUAGAUCAACUCUUGUAAUACUCAUAUCAUCAAGAUCAAUCAAGCAGGACGUAGGGUAUUACCUCCAUCAAGAGGGCCUGAACCUGGGUAAACAUCGUGUCCCCUGCCUCCUGUUACCAUCCACCUUAGACGCAUAGUUCGGGACCCCCUACCCGAGAUCCGCCAGUUUUGACACUGACAUUGGUGCUUUCAUUGAGAGUUCCACUGUGUCAUCACCGUAAGGCUUGAUGGCUCCUUCGAUCAUCGGUAGCGAUGCGGUCCAGGGUGAGGUUUUCCUCACCGGAUAGAUCUUCAUAUUCGGCGGCUUCGCACUGCGGGCCAACUCGCUUGGCCAUCUGGAGUAGAUUGAGAGCUACGCCCCUGGCCAUCAGGUCAGGUUCGGAAACUUAAACUACACUGCCGACAUCCGCGGAGACUUGAUCUUCGACGGAUUCGAGCCCAUGUCAGGUGCGCUGCACGAUCACGAUGGGCAUGAUUUAGCUCUGUCGUCGGACAAUGCUCGGGAGAUCACACCUACAACUACUCCGGCCUUCAAUCUAGAGCAAAUUGCGCAAUCCGAGGAUGGAAGGAUAGACCCCGCCACGGAGGCCGCACUCUCAGUGGCGAUGGAGCCGUAUACUGACUUCACCCCUUACGAGAACCGUGUUGCCGAACCACUGGAUUCUUCUCCGGCCACGGACUCCGAGCCGCCUGCAUCCGUGCCUAUCGAAUCUGAUUGGGCGCCGAUCAUGGAGUUCACCUCCGCGGAUAUCUUUCAGCACUCACCUUUCGGUGACGUGCUAAAUUCAUUAAGGUCUCUCUCCUUGUCAGGAGAUCCUUGGCCGAACUAUGUCCGGCUAGAAUGGGAUGCCGACGAUGAAGAAAUUCUCUGCCCACCCACCACCCACUUAGUGGCCUCUGUCGACGAUUUAACUGACAUGCUCGAUUUCGACUCCGCAAACAUCGACGGCAUGGACAAUGAUGCAGGAGAGGAACAGGAACUAGUGCCCACAGGGCAAUGGAUAGCCACUUCAUCACAUGACAUAUACAUGGUGGAUACACCCAAAGAAAACGAUGACGAGGAACGGGAGGAGACAGCGGAGGAUGACCCCUCCAAGAAGCAAACAAAGUGUCGGAGUAGGCACCGCUCCAAAUCCCGCCUCGGCAAAAACAGCGAUAACAGCGCAAGAGAAAAUAACAAUCCAGUCGACUCCAGAGGAAACAACGACCACAUUGCCCCGGCGGCAGAGCACGAUGAAGCUGCAAACGGCGAACAUAGUAUGGAUUCGACGUACGAACACGGCGACGCCGAGGAUAAACCUCAUCAAACCCCCUCUGGGGAGGAAAACAGUCCAGACGAAGAUGCACACAUCAUCCCGGAAACACACUUGGAGCAAGAGAACCUCCGCAGAAGGCUUAUUGCCACAGCGAGGAGUCUGAAGAAGCAGAAGCAAAGGCUUAAGGCCGGACAAAAUACGCUCAACAGCAGGUGGAACAAAGUGCUCGACAAUGAAGAAAAGUAUGGUGGAGGUUACCACACAAAGAGCUAUACAAAGCGCAAGCUAUUACCCGAAUUCGACGAUGAGGCCUUAGAGCCCAUACAGCUAAAAAAUAAAACGGCCAACCGGCCGGAUCAACCACCUUGUGACCGCGAUAGAGUGGCUAACAAGGCCGCACAGUCAACACACGAUCUACGUGAGGACUUGCGCCAAAAAUACAGUAUGACCAGGUCCAUCUAUGGAUCUAGGAAGCGCGCUUCGGCACAAAAUCAAAUACUACAACCGUCCGAAUGCCAUGAUACAUCCAAAUACAGGGGUGCCGCACACCCCCUAUGUUUCACCGAUGAGGUGCUGGACCACAAAUUUCCAUAAGGAUUUAAACCAGUGAACAUAGAGUCAUACGACGGGACCACAGACCCUGGGGUCUGGAUUGAGGAAUUUAUCCUCCAUAUCCAUAUGGCUUGCGGAGACGAUCUCCACGCCAUCAAGUACUUGCCCCUCAAGCUUAAAGGACCAGCUCGGCACUGCUGAAAAGCCUCCCCGAAAACUUAAUUGGAAGUUGGGAGGAGCUCGAGGAUGCUUUUCGGGCUAAUUUUCAAGGGACCUAUGUUCGACCUCCGGAUGUAGACGAUUUAAGUCAUAUAAUUCAGUAGCGCGGAGAGUCAGCCCGAAAGCUUUGGAACAGGUUUCUCACUAAGAAGAACCAAAUCGUCGACUGCCCGGACGCCGAGGCCUUAGCAGCUUUCAAGCACAGCGUCCGAGACGAAUGGCUCUCCAGACACCUCGGCCAAGAAAAACCGAGAACAAUGGCAGCCCUGACAAGCCUCAUGACCCACUUUUGCAUGGGCGAAGAUAACUGGUUAGCCCACAGUAGCACCAGCGACCCAAGCACGUCCGAAGUCAGGGAUCGCAACAGAAAACCACGACGCAGUAAAAACAAGCGUCGAAAUAAAGAAGAUAGCCCAGAUAAUACGGUGGUAAACGUCGGAUUCAGGGGCUCUCGACCAGGUCAGCGGAAAAAGCCUUUCAAAGGCAGCAGAGAUGGACCGUCCAUCCUAAACAAGAUUUUAGACAAACUAUGUCAGAUUCAUGGCACCCCUGAUAAACCUGCAAACCACACCCAUAGAGAAUGCUGGGUCUUCAAGCAGGCCGGUAAGCUAAACGCCGAACACAAGGGGGGAGACACCAAGUGAAGAUGAGGAUGAACCUCGCCAGCAAAGCACUGGAGGACAUAAAAAGUUCCCACCAGAGGUUAAAACGGUAAACAUGAUCCACGUGACAAAGAGGAGAAGCAAACAUGCACUCCGAAACACAUGCGCCGUAGAGCCCUUCACCCCUAAGUUCAACCCCUGGUUGGCUUGCCCGAUCACUUUUGAUCGCGGGGAUCACGCGACAAGCAUCCGGCAUGAAGGAUUGGCUGCCUUGGUGCUAGACCCAAUAAUAAACGGAUACCAUCUCACAUGAGUCCUUAUGGAUGGCGGCAGUGGUCUAAAUCUAAUAUAUCAGGACACAAUCCGCAAAAUGGGGAUAGACCCAACAAAAAUCAGCCGCAGCAAUACUACCUUCAAGGGAGUAAUACCAGGCCAAGAGGCCCGCUGCACAGGCUCUCUAUUACUAGAGGUUGUAUUCGGUUCUUCUGACAACUUCCGAAGCGAAAAGUUAACUUUCUACAUCGCCCCAUUCAGAAGUGGCUAUCAAGCACUACUUGAAAGAGCGGCUUUCGCUCGUUUUAAUGUAGUACCACAUUACGCUUCUCUCAAGCUUAAGAUGCCCGGUCCACGUGGCACCAUCACAGUUAGUGGAAAUAUUGAGAGUUCUCUACACGCGGAAGAAUGUGCGGCGGCUUUAACAACCAAGCACUAGACGGCCUCACCAACCAGAACAAAUGACGGGUCGUCAAGACCACGGACACGGUUAGACGAGUCCGGCGCAUCACUACAUAUACAUGAGAUUGGUUUGAUGGUUAAAUCCUCAUAAACGGUACCAGGGGCUUCCCGCGUGUAAUCAAGGCUAGUUCGGCUCAACUUGACUUAUCUUGAAUUUUAAUGGCCUAUUGAUCAGAACCAAUUUUCUGGCACGGCAACUUUCACCUAAGGUCUUCUCUUUUACAGAUGACAAUCGUGCUACACCCGUCCAGGACACGGCACAACGGAGAUACAGGUGUAGACGUGCAGCAGGGACCCGCUCAAAGGUUUCUUUUUAGAUUAAGACCCUGCGUAAACCUUUUUUAGUGUCUCUCGUUGUUCACAUCCUCCGGAUACUCAAUACAACCGAGAAGGAUGCUGACGUUAUUGGCAUGUGGCCACGUCAGGAUAUUGCACGUACCUGGACACUCGGGGUUUAUUAGUAAGGGUAUUGUUCAGCCUGGCAUAUGUUAUAAAGACCGAAUACCUUAGGGAGUGUUCGGCGUCGCGAGUUUGGCCUUAUAUGCAUCAGCUCCGAAUCAUGUCUUUGGUCAAAUGUUGGGUUUGCCUGACUCCCGUGUUUUGGUACCUUACGUUCCGCUAUAUCGGCUAAGGUAGCACUGGGAGAACUACUGCGAUUGUGCCCUGGUUCAUCCGGAUGAGCACCUCAGUAGAGAAAGCCGAAAACUGACUGUCAUGAUAAAGCGCGAGACUAGUCAACCACUCGAUGACUUAGCGGAAUCUUCGGGAUUCCUCCGCAUUAACGAAGGGUCGUUCCCCGGUCAUGUAUGUACGCGCCCCGUAUUCGGACAAGCACGGAGGUACCAGGGGCUAUCUAGUAGUCCCACCGUCAAACUCCUAUGGCUAAGUGAAAGUGUUAAAGCAAUAUAGUCUGAUUGCCUCGUUCGCUGCGCUACCACCUCCUUUAUGGACCAAGACGUUGGAUUAAGUGUGAAUACACGUUUUUUGCGAACACCCCCGCAUUAUAUGCGUGGGGGCGUAAGCCAUCGACUGCAAACUUUCAGGUUAUAUUCAUAAACGAUCGCACAGGAGGCAUCAUAAUACUUUCAGGAAAAAGUAUAAACACAGCCUUUAUAAUUCAAUAAAACAUUGUUUUUACAACGGGAAUACAUGUCACUAGAACAUAAAUUCUUUGAUAAUUGCGCCUCUAUCGAACGAGCGCCUUCAAGGACUUCUUCAAAGUAGUGCUCGGCAGCUACUCAGCCCAUGGCCGAACCCUGUGUUGCAAUAGUGGUGCCCUCCAUCUCUGCCCAGUAUGUCUUGACAUGGGCAAGUGCCAUCCGCGCACCCUCUAUGCACGCCGACCUCUUCAUAGCGUCGAUGUGCGACACAGCACCAAGGAAUUGUUGCACUAAACUAAAGUAACUAUUCAGCCUUGGUCCUUCCGGCCACAAAUGAUCCACAACAGACCUCAUGGCAAGUCCGAACAACCUAUGGAGCUCGGCCCACUCGGCCAUUUGCUCAUUCAACAGCAGCGGACGCACUGGAGCAUGGAACUGUGACCAGAACAACUUUUCCACUUCACGAUCUUUUUGAUCCUUGAAGUACUCGGCCGCAUCAGCAGCACUUGCUGCCAAAUCCACAUAUGCGUCUGCAGAACUCCAUAGUUGAUCAAGAGGGGCAUACUUCGGAUCUCCGAACUUAGUCCACAACAAAAAGGGCUUCCCAGCCACGAUAUCUCCAGCUUGACACAGCUCCUCCUUCGUCGCUCUAAUUUUGGAGCGGGUUUCCUUGGCUGCUACCAUGGCCUUCUCCAAGUCCGUCACCUUCGCUCGGCUUUCUUUUUCAAGAAGCCGGUAAUGGUCGGCGGCAUCUUUCAACUUGACUGCCAUCUUGUCCAUUCUUUCCUUGCUCUGGCAAUGUGUGGCCUGUUCGGCCCUCAGCUCUUCGACCGCCUUCAGAGCGGCCGCAUUGCUAUUUCUGGCUUGUUCCUUGGCUCGGGCAAGUUCCGCCCGAAGGGUCUCCACGGUGGCAGCUCCAUCUGCAGUCACAACAUAUUAAGGAUACUGGCAUCAUGCUCCUCUUACUAUGUGUUGAUCACCGGAGAAAUCACAUACCCUGUGCCUCGUCAAGCCGCUUGUUGACAAGCACGAUGUCGGCAUCUGCCGCAUCAAGUUGCCGCUUUAGCUCGGCAAACUCAUCAGUCCGGCUAGCCACCAGACCUUCAUCCACCUGCACAUGAAGGCGGUCUGAUUAUUACUUGGGACUAUGAUCCUCUGUUUGCCGCCGUUCUCGGCGGCAACCAGAGUCUCAGGGGCUACUAUCUGCAUAGGGCACACCUAACGUGUGUGGUACUGUCAAAAACACACACUAUUUCACGUACCUCAAAGCCUUUCAGCAGACUCAUAAAAGCUUCAUGCAACCCACUUUCGGUGGAUGAAAUCCUUUCAAUCACCGUACCCAUUAGCGUACGAUGCGCUUCUGAGAUGGCCGCUUGCUCCAGAAGAUCCUUCAGUGCGUCCGACCGCACACUGUACGGUUCUGGACUCUUUCUGUUGCUCUCUUUAGGAGCCGAAUACUAAGGACUUUGGGUGGCCAAAGGAUUACCCUCUGGCCUUGGCGGAUCAGGAGAAACCCUCUGCGAUGACACUUCAGGGUCACCCGCCUCAUGAGGCGGGGUGGCAGGGGGAGGCGUUUCGCUCUCCAUCAUCUCCGGAAGAAGAACCCCCGAAGACGAACUUUGUCGAGAAGGGCUAUGAUCCGAACUGCAAGAUAUAUGCUUCGAUUAUUAUCUUCAGAAGCAAUGUAAGAUAUUUUUACUAUUAAGUACUUUUUGUUUACUUACAGCUCGGUAGAGGGCUGACCCCUUGCGGAAACUGUGCGGCAAGAGUACCCUCCGAGGCAGGACCCUCCGGCGAAGAUUUCUUCCCCCGUUUGGAAACCUUUGUUUCCAGGUCUUCAGAGGUGGUCCUCUUCCUUCCUUCGGGAGAGGGAAUUUCAGAUUCUUCUCCCUGGUUAUCCUCCUUCGCGGAGGCACUAAUUCCCCCGGUUUGGAUGAAUAAUGAGCGAGGCCCGCUUCCAGCCUCUUUAUUUUCCCCUUUAUCUUCCUCUGAGGGCGCCUGAUAAGGCGCCGACUCAAGCAUUCUGUCUAGUACCGGAUUGGCCGAGCCUUCGGGAAGGGGGGCUGAACACCUGAUCAUCUUCGCCUUUGUUAUCCAGUCUUGGUCAAAGAGCAACUUUUCAGAAUGAUGUUAUGAUAAAUAAAAAAGACAAGCAUGUUCGGCCAUGGGAUUACUUACUUGGGUAUCAGGGCGAUUACAGCUCAGACCCGCAUACUCGGUGGUGUCCGGACACUUUAUUUGGGGUCCGAAGAACAAUUUGUACAUCUCUUCGAGCGUCAUGCCGAGGAAGUGUUGAAUAGUUCGCGGUCCUUCCGGGUUGAACUCCCACAUAUGGAGGGGUCGACAUUUGCAAGGUGGGACUUGAUGAACUAGCAUGACUUGCAUUACUGAGACCAGGCUGACAUCUCUCUCAAGGAGAUCUUAGAUGCGACUCUGCAAUAUCGGCACAUCAUUUACUGGCCCCCAGUUCAACCCCUUGUUGAUCCAUGACGUCAGUUGUGGUGGGGGGCCUGAGCGAAAGGCAGGGGCAGCUACCCACUUGGUACUCUGGGGAGCUGUGAUGUAAAACCACUCCCGCUACCAUAAACUGGGCACCUCUGGGAAGGAACCCUCUGGCCAUGGAACAUCAGCGCUUCUGCUUAUUACGGCACCUUUGCACUCUGCGUGACGCCCCUCGAUCAUCUUCGGCUUCACCAUUGAAAGUCUUGAGCCACAGGCCGAAGUGUGGGGUAAUGCGGAGGAAGGCCUCACACACGACGAUGAACGAGGAGAUGUGAAGGAGGGAAUCUGGGGCCAGAUCAUGGAAAUCCAACCCGUAAUAAAACAUGAGCCCCCUAACAAAGGGAUCCAAAGCGAGGCUAGCCCUCGGAGGAAGUGAGAGAUGAACACAACACUCUUGUUGGGUUCGGGAGUGGGGAUGACCUUCCCUCAGACAGGCAGCCUGUGCGAGAUUUCGGCGGUCAGAUACCUGGCCUCUCUCAGCUUCUUGAUGUCCUCCUCUAUGACAGAGGAAGGCAUCCACCAACCUUGGAGGUUGGAUCCGGACAUGGUUGAAGGUCCGAAGCGCCUGACCUGAGCCUUGGGUGUUGGAACUCGAGGCGGGGGGAAGGAUUUGAUUGAGCACGAGAGGGGAAACAAGGACAGGCCUUGGCCUCUUUAUAAAGAGGGUGAAUAUCAAGCAUCCUCCUCGUGGCCGUUUGGGACUUGCCUAAAAUUGAGGAGUCAUACCAAUAGGCACGAUUGGGUUACCCACGUCCGUAUUGAUGAGAAUCCCGUAAUAAGGGGGACACGAUCUCUGCUUUGACAAGACGUGUCAGGAAAACCGCCUCGCGAUAUGUGAAGUGCUGGUUGAGAAAAACGGUUCGAAUAAAGACCGGGCCAUGGCAUGAUGUCAUGUUGCUAAACGUGUUAGGAGAUUAGAUUUGUGGAAAUAUUAUUCACUCUGCGGUGGUAUGUGGAACUUGUUUUGCAGAGCCGGACACUAUCCUUGGGUUCAAAAUCUUCUAUGGAGUAUUCGGAGGAGGAACCCGCCUUGCAAUGCCGAAGACAUAUCUGCGUGCCGGACUCAUCGUCAUUGAAGCCUGGUUCAGGGGCUACUGAGGGAAUCCUGGAUUAGGGGGUCUCCGGACAGCCGGACUAUAUCCUUUGGCCGGACUGUUAGACUAUGAAGAUACAAGAUUGAAGACUUCGUCCCGUGUCCGGAUGGGACUUUCCUUGGCGUGGAAGGCAAGCUUGGCAAUACGGAUAUGUAGAUCUCCUCCGUUGUAACCGACUCUAUGUAACCCUAGCCCCCUCCGGUGUCUAUAUAAACCGGAGGGUUUAGUCCGUAGGACAACAUACAAUCAUACCAUAGGCUAGCUUAUAGGGUUUAGCCUCUACGAUCUCAUGGUAGAUCAACUCUUGUAAUACUCAUAUCAUCAAGAUCAAUCAAGCAGGAUGUAGGGUAUUACCUCCAUCGAGAGGGCCCAAACCUGGGUAAACAUCGUGCCCCCUGCCUCCUGUUACCAUCCGCCUUAGACGCACAGUUCGGGACCCCCUACCCGAGAUUCGCCGGUUUUGACACUGACACUUGGUCUUAUGAAGAAUAGGCGCUAUAUUUCUGCUCUGAACAAGCAAAUCAAUUCAGUAUGAAAUUGUCCAGGGCAAAACAUGACUGUAUCAAAUUGUCGAGUGCAAAACAUGAUAGAUGCUAAGCGGAAGAGACAUGUUUAAACCGAAAAUGCAAGGUGGGGUAUAUGUUUACUAGCGGCUUGAUAUUUGUGCAGACAGAGAUGUCUGCCCGUUGCUAUUUGGCAAUAACACAAAGUGACCGAAAUUUUGGUUGAACUACACAAGAGAAUAGUAUAGUCACUGCAUGCAGUGCCAUUUGAAAAUAGACACAGGAAGAUUGGAUAGUCACUUCAUGGACUGCAGAAAAGUAGUAAUGUACUACUUAUUGGCCAACACUAGGUGCUUCAUUGCUUUGGUCUGAUUAUACAAUGGGCAUCAUUUUGCCUAAGUUAAAGUUUGUAUUCUGAAAAUAGUCUUGCCGUGUGAUCAAGAGAAGACCAAAUCAUAUUGCAGUGGAUGUUCCUCCAUCAUGUGUGGUUCAUUCUCAUGGUUCCAGCUAUUGGUUAAACCACUUACGUUUUCAAGAGGAAUUGUAGACUUCACAAACAAAUUUGUCUUUCAGUCUAUGCUGAAUGUUAGCCAAGAGAAGCAUCCAUGUUAGUAGGAAGAACAUAUGUUUUUUCUAGAUCUUUGCUUUUGGAGCUACAUAUUUGUAUAUGAUCUUUGAAUCAUUGAGAUGCAUUAACAUGUUGAUCUUAUGUAUGGGAAUCGUAUUAGUUGGUUUUAGUUGUGGCUGAUCUUUGCUUUUGGAGCUACAUAUUUGUAUAUGAUCUGUGAAUCAUUGAGAUGCAUUAACAGUUCCUUAUAUCUGUUCGCUCAAUGUUUACAAGUUACUGAUCAAUCACUAGCUAGCCUACUAAUGCACUCCUGGCUAUUUUAGUUGCGACGCAAGAACCAAAGUGGCAGUUUUUUGAAUAAAAAUGCCUACCUCUAAAGAAACUGACAAGCUGCUCUGAAGAAAAUGCCAUGCGAAUCUGAAGAAACUGCCAGCAAAAACAUUCGCAAAUGCCUUAUCUCCAAGCUAAAGUUCAUCAACUAAUGCCCUCGGCUACGACUCGUUGCAUGAUGCUCCGCGUACUGGUUGCGAGCGGUUUUGAGUGCCUGCAUGCAGCUGGCCAUAAUUAAGGCAGCUAACUGACGCGAAAAAAUAUGCGCUUUAAUUGUUGCAGGCCUUUUAAAUCCGUGGAAUCAUUAUUGACAAGGAGGGAGAUGAUUCGAGUGCACUCGUUUGACCAUCAUGCCGGCGUGUGACCCAGCACGGAUGGGACGGGACGGCAUAGUCAGAAUUUCAGUUUCUCUAGUUUUCCACGGCAAGUUGGCGCGCUAAGCCAUGCCUGCUUAAUUAUGCAUUGAAUUCUGAUGACCGUCGCGCUACCUUCCGCCUAUAAGUACUAUUCCUCGGCCUUCUAUGGUGGCACCGUGACCCAACUCGCCCUAUCCUCAUAAGCCCCCACCGGCCCGACGUCGCUCACCACUUAUCCUCGCUCUCGCCACGUCCGCCAUGCCCCCGCCCGUCCGCGAUAGGCGAGGCCGGAGGCGGUCACCGCCGUAACUAGUGUUCGGUUUUUCACCAGAAGGCAGACAGAGGGAGGAGGCAUUCUAUCGGUCUUUAGAUGGCAAUGUGGAGAUCGAGGACUUGUUGGAGCGCGACCGCCUGGCGGAGGAGCAGGAGUUGUUGGAGCGCGACCGCUUGGCGGAGGAGCAGCGUAUCGCCGAUUUGCGUCGCCAGCGGGACAUGGAGGAGUAGCGCACCGACGCUCUGAGUCACGAGGAGAGUGCCCGCACCUGGGCCGACUACGUGGAGGCCGGCGCCCAUCAAAUAGCCCGGGAGGCUGUCGGGCACGCACAUGUUCGCGACGUUGAUUUUUACUACCAGCUCAUCAAGUGGGUUUCCCGCUUAGAAGCUGAAGCUUCGGUGCACCACGCCAGCAUGGAAAAGGCCAACGCGUGCGAGCAACGCGCCCUAUCGCACCUUUGGCAAGUCUGAGGCGAGGCGGAGGACGCCGGUGCCAGCAUUUAGCGUGUACUGCAGAUGGCGACCGACAUCGUCUAGUUAGCUAAGAGUAAGUUAGUACUUGUACGCUACUAGAGUAUUAGUGGGAGUAGAUAGUUAACUUGGCUAUGAUGGUUGUCAAUGUGGAAGUUCAGUACUCUAUAUGUGGAUCAGACCUGUUACUUUGCUCUGAAUGUUGAACUUUCCGUUUGAAUGUAUGGAAUGGGCUGUUAUUUUUUUAAAUGGGUUGUAUUUGUCCUCCACGGGUUUAGAGGUUGACUUGUGGGCCUACCAAGUUGACGCGUACACAAUCAGGAGAUGAUUGUACGUGGAGAGGAUGACAGCAGGGACCCGCCAAGGUCAUGGCAGUACGCAAGCAAGUGCCUCCUUAUUUCAAUCCAAAAAAAAUGGCUCCUCCUAAUGGAUUUCUGGCAUCUGGGUCCCAUGCCAUUGUCAACGUAAUCAGUAAACGAGAGAGUUGCACAACGAGCGGCUGACACCAGGGACCUAGUAGCUCGCCCAGUUAUUUUUGUUUUGGGUUAAUUUGAUAAAUGCCACUCCAAAUCUGGUGUUUCUGAGAAAUGCCACUACAAUUUCCAAACUUUGAAAGAUGCCAUUUCAUGCCAUUUACAGUGGCAUUUUUCGAAGUCUGGGGUGGCGUUUUUCAAAGUUUGCAAAUUGCAGUGGCGUUUUUCAAAGUUUGCAAAAAUUGCAGUGGCAUUUUUCAAAGUUUGGAAAUUGUAGUGGCAUUUUAAUGAAUCGCCAUAUUUGUUGUGGCAUUUAUCUAAUUUGUUUUUGAGACGGAAGCAGAGUGUCAACUGGCCUGUGCGGGGCACUCUGGCUUGCCUAGACAGCCUUCUCUUUUAUGUUUACCACAGACCAGCCCAGUAGUUUUUUUCUUUCUGAAAAUGGCUAGCCCAGUUUUUUUGUGAUUUGCCAAGUAAGUCGCUUUGUCAGGCCUGUUGGGCUACAAAUCUUUCAAGACGAGGAGAGCUUCAUUUGGCUGGACGAGAAAAUGGCCUAUCAGUAAUGAGAAAUGGGUUGUAUAUUUUCAAAACACAUAAAACCGGCAAUUACUUUCGAAUUUCUCUUUUUCAUUUCAAGAUUUUAAAUUGCAUUAAUUUUUAUGCGUGGACAAUUUGUUGGAUUUUAUAUUGAUAUGCAUUUACUUUUAAAAUCAGUUUGAAUGUGACUCAAAAUUUCGGGAUUAAAAACAGUUUGGACCGCAUCGAAAUAUGCAACAUUUCGUAUAAUUUUUUAACUGUGGCCACAAUGUGGGCUGUAAUGCUAACAAAAAGAAUAUGGGCUCCAAAAAACCUUAAGAAUUAGCAAAUGGGCUGUAAAUUAUUAGAAAUAAUGGCAGAUGGGUUGUAUGCUAUUUUCCACAGAUUUGAGGCUUUCCUAAAAAAGGUUGACGCACAAGCAGUGACUGUUGGAUGUCCAUCCGACGGCCGUCGUGCUUCUUCAAUCUCUGCUCUUCCUACUCCAUCCAUUCAAACAAGCGCCGACGGGACUGCCUGCUCCCUCCUCCCCGCGGCCGGCUAUGCUGCCGUGCAGGCCUCACCGCCCCACCGUACUCCCAUCGCUGGCCUAGCCAUCCCUCUACUCACCCACACAUGCUGUUAUUCUCCGGCGACGGCAGACGAACCAGUAAACCCUCGUACAGUCGUACUCCCCUCCGCGUGGGGAACAACUGCCAAGUCUUCCCUGCCUCCGUGUCGUUCCCUUCCUAGGCCUCGCCGUCAUCCACCGCCCUGGUGCUCUCGGCGCGGCGUGGUCAAUGUGGUCAACGACCGACAUGCAUUUGAAGUGGACUAUACGUGGAGAGGCUGACAGCUGGGUCCACGGCCGCAAGCAAGGAAAUGCCUCCUUAUUACGCGCAAAAUAAUGAUUCCUCCACCUGACAUCUGGGACCCACCGAAAGGGCCUCUGUAUUUCGUGAAAAAAACGUUAUCGCCACUGACAACUCGGACCCACCAGCUAUAUCUUCGCACGCAAGGAAGUGCGUCCUUAUUACGCACAAAAAAUGAAUACCCCCCUGCUAGCUGGGACCCAGUAUAGUGGCAGGCUGACUUGUGGGCCUACUAAGUUGACGGGGACGUAGGGCUUUGUCAACUUAGUCAAUAUGCACGAUUCUAGCUCCAGUGACCGUACGAUGUCCAUCCAAUGGCUGUAGUGCUUCUUCAACCUCUGGUCUUCUUGCUUCAGCCGCCCAAACCAGCGCCAGUCGUGCCUCAUGCUCCUGCCUCCCGUGGUCGGCUGCGAUGCGGCGGAGGCCUCACCGCCCCCUACUACUCCCACCGCUGGCCAGGCCAUCCCUGUACUCACCCACACCCCAUGUUAUUCUGCGGCGACGGUAGCCUAAUACCGCAGCAAACCAGUGAACCCUCAAACUCCUCUACGUGUGGGCAUCCACUGCCGCAUCUUCCCCGGCUCCACGUCGUCCCCUUCCUAGGCCUCGCCGUCGUCCACCGCCCUGGUGCUCUCGGUGUGGCGUGGUCAACAUGGUCAAGGAACGACUUCCAUCGGAAGAGUACUGUACGUGGAGAGGCUGACAGCUGGGUCCACGGCGGCCGUAAGGAAGUGCCUCCUUAUUACGCGGAAAAUAAUUAUUCCUCCACCUGACAGCAGGGACCCACCGGAUGAACCACCGUAUUUGGCGAAAAAAUGUUUCCCCCUGACUGCUGGGACCCACCGGACGACCACCGUAUUUCGCGAAAAAAACGUUCCCCUCGCUGUCAGCUCGGACCCACCGGAAGUGUCGCCUUAUUACGCACAAAAAAAAAGAAUACUCCCCCUGCUAGUUGGGACCCACCUUGGUGGGUGGCUGACUUGUGGGCCUACUAAGUUGACGGGGAGGAGUGCUUUGUCAACUUAGUCAAUAUGAACGAUUCUAGCUCCAGCGACCGUACGAUGUCCAUCCAAUGGUCGUUGUGCUUCUUCAACCUCUGGUCUUCUUGCUCCAGCCGCCCAAAGCACCACCGGUCGUGCCGCAUGCUCCUGCCUCCUGUCGUCGGUUGUGCUACCGCGAAGGCCUCAUCGCCCCUUACUAUUCCCACUGCUGUCCAGGCCUUGCGGCGACGGCAGCCUCACACCACAGCCGAACCAGUGAGCCCUCGUACUCCUCUCCGCGCGGGCUUCCACUGCCGCGUCUUCCCCGGCUCCGUGUCGUCCCCUUCCCAGGCCUCGCCGUCGUCCACUGCCCUGGUGCUCUCGGCGUGGCAUGGUCAACGUGGUCAAGGAAUGGCUUCCAUCGGACGUGGACUGUACAUGGAGAGGCUGACAGCUGGGUCCACGGCCGCAGCAAGGAAGUGCCUCCUUAUUACGCGCAAAAUAAUUAUUCCUCCACUUGACAGCGGGGACCCACCGGACGGGCCAUCGUAUUUCGCGAAAAAACGUUUCCCCCUGAUUGCUGGGACCCACCAGCUACAUCUUCGCACGCAAGGAAGUGCGCCCAGGCAAAAACAAAAAAAAUGAUUUGCCCCCUGACUGCUGGGACCCACCAGCUACAUCUUCGCACGCAAGGAAGUGCCUGACAGUCGGGACCCACCAGGUCGAAGCGUACGUAGUGUUGUCAUUCUGGUCGCGAACGUGUACGUACAUACUGGUCGAUGUAGAGGCGCGCACGUGUCAUAGUAGAGGCGCGCACGUAGCAUGUACACAUACGUACAACGGCCAUGGUGCAAGAAAGUAAAUAUGGCCACGUACGUACAUACGGGCGGGGUCUCGAGCGCCUACUUGCGCGUACGUAUGGCCAGGGCUCGUGUACAUGGCUGGGUCGGAACGGAGAAACAACGUCAUCCUUGUGUUCAUGGGGAGCCAAUCGGCUGGGUCGGAACGGAAUGCGUUGUCGUGUUCAUCGGGAGGGCUUGGACGGAACAGCCAAUGGAAACAAGGCCUGGCAUACCGCAGAACGGAGGAAACGGCCUUGUGUUCGACCAGCCACAUUCGAAACGGGAUCUUGUUCAUCGGGAGGCGUCUGGCAUACCGCAAAACGGAGGAAAUGGACCUCCUAUGGUCGAAACGGGGGUCCUGUUGAUCGGGAGGGGUGUGGCAUACCGCAAAACGGAGGAAACGGACUUGUGUUGGAGCGCUACGGUCAAAACCAGGGUCCUAUUCAUCGGGAGGGGUGUGGCGUACCGCAAAACGUGACUCCACGGGAUACUGUUCAUCUCCACUGUCGACCCCUCCAGCCUCCACGGGCUACUGUUCAUCCACCGUCGACCUCCUCCAGCCUCCACCUGCGAUUGUUCAUCCACGGGCUCCUGUUCAUCCAGCCUCCACCGCGCGCUACUCCACCGACUACUGUUCAACCAGCCCUCUCCACGGGCUCCUGUUCAACCACCCCUCCACGGGCUACUAUUCAUCCAGCCCUCCAUCGUCUACUGUUCAUCCUGCCCUCCACGGGGUGGUCCUGUUCAUCCUGCCCUCCACGGGGGUCCUGUUCAUCCAGCCCCAACCAACUCGAUCGAUCGGGGUCCUGUUCAUCCAGAGGCAACACCACGGGGUCCUGUUCAUCCACCCCCCCCCUAAUGCUCACUGUUCAUCUAGAGGCAGCAUCGAUCGGCUUCAGUUAGCAGCAGUAGCGAAGGAAUCGCUCGAUCGGGUUCAGUUAACAGCCAUUGACCGAUCGCUCGGGUUCAGUAACGCAUAGCCUGCAGUGCAAUCGCUCGGGUUCAGUUCGAGCCCAACACCUCACUAGGGUUUAGUUAGAGCCCAAUGCCUCCCACCCGCGUGUGUGCGUGUAUAAGAGAAACGCGCAUCGCUCGGCCCGACCACCCACCGUAACCAGGAACACCCCGAUAUUUUCCUCACCCUCGCUUCUACCAUGGUUUUUUCCGUCAUGGACGGCCCAAAGAAUGUCAUGCAGCUGCGUCUUCGGCCCGCCCAGGACGAAAAGCCCAUUUUCUGUCAUGAUUUUUUUGUCAUAGAAGUAGGACCCCACCACAUCUAUGAUGAUACCGGGUUUUGUCACAAUUAUCGUCAUAGAAGUGUCAUAAGUAUGACAAAAAAGAUUUUUGUUCGGCCCAAAAUGUCACAGAUGUGUCUUUUUUUUGUAGUGCCAUGUCUGGGUUGAAUAAGGAAAUGAAGGGAGAAAGUAUUGUCCAAGAGACUAGGCAUCGAACCCGCAUCUAGGUUGAAAAGGGGGAAAUCAGUAGCUAAGGAACGAGUCUCGUGUCUCUUGGUUGAAAAAGGGUAGAAAGGCAUGACAACACAAUAGAGAAUGACCAGGUCGAUCGGUUUGUUGUCCUCACAUAGGAAAAAUGUGGCUAAAGAGAACAAAAAUGGGACGGAAUCCACAUAUGUUGCCUGGAUAUUUGUUGCUCUGGGCAACCAUACCUCCCUCACCACUCUAUGCGUCCAUGGAGGUACAUCGUACUGGUGUGCCCAUUGUCCGAAUGGGCCUCCCAUGCUCUUAUUGUCACUUUUUUGCUGUUAGUAUAACGCCAGCGGUAAAAUCUAGCAAUGCUACUGCUAAAGUGAUGCCACAUUUAACUAAUGCCGCACUUAGUCUAAUGCCACCGAUAAAUUUAAGCAAUGUCAUUUAAUGUCACUGGAUUAUUUCAGGGUUAGCUGUUGAUUGUGGAUGUAUUAAAUAUUUUUCAGCUAAGGCAUUCUAAUGUUGUUGCACAACCAGUAUACCAACGAUGAAACUUGUUACUACCUUCAGAUUUUUGCAUUGUUAAUGCUUAUAGAUUACAUACCUCACUUUCAUGAGAUAAGUCAAUUUUUUUGUGAAGUGUCGCCAAAAUGCCAAGGUGCUGAUGUCAUUAAUUUUGGUUAAACUUCACAAAAAAUUAUGAAGACAAGAGGAAAGGUCAAGAGUGGGCACCUCCUCCUCCGGCUGUUCUCUUGAUUCGUACAAUCAAGUUUUUAUGUUUGAUCAAUUAUCAAGAUUGGGAUAGCAAUUUUGAUGUCCCCUCGAGUUCGAAAUGAUAUUUACCUUGAAGGUACAUGGUUUGUAAAUUUUGUAUACUGUCAUUAGUUAAUAUUGCUAGUUACCUUCAAACUUUUGUAUUUGGUUUAAUGUUGUUGCACGGCUAGUAUACCAAUGCUAAAACUUGUUACCUUUAUAUUUUGUAUUGUUAAUGCUUAUAGAAAUCUUCCAGUGCUAGCUUAUGGAAAUAUGUUCAGUAAAACCAUUGUACUAUACCCCAUGAUAAAAAAACCACUCUACCGUUGCACUAGCCACUGGAUUAGUGUAUAUUUGUACUAUUCGAAUGGUGUUGCAUUAGCGUAUGGACAUAUAUAAAGUGUGGAAAGCUUUCUCAGAUUGAUGACCCACAAGUAUAGGGUAUCUAUUGUAGUCCUUUCGAUAAGUAAGAGUAUCGAACCCAACGAGGAGCAGAAGGAAAUGAUAAGCCGUUUUCAGCAAGGUAUUCUCUGCAAGCACUGAAAUUAUAGGUAAUAGAUAGUUUUGUGAUAAGAUAAUUUGUAACGAGCAACAAGUAACAAAAGUAAAUAAAGUGCAGCAAGGUGGCCCAAUCCUUUUUGUAGCAAAGGACAAGCCUGGACAAACUCUUAUAUAGAGAAAAGCGCUCCCGAGGACACAUGGGAAUUAUCGUCAAGCUAGUUUUCAUCACGUUCGUAUGAUUCGCGUUCGGUACUUUGAUAAUCUGAUAUGUGGGUGGACCGGUGCUUGGGUACUGUCCUUACUUGGACAAGCAUCCCACUUAUGAUUAACCUCUAUUGCAAGCAUCCGCAACUACAACAAAAGUAUUAAGGUAAACCUAACCAUAGCAUGAAACAUAUGGAUCCAAAUCAGCCCCUUAUGAAGCAAUGCAUAAACUAGGGUUUAAUCUUCUGUCACUCUAGCAACCCAUCAUCUACUUAUUACUUCCCAAUGCCUUCCUCUAGGCCCAAAUAAUGGUGAAGUGUCACGUAGUCGACGUUCACAUAACACCACUAGAGGAGAGACAACAUACAUCUCAUCAAAAUAUCGAACGAAUACCAAAUUCACAUAAAUACUAAUAGCAAGACUUCUCCCAUGUCCUCAGGAACAAACGUAACUACUCACAAAGCAUAUUCAUGUUCAUAAUCAGAGGGGUAUUAAUGUGCAUAUAGCAUCUCAACAUAUGAUCUUCCACCAAGUAAACCAACUAGCAUCAACUACAAGGAGUAAUCAACACUACUAGCAACCUACAGGUACCAAUCUCAGACUUAGAGACAAGAAUUGGGUACAAGAGAUGAACUAGGGUUUGAGAGGAGAUGGUGCUAGUGAAGAUGUUGAUGGAGAUUAACCCCCUCCCGAUGAGAGGAUCAUUGGUGAUGACGAUGGUGAUGAUUUCCCCCUCCCGGGGGGGAAGUUUCCCCGGCAGAACAUCUCCGCCGGAGCCCUAGAUUGGUUCCGCCAAGGUUCCGCCUCGUGGCGGCGGAGUCUCGUCCCGAAAGCUUGCUUAUGAUAUUUUUCUCAACGAAAGACUCCAUAUAGUAGAAGAUGGGCAUCGGAGGGCCACCAGGGGGCGCACGAGGCAGGGGCGCGCCCAGGGGGCUAGGGCGCGCCCCCCACCCUCGUGGCUGGUGAGUGGCCCCCCUCUGGUACUUCUUGUGCUCAGUAUUUUUUAUAUAUUCUGAAAAUAACUUCCGUGAAGUUUCAGGACUUUUGGAGCUGUGUAGAAUAGGUCUCUAAUAUUUGCUCCUUUUCCAGCCUAGAAUCCCAGCUGCCGGCAUUCUCCCUCUUUAUGUAAACCUUGUAAAAUAAGAGAGAAUAGGCAUAAGUAUUGUGACAUAUUGUGUAAUAACAGCUCAUAAUGCAAUAAAUAUCGAUAUAAAAGCAUGAUGCAAAAUGGACGUAUCAACUCCCCCAAGCUUAGACCUCGCUUGUCCUCAAGCGAAAGCCGAAAUCGAAAAAUAUGUCCACUUGUUUAGAGAUAGAGAUGUCGAUAAAAAUAAAAUACAGACAUGAGGGCAUCAUGAUCAUUCUUAGAACAUCAGCUUAUAUAAUUAUUGUCAUAUGAUCUCUUAUGCUAGAGUAACAAUUCAAUCACAAUUUCAAGUAUGAAUCAUGAACUUCAUUGAAAACUAACAAACUAUAAUCUCAGUCAUUGAAGCAAUUGCAAUUUAUCAUAACAUAGGAAAGAGUCAAUAUAAGAGCUUUUCAGCAAGUCCAUAUACUCAACCAUCUUUUAGUCUUUCACAAUUGCUAACACUCACGCAAUAUUUAUGGGUAUGAAGUCUUAAUCGAACACAGAGAAAGAUAGGGGCUUAUAGUUUUGCCUCCCAAUGUUUUACCUCAAGGGUAAUGUCAACAAUAAUAGUUCAUGAAAACUCACAUCCAAUUAGCCAUACAUACCAGGAUCUUUCCGACAUAUUGUGCUUGCCAAAAGAUAAAAUGUAAAAAGGAAAGGUGAGGAUCACCAUGACUCUUAUGUAAGGUAGGAGAUAAAAGUAAAAGAUAGGCCCUUCGCAGAGGGAAGUAGAGGUUGUCAUGCGCUUUUAUGGUUGGAUGCACAAAAUCUUAAUGCGAAAGAAUGUCACUUUAUAUUGCCACUUGUGAUAUGGACCUAUAUUAUGCAGUCCAUCACUUUUAUUUCUUCCACAUCACAAGAUCGUAUGAAGCUCAUUUUCUCCCACACUAAUAAGUCAUACAUAUUUAGAGAGCAAUUUUUAUUGCUUGCACCGAUGACAACUUACUUGAAGGAUCUUACUCAAUCCAUAGGUAGAUAUGGUGGAAUCUCAUGGCAAAACUGGGUUUAAGGGUAUUUGGAAGCACAAGUAGUAUCUCUACUUGGCACAAAGAGUUUAGCUAGCAUGAGGGGAAAAGGCAGGCUCAAUCAUGUUGGAUGAUCCAUGGCAAUAUAAUUUAUCUUAGAUGUAGGAAAACAUAACCCAUUACAUUGUCUUCCUUGUCCAACAUCAACUCUUUAGCAUAUCAUAUUUUAAUGAGUGCUCACAAUCAUAAAAGAUGUCCAAGAUAGUAUAUUUAUAUGUGAAGACCUCUCUUUCUUUAUUACUUCCUAUUAAUUGCAACAAUGACCAAAACUAUGUUUGUCAACUCUCAACAAGUUUUAUUCAUCAUACUCUUUAUAUGUGAGCUCAUUACUCUCCAUAAGAUCCUUAUGAUAUCUUUUAUUUCUUUUUAUUCUUUUCUCUUUUCUUUUAUUCACUCAAGAUAAUGGCAAAAUAAUCAAGCCCUUGACUCAACACUAAUCUUUAUUAUAUAGCUCACUGAUUCGAUUACAUAGAGGGAUCAUAAAGCAAAACUCAAAACUAGAUCAUACCAAAAAAAUUAUUCUACUAGAUCAAGAUAUUACUAAAAGGAUCGAACUAAGAAAACGGUAAAGAUAGGAGUGUGAUGGUGAUACGAUACCGGGGCACCUCCCCCAAGCUUGGCAGUUGCCAAGGGGAGUGCCCAUACCCAUAUGAUUAUGUCUCCUUUGUUGGUGAAGAAGGUGAUGCUUUUGUUGAUGGCAUAGGCUUGUCGUCCCUCUUCCAAGGCAUAGGCUCACCAUCAUAGAAGGAUGAUCGAGUCCCCUGAGUCCUCAAAUCUGCAGCCAAACUCAUCCUUUUGAAUCUAUAUUCAUACUCACAGUUUUGAUUUUGCAGGUCAUAGAUCUGGGCUUGGAGGUGCUUGAUUUUCUCAUGAAGCUUGAAGAUGGCCUCCCCAACGUCCUUGACAUUUAGCUUGUGGUUGUUGGUGAACUCUGUGAUCAUAAUGUGAUUGGAGUCAAGUCCACGCUCCACCAUCUCCUGACACUUGAAAACUUGUUGCUCCAAUGCCUCGAGCCUUGCCUCCGUGCUUCCGGUCUUCCUUGGUCCCUCAACAUCGCGGAUGUGCAACAACCCCUCACGCAUCUCAAUGGUUUGAGGGUGUUGCAGCACCUCCGCGAGGUAGGGGUUGAUGACCUUCUCGAAGAACUUGUCCUUGGGGGCACUUGAAGACGACAUGACGACCUAGAUCUGUCAGAAAAACAGCUCGAAACAAAGACGAGAGAUAUUUGUGUGAUACAGGAGUCAAAACCUCUCGGAGAUUAUAUAAUGAAUUUUUACCAACCAAAAUACGCAACGUGCAAGAAAACGGAGUCCGGAGAGCGCACGAGGUGCCCACGAGGUAGGGGGCGUGCCCAGGGGGUAGGGCGCGCCCACCAGCCUCGUGGAGGCCUCGUGUCCUUCCCGGGAUGCUUCUUAUUUUCCUAUUUUUCUAAAUAUUCCAAAACGGAGAAAUUUUUCCAUUAGAACUGUUUUGGAGUCGGUUUACUUACCGUACCACGUACCUAUUCCUUUUCGGACUCUGAAACAUUCUGGAAAGUGUCCCUUAUGUAUUCCUCCGGGGUUACGGUUUCAAUAACAUUAAUUUCAGCAUUUAUAGGAUUACCUAAUAUAUAAUGUUUGAUUCUUUGACCGUUCACCACCUUCGAUCCGUGCCUUCGAAGUUGCUGAUUUUUAUGGCACCGGAACGAUAGACCUCCUCGAUAACGUAAGGACCUUCCCAUUUAGAGAGAAGUUUUCCUGCAAAAAAUCUUAAGCGAGAGUUGUAUAGCAAUACAUAAUCACCUACAUUAAACUCACGCUUUUGUAUUCUUUUGUCAUGCCAUCUUUUAACUUUUUCUUUAAACAACUUGGCAUUUUCAUAGGCUUGGGUUCUCCAUUCAUCAAGUGAGCUACUGUCAAAUAACCUCUUCUCACCGGCAAGUUUGAAAUUAUAAUUGAGCUCUUUAAUGGCCCAAUAUGCCUUAUGUUCUAGUUCGAGAGGUAAGUGACAUGCUUUUCCAUAAACCAUUUUAUACGGAGACAUACCCAUAGGAUUUUUAUAUACAGUUCUAUAAGCCCAUAAUGCAUCAUCAAUUUUCUUGGACCAAUUCUUUCUAGAUCUAUUAAUAGUCUUUUGCAAAAUUAAUUUGAGUUCUCUGUUACUCAAUUCUACUUGAACACUAGACUGUGGGUGAUAAGGAGAUGCAAUUCUAUGAUUAACAUCAUACUUAGCAAGCAUUUUACGGAAAGCACCAUGAAUAAAAUGUGAACCACCAUCAUUCAUUAAAUAUCUAGGGACUCCAAACCUCGGAAAAAUAACUUCUUUAAGCAUCUUAAUAGAGAUGUUAUGAUCAGCACUACUAGUUGGAAUAGCUUCUACCCACUUAGUAACGUAAUCAACAUCAACUAAAAUAUGUGUAUAUCCAUUAGAGGCAGGAAACGGUCCCAUAUAAUCAAAGCCCCAAACAUCAAAUGGUUCAAUAACAAGUGAAUAAUUCAUAGGCAUUUCUUGACGUCUACUAAUAUUACCAAUUCUUUGACAUUCAUCACAAGAUAUAACAAACUUAUGGGCAUCCCUGAAGAGAGUAGGCCAAUAAAAACCGGAUUGCAAUACCUUAUGUGCGGUUCUAUCUCCAGCGUGGUGUCCUCCAUAAGCUUCGGAGUGACACUUGCAUAGGAUCUAUUCAUGUUCAUGCUCAGGUACACAACGUCUAAUAACACCAUCUACUCCUUUAUAAAGGUGUGGGUCAUCCCAGAAGUAAUGUCAUAAAUCAUAGAAAAACUUUUUCUUUUGCUGGUAUGUGAAACUAGGUGGUAUAAACUUAGCAACAAUGUAAUUAGCAUAAUCAGCAUACCAUGGAGCAAUGUGAGAAGCAUUUAUGACAUUUAAUUGUUCAUCAGGAAAGCUAUCAUCAAUAGGUAGUGGGUCAUCAAGAACAUUUUCCAACCUAGAUAAGUUAUCUGCAACGGGGUUCUCGGCUCCCUUUCUAUCAAUAAUAUGCAAAUCAAAUUCUUGUAGCAAGAGAACCCAUCUAAUAAGUCUAGGUUUAGCAUCUUUCUUUUCCAUAAGAUAUUUAAUAGCAGCAUGAUCAGUGUGAAUAGUUACUUUAGAGUCAACAAUAUAAGGUCUGAACUUAUCACAAGCAAAUACAACUGCUAAGAAUUCUUUUUCAGUAGUAGCAUAAUUUCUCUAGGCAUUGUCUAGAGUUUUACUAGCAUAUUAAAUAACAUUUAAUUUCUUAUCAACUCUUUGCCCUAGAACAGCACCUACAUCAUAAUCACUAGCAUCGCACAUAAUUUCAAAAGGUAAAUUCCAAUCAGGUGGCUGAACGAUAGGUGCAGAGAUUAAUGCUUUCUUAAGUAUUUCAAAUGCUUCUACACAGUCAUCACCAAAGACGAACGGUGUAUCUUUUUGUAAUAAAUUAGUCAGAGGCCGAGAAAUUUUUGAUAAGUCCUUAUUGAACCUCCUAUAAAAGCGGCAUGACCAAGGAAACUUCUUAUACCUUUGAUGUCCUUGGGACACGACAUCUUUUCAAUAGCAUCAACUUUAGCUUUAUCAACUUCAAUGCCCCUUUCAGAAAUUUUGUGCCCCAAGACAAUACCUUCAUUAACCAUAAAGUGGCAUUUCUCCCAAUUCAAGACAAGGUUAGUUUCUUCACAUCUCUGCAAAACUCGAUCAAGGUUGCUUAAGCAAUCAUCAAAAGAGGAUCCAUAAACGGAGAAAUCAUCCAUGAAUACCUCACAAAUCUUUUCACAAAAAUUAGAGAAUAUAGCCAUCAUGCAUCUUUGAAAGGUAGCAGGUCCAUUACAUAAACCAAAAGGCAUACGUCUAUAAGCAAAAGUACCGAAAGGGCAAGUAAAAGUGGUCUUUGAUUGAUCAUCAGCUGACACGUGUAUUUGAGAGAAACCAGAAUAACCAUCUAGAAAGCAAAAAUGUGUAUGUUUGGAUAAUCUUUCUAGCAUUUGAUCAAUGAAAGGUAAGGGGUAAUGAUCUUUUUUAGUAGCCUUAUUUAAUUUUCGGAAAUCAAUUACCAUCCUAUAACCUAUAAUAAUUCUUUGCAGAAUCAAUUCAUCUUUAUCAUUAGGAACGACAGUAAUACCUCCCUUCUUAGGAACACAAUGGACAGGACUUACCCACUGACUAUCAGCAACGGGAUAAAUUAUACCUGCCUCAAGGAGCUUUAGUAUUUCUUUUCUUACCACUUCUUUCAUCUUAGGAAUCAACCGUCGUUGGUGAUCAAUAACCGGUUUGGCAUCUUUCUCCAAAUUUAUUUUGUGUUGACAUAGAGUGGGACUAAUGCCCUUAAGAUCAUCAAGAGUAUAUCCAAUAGCAGCACGGUGCUUCUUCAGAAUUUUCAAUAAUUUUUCUUCCUCCUUCUCUGAAAGGUUAGCACUAAUAAUAACAGGAUAUAUCUUCUUUUCAUCAAGAUAAGCAUAUUUAAGAGUAUCAGGCAAUGGUUUAAGCUCAAACACGGGAUCACCCUUGGGUAGAGGACGAUCCCCUAAGAUUUCAACAGGCAAAUUGUGUUUCAGAAUAGGUCCCUGUUUAAAGAACACCUCAUCUAUUUCCCUUCUUUCAUUCAUAAACAUAUCAUUUUCAUGGUCUAGCAAAUAUUGUUCUAAAGGAUCACUAGGAGGUACGGCAAUAGAAGCAAGACCAAUAAUUUCAUCUUUACUAGGCAAUUCCUCUUCACGGUGUUGUCUAUGAAAUUUAGAAAAGUUGAACUCAUGAGACAUAUCACCUAAACCAAUAGUAACAACAUCCUUUUUGCAGUCUAUCCUAGCAUUAACAGUGUUUAAGAAGGGUCUACCAAAUAUAAUGGGACAAAAGCUAUCUUGUGGGAACCAAGAACAAGAAAAUCAGCAGGAUAUUUAGUUUUCCCACACAAGACUUCAACAUCUCUAACAAUCCCAAUUGGUGAAAUAAUAUCUCUAUUGGCUGGUUUAAUUGUGACAUCAAUAUCUUCUAACUCAGCAGGUGCAAUAUCAUGCAUAAUUUCUCGGUAUAAGUCAAUAGGUAUUGCACUAGCACUAGCACCCAUAUCACACAAGCCAUGAUAACAAUGAUCUCCUAUUUUAACAGAAAUAACAGGCAUGCCUACCACAGGUCUAUGUUUAUCUUUAGCACAAGGUUUAGCAAUUCUAGCAGUUUCAUCACAGAAAUAAAUAACAUGCCCAUCAAUAUUAUCAGCCAAGAGAUCCUUAACAAUAGCAAUAUUAGGUUCAACUUUAACUUUAUCAGGAGGUGUAUAGGUUCCAAUAUUGCUUUUACGAACCACAGUUGAAGCUUUAGCAUGAUCUUUUAUCCUAACAGGAAAAUGUGGUUUCCCAACAUAAGCAAUAGGAAGAAUAGGAUCAUUAUAAGUGAUAGUCUUUUCUUCAACUUUAAUAGGUGCAACUACUUUUACUUCUAUGAGAGGAUGAUAUUUAAACCACUUCUCCUUAGGGAGAUCAACAUGAGUAGCAAAAGAUUCACAGAAAGAAGCUACUAUCUCAGAGUCAAGUCCAUAUUUAGUGCUAAAUUUACGGAAAACAUCGGUAUCCAUAAAGAUUUAACACAAUCAAACAUAGGUGUCAUACCUGACUCCUUACCUUCGUCGAGAUCCCAGUCUUUAGAGUUGCGUUUAAUUCUUUCCAAUAAAUCCCAUUUGAAUUCAAUAGUCUUCAUCAUAAAAGAGCCAGCACAAGAAGUAUCGAGCAUGGUGCGAUUGUUAUCAGAAAGCCAAGCAUAAUUUUUUUGGAUAAUCAUUUCUCUUGAGAGCUCAUGAUUGGGGCAUGAAUAUAACAUUGAUUUAAGCCUCCCCCAAGCUUGAGCGAUGCUUUAUCCUUCGCGAGGCCAAAAUAUAUAUAUAUAAUUACGAUCACGAUGAACAAGAUGCAUAGGAUAAAACUUCUGAUGAAAUUCCAAUUUCAAUCAUUUGUAGUUCCAUGAUCCCAUAUCAUCACAUAGCCUAUACCAUGUCAAUGCAUCUCCUCCCCCCCCCAAAGAUAAAGGGAAGACCUUCUUCUUGAUAACAUCAUCGGGCAUACCUGCAAGCUUAAAUAAUCCACAAACUUCAUCCACAUAUAUUAGGUGCUCAUCAGGAUGUAAUGUUCCAUCUCCUGCAAAAGGAUUAGCUAGCAGUUUUUCUAUCAUACCCAAAGGAAUUUCAAAGUAGACAUGUUCAUUUUCAAUAGGUUCGGUAGGUUGAGGAGCAACUCUUUGCUCUACUGGUCGAGGUGAAGAUACCCCGAACAAGCCCCUCAGAGGAUUACUUUCCAUAGUAACAAGUGACAGUAAAUUUUAGCACACUAUAUAAAUUUUUCCUUACCAAAUUCCGCCUACCAAAGGCGCUUCACUCCCCGGCAACGGCGCCAGAAAAGAGUCUUGAUGACCCACAAGUAUAGGGGAUCUAUCAUAGUCCUUUUGAUAAGUAAGAGUGCCGAACCCAACGAGGAGCAGAAGGAAAUGAUAAGCGGUUUUCAGCAAGGUAUUCUCUGCAAGCACUGAAAUUAUAGGUAAUAGAUAGUUUUGUGAUAAGAUAAUUUUUAACGAGCAACAAGUAACAAAAGUAAAUAAAGUGCAGCAAGGUGGCCCAAUCCUUUUUGUAGCAAAGGACAAGCCUGGACAAACUCUUAUAUAGAGAAAAGCGCUCCCGAGGACACAUGGGAAUUAUCGUCAAGCUAGUUUUCAUCACGUUCGUAUGAUUCGCGUUCGGUACUUUGAUAAUCUGAUAUGUGGGUGGACCGGUGCUUGGGUACUGUCCUUACUUGGACAAGCAUCCCACUUAUGAUUAACCUCUAUUGCAAGCAUCCGCAACUACAACAAAAGUAUUAAGGUAAACCUAACCAUAGCAUGAAACAUAUGGAUCCAAAUCAGCCCCUUAUGAAGCAAUGCAUAAACUAGGGUUUAAUCUUCUGUCACUCUAGCAACCCAUCAUCUACUUAUUACUUCCUAAUGCCUUCCUCUAGGCCCAAAUAAUGGUGAAGUGUCAUGUAGUUGACGUUCACAUAACAUCACUAGAGGAGAGACAACAUACAUCUCAUCAAAAUAUCGAACGAAUACCAAAUUCACAUGACUACUAAUAGCAAGACUUCUCCCAUGUCCUCGGGAACAAACGUAACUACUCACAAAGCAUAUUCGUGUUCAUAAUCAGAGGGGUAUUAAUGUGCAUAUAGGAUCUGAACAUAUGAUCUUCCACCAAGUAAACCAACUAGCAUCAACUACAAGGAGUAAUCAACACUACUAGCAACCUACAGGUACCAAUCUCAGACUUAGAGACAAGAAUUGGAUACAAGAGAUGAACUAGGGUUUGAGAGGAGAUGGUGUUGGUGAAGAUGUUGAUGGAGAUUAACCCCCUCCCGAUGAGAGGAUCGUUGGUGAUGACGAUGGUGAUGAUUUCCCCCUCCCGGAGGGAAGUUUCCCCGGCAGAACAGCUCCGCCGGAGCCCUAGAUUGGUUCCGCCAAGGUUCCGCCUCGUGGCGGCGGAGUCUCGUCCCAAAAGCUUGCUUAUGAUUUUUUUUCUCAACGAAAGAUUCCAUAUAAUAGAAGAUGAGCAUCGAAGGGCCACCAGGGGGCCCACGAGGUAGGGGGCGCGCCCAGGGGGUAGGGCGCGCCCCCCACCCUCGUGGCUGGUGAGUGGCCCCCCUCUGGUACUUCUUGUGCUCAGUAUUUUUUAUAUAUUCUGAAAAUAACUUCCGUGAAGUUUCAGGACUUUUCGAGUUGUGCAGAACAGGUCUCUAAUAUUUGCUCCUUUUCCAGCCCAGAAUCCCAGCUGCCGGCAUUCUCCCUCUUUAUGUAAACCUUGUAAAAUAAGAGAGAAUAGGCAUAAGUAUUAUGACAUAAUGUGUAAUAACAGCUCAUAAUGCAAUAAAUAUCGAUAUAAAAGAAUGAUGCAAAAUGGACGUAUCAACUCCCCCAAGCUUAGACCUCGCUUGUCCUCAAGCGAAAGCCGAAAUUGAAAAAUAUGUCCACUUGUUUAGAGAUAGAGAUGUCGAUAAAAAUAAAAUACAGACAUGAGGGCAUCAUGAUCAUUCUUAGAACAUCAGCUUAUAUAAUUAUUGCCAUAUGAUCUCUUAUGCUAGAGUAACAAUUCAAUCACAAUUUCAAGUAUGAAUCAUGAACUUCAUUGAAAACUAACAAACUAUAAUCUCAGUCAUUGAAGCAUUUGCAAUUUAUCAUAACAUAGGAAAGAGUCAAUAUAAGAGCUUUUCAGCAAGUCCACAUACUCAACCAUCUUUUAGUCUUUCACAAUUGCUAACACUCACGCAAUAUUUAUGGGUAUGAAGUCUUAAUCGGACACAGAGAAAGAUAGGGGCUUAUAGUUUUGCCUCCCAAUGUUUUACCUGAAGGGUAAUGUCAACAAUAAUAGUUCAUGAAAACUCACAUCCAAUUAGCCAUACAUACCAGGAUCUUCCAACAUAUUGUGCUUGCCAAAAGAUAAAAUGUAAAAAGGAAAGGUGAGGAUCACCAUGACUCUUAUGUAAGGUAGGAGAUAAAAGUAAAAGAUAGGCCCUUCGCAGAGGAAAGUAGAGGUUGUCAUGCGCUUUUAUGGUUGGAUGCACAAAAUCUUAAUGCGAAAGAACGUCAUUUUAGUGGAACUGCACAAAAAGUCAAAAUGGUUCAACAUUAGGAGCAUGUUUUCUUCCAAACCUUUAUAUCCAGUUGGUGGCACUAUGAGUUGUUCAUUAUGAAGGUACAUGGUUUGCUACUAUCUUGCUACUCUUUUUGUUGUCAUUAGAUAGUAAUAUUAGUGGUUUGCAUGUGAAUUUAUUGACAGGGUGGACCUACAUUGGAGGUGCGAGACAUGAUUCAAUGAUUGGAUGCUCAAUUUUGGUUGUAGCGAUUUCACCUCUUCCAUCAUUGCGAACAUGGAUAUCCUUAGUCUAAUAAAGAAUAGGCGCUAUAUUUCUACUCUGUACCAGGAAAUCAAUUCAGUACGAAAUUGUCCAGGGCAAAACAUGACAGUAUCAAAUUGUCCAGUGCAAAACAUGACAGAUGCUAAGCGGAAGAGACAUGUUUAAAUCGAAAAUACAAGGUGAGUUGCUUGAUAUUUGUGCAGAUAGAUGUCUGCCCGUUGCUAUUUGGAAAACAAACAAAGUGACUGCAAUUUUGGUGGAACUGCACAAGAGAAUAAUAUAGUCACUGCAUGUUGUGCCAUUUGAAAAUAGACACAGAAAGAUUGGAUAGUCACUUCAUGGACUGUACAAAAGUAGUAAUGUACUAUUUAUUGGCCAACACUAGGUGCUUCAGUGCUUUGGUCUGAUUAUACAAUGGGCAUCAUUUUACCUAAGUUAAAAUUUUGUAUUCCGAAAAUAGUCUCGUCGUGUGAUCAAGAGAAGACCAAAUCAUAUUGCAGUGGAUGUUCCUCCAUCAUGUGUGGUUCAUUCUCAUGGUUCCAGCUGUUGGUGAAACCACUUAUGUUUGCAAGAGGAAUUGUAGACUUCACAAACAAUUUUUUCUUUCAGUCUGUACAGAAUGUUGGCCAAGAGAAGCAUCCAUGUUAGUAGGAAGAACAUAUGUUUUUUCUAGAUCUUUGCUUUUGGAGCUACAUAUUUGUAUAUGAUUUGUGAAUCAUUGAGAUGCAUUAACAUCUUGAUCUUAUGUAUGGGAUUCGUACUAGUUGGUUGUGAAUUUGGGCUACUAAUGUGAACAUAUUACAAUGCCAGGCAUGUGAGUCUUGUGUGAACAUUUGAACGGAUCGGCUCUUACUAUUGUGCACAACAUGAUCCUUAUUUCUGUGUUCUCAGUGUUUACAAGUUACUAAUAGUUCCUUAUUUUUGUUCGCUCAGUGUUUACAAAUUACUAAUCGAUCACUAGCUAGCCUACUAAUGUGCUCCUGGCUGGGUUUUUUUUGCGAGGCAAGAUCCGAAGUGGCAGUUUUUUGAAUAAAAAUGCCUACCUUUGAAGAAACUGACAUGUUGUUCUGAAGAAAAUGUCAUGCGAAUAUGAAGAAGCUGCUAGUAAAUACGUUAGCAAAUGCCUUAUCUCCCAGCGAACGUUCAUCUGCUAUUGCGAUCCUACACAUACACUAUCCGAUCGACUCGAUACUACGCGAAUAACCAGCGGAUCACGCGUGUACCUCAUCUGGAUGAAUCGAGCGCACUCGUUUGACCGUCAUACCGACGUGCGACCCAGCACAGACGGGACGCACCACUAACGGGAUGGGAUGGGACGACACGGUCAUAAUUUUAGGUUUUCUAGUUUUCCACGGCAAGCUGGGGCGCUAAGCCAUGUGUGCUUAUGCAUUGAAUUCCGAUGACCGUCGCGUUUCCCGUGACACGCUGGUUCACCUAACUUCCUCCUAUAAUUACUGGUUCUUGGCGUUCUCCGGUGGCACCAUCACCCAACUCACCCUAUCCUCAUAAGCCCCCACCGGCCCGACGUCACUCGCCACUUAUCCUCACUCUAGCCACGUCCGUCAUGCCCCCGCCCGUCAGCAAUAGGCGAUGCCGGAGGCAGUCACCGCUGAAACUAGUGUUUGGUCUUUGAUCAGAAGGUAGACGGAGGGAGGAGGCAUUCUAUCGGUCUUUAGAUGGCAAUGCGGAGUAUGAGGACUUGAUGGAGCGCGACCGCCUGGUGGAGGAGCAACGUAUCACCGAUUUGCGCCGCCAGCGGGGCAUGGAGCAGUAGCACACCGAAGCUCUGAAUCGCGAGGAGAGCGCCCGCAACUGGGCCGACUACGUGGAGGUCAGCGCUUGGCAAAUAGCCCUGGAGGCUAUCGGGCAGGCACGUGUUUGCGACGCCAAAUUUUACUACCAGCUCGCCAAGUGGGUUUCACGCUUAGAAGCCAAAGCUUCGGUGGACCACGCCGGCAUGGAAAGGGCCAACGCGCGCGAGCAAUGCGCCCUAUCGCACCUCUGGCAAGUCCGAGGCGAGGCGGAGGACGUCGGUGCCGGCGUUUAGCGUGUACCGCAGAUGGCGGCCGGCAUCGUCUAGUUAGCUAAGGGCAAGUUAGUACUUGUACACUACUAGAGUAUUAGUGUGAGUAGAUAGUUAACUUGGCUAUGAUGGUUGUCAACGUGGAAGUUCAGUACUCUAUAUCUGGAUCAGACCUAUUACUUUGCUCUGAAUAUUGAACUUUCCGUUUGAACAUAUAGAAUGUGUUGUUAUUUUUUAAAUGGGUUGUACUUGUCCGCCACGGCUUUAGAGGCUGACUUGUGGGCCUAUUAGGUUGACACGUACACAAUCAGGAGAUGAUUGUACGUGGAGAGGAUGACAGCAGGGACCCAUCAAGGUCAUGGCAGUACGCAACAGCAAGUGCCUCCUUAUUUCAAGCCCCAAAAAAUGGUUUCUCCAAAUGGUUUCUCCUAAUGGAUUUAUGACAUCUGGGUCCCAUGCCAUUGUCAACGUAGUCAAUAAACAAGAGAAUUGCACAACAAGUGGUUGGCACCAGGGACCCAACAGCUCGCCCAGUUAUUUUUGUUUUUGAGACGGAAGUAGAGUAUCAACUGGGCUGUGCGGGGCACUCUGGCCUGUCUAGCCAACCUUUUCUUUUAUAUUUACCACAAGACCAGCCCAAUAGUUUUUCUUUCUGAAAAUGGCUAGCCCAGUUUUUUGUGCCUUUGCAUAAUACCCAACCGAGGCCUACUUGCUUUGUCAGCCCUGCUGGGUUGCAAAUCUUUCAAGACGAGGAGAGCUUCAUUCGGCUUGCCCAGAAAAUGGGCUAUCACUAAUGAGAAAUGGUUGUACAUUUUUAAAACACAUCAAACCGGCAAUUAGUUUUAAAUUUAUUUUUUUCAUUUUGAGAUUUUAAAUUCCAUUGAUUUUUAUGCAUGGACAAUUUGUUGGAUUUAUAUUGAUAUAAAUUUAUUUUUAAAAUUAGUUUGAAUAUGACUCAAAAUUUCGGGAUUAAAAACAGUUCGGACUGCACCAAAAUAUGCAAAAUUUUGUAUAAUUUUUUAACUGUAGCCAUAAUAUGGGUUGUAAUGCUAACAAAAAGAAUAUGGGCUCCAAAAAAACCUUAAGAAUUAGCAAAUGGGCUAUAAAUUAUUAGAAAUAAUGGCAGAUGGGUUAUAUGAUGUUUUCCACAUAUUUGAGGCUGACUUGUGCACCUACUAUAGGUUGACGCGUAUAUGCUUUCCUAAAAAAAGGUUGACGCACACGCAACGCCAUGUAAACUUAGUCAACACACAACAGCAGUGACUGUUGGAUGUCCAUCCAACAGCCAUCGUGAUUUUUCAAUCUCUUCUCUUCCUGCUCCAGCCACUCAAACAAGUGUUGGCGGGACUGCUUGCUCCCUCUUCCCGUGGUCGGCUGUGCUGUCGUGCAGGCCUCACUGCCCCACCAUACUCCCAUCGCUGGCCUGGCCAUCCCUCUACUCACCCACACCUGUUGUUAUUCUCCAGUGACAGCAAACGAACCAGUAAACCCUCAUAUAUAUAUAUCUCGGAAUGACUAUGGAAAUGCCAUAAUAGGUAGGUAUGGUGGCUGUUUUGAGGAAGGUAUAUGGUGGGUGUAUGGUACCGACGAAAGUUGCGCGGUACUAGAGAGGCUAGCAAUGGUGGAAGGGUGAGAGUGCGUAUAAUCCAUGGACUCAACAUUAGUCAUAAAGAACUCACAUACUUAUUGCAAAAAUCUAUUAGUUAUCGAAACAAAGUACUAUGCGCAUGCUCCUAGGGAGAUAGAUAGGUAGGAAAAGACCAUCGCUCGUCCCCGACCGCCACUCAUAAAGAAGACAAUAAAUAAAUAAAUCAUGCUCCGACUUCAUCACAUAACGGUUCACCAUACGUGCAUGCUACGGGAAUUACAAACUUUAGAACAAGUAUUUCUCAAUUUCACAACUACUCAACUAGCAUGACUCUAAUAUCACCAUCUUCACAUCUCAAAACAAUCAUCAAGUAUCAAACUUCUCAUAGUAUUCAAUGCACUUUUUUAUAAAAGUUUUUAUUAUACCCAUCUUGGAUGCCUAUCAUAUUUGGACUAAUUUUAUAGCCAAAGCAAAUUACCAUGCUGUUCUAAAAGACUCUCAAAAUAAAAUAGGUGAAGCAUGAGAUGUCAAUAAUUUCUAUAAAAUAAAACCACCACUGUGCUCUUAAAGAUAUAAGUGAAGCACUAGAGCAAAAUUAUCUAGCUUAAAAGAUAUAAGUGAAGCACAUAGAGUAUUCUAAUAAAUUAUGAUUCAUGUGUGUCUCUCCAAAAGGUCUGUACAGAAAGGAUGAUUGUGGUAAACUAAAAAGCAAAGACUCAAAUCAUACAAGACGCUCCAAACAAAACACAUAUCAUGUGGUGAAUAAAAAUAUAACAUCAAGUAAAGUUACCGAUGGACGGAGACGAAAGAGGGGAUGCCUUCCGGGGCAUCCCCAAGCUUAGGCUUUUGGUUGUCCUUGAAUUUUACCUUGGGGUGCCUUGGGCAUCCCCAAGCUUAGGCUCUUGCCACUCCUUAUUCCAAAAUCCAUCAAAUCUUUACCCAAAACUUGAAAACUUCACAGCACAAAACUCAACAGAAAAUCUCAUGAGCUCCGUUAGUAUAAGAAAACAAACCACCACUUCAAGGUACUGUAAUGAACUCAUUCUUUAUUUAUAUUGGUGUUAAACCUACUGUAUUCCAACUUCUCUAUGGUUCAUACCCCCUGAUACUAGCCAUAGAUUCAUCAAAAUAAGCAAACAACACACAAAAAACAGAAUCUGUCAAAAACAGAACAGUCUGUAGUAAUCUGUAGGUUUCGAAUACUUCUGUAACCCCCAAAAUUCUGAAAUAAAUUUGUGUACGUGAGGAAUUUGUCUAUUAAUCAUCUGCAACAAGAAUCAACCUAAUCUCACUCUCCAGUAAAAAAUGGAAGCUAAUCUCAUGAGCAUUAAAGUUUCUGUUUUUUACAGCAAGAUCGCAAAGACUUCCCCUAAGUCUUCCCAAAGGUUCUACUUGGAACAAACACUAAUUAAAACAUAAAACCACAUCUAAACAGAAGCUAGAUGAAUUAUUUAUUACUAAACAGGAACAAAAAACAAGAAACCAAAAUAAAAUUGGGUUGCCUCCCAACAAGCACUAUCGUUUAACGCCCCUAGCUAGGCAUAAAAACAAGAAUAGAUCUAGGUAUUGUCAUCUUUGGUGUUGGGAAAGAAAAGAGAAAAUUUCUUAUCUAUAGAAUUUAUCUUUCUAUUUUGAGAAAGCACGUGGCCAUUAAUGGUGGAAGAAAGAUUAAGCACGCUACAAAAAUUUGCAUCUAAGCUAGCCUUCAUCUCUUUGAUAAUUUCGUUUUGAUAAAAGCACAAAAGAGAGGUGGAUUCAACCUUCUCAUUCAUGGGGUGCCCAAAUAUAGUUUUCAUCUUUUCAUAGGUAUCUAUGGCAUCCCCCUCAAGAAAACCUUCUUCAAAAAUAGAAUCUAAAACUUGCUUGAACAAAGAGGGUAAGCCAACAUAAAAGCUUUUUAGGUAUAUCUCAAUUUGAUAUUGGGGUACAUAACUGGCGUGGAUCCUUAAUAGCCUAUCUCAAGCAUCUUUCAAAGACUCAUCAAGUAAAUAACAAAAAAAAUCCCAGGAUCAUCUUCAUCGAAAUUAUUCAAACUCUCAUUGAUAACCCCGAUAGGUCUUUCCAUAGCAUCAUUAUUUAUGAGCUUAGAGAGGACAGAGGGACUAUCCAAAGUGCUAAAACCCGGGAGAGAACCCUUACCCCUUUUUGAUUCGGCCAUGGCAAAAGAAAGGCAAACCGGAAAGAGGCAAACGGAAAAGAGGGCGAAUAAAACGGCAAAGGUGAAGUGGGGGAGAGGAAAAUGAGAGGCAAAUGGCAAAUAAUGUAAUGCGAGGGAUAGGCGUUUGUGAUGGGUACUUGGUAUGACUUAAUUUGUGCGUAGAUCUCCCCGGCAACGGUGCCAGAAAUGGCUUGUUGACGGGAGAUCAAAUCUUGACUUGACUUGGUGCAACCUCCCCGGCAACGGCGCCAGAAAUCCUUCUUGCUACCUCUUGAGCAUGCGUUGGUUUUCCCUUGAAGAGGAAAGGGUGAUGCAGCAAAGUAGCGUAAGUAUUUCCCUCAGUUUUUGAGAACCAAGGUAUCAAUCCAGUAGGAGGUAAUACACAAGUCCUAGUACCUGCACAAACAAACAAGUACCUCGCAACCAAUGCGAUAAAGGGGUUGUCAAUCCCUUCACGGUCACUUAUGAAAGUGAGAUCUGAUAGAGAUAAUAAGAUAAAUAUUUUUGGUAUUUUAUUUAUAGAUUGGAAAAUAAAGAUUGCAAAAUAAACAACAAUAGAAACAGCAAGUUGCUAGGAAAAUAAUAUAAUGAAAAAUAGACCCGGGGCCAUAGGUUUCACUAGUGGCUUCUCUCAAGAUAGCAAAUUCUACGGUGGGUGAACAAAUUACUGUCGAGCAAUUGAUAGAAAAGCGCAUAGUUAUGAGAAUAUCUAGGCAUGAUCAUGUAUAUAGGCAUCACGUCCGCGACAAGUAGACCAAAACAAUUUUGCAUCUACUACAAUUACUCCACACAUCGACCGCUAUCCAGCAUGCAUCUAGAGUAUUAAGUUCAUAAGAACAGAGUAACGCAUUAGGCAAGAUGACAUGAUGUAGAGGAAUAAACUCAAGCAAUAUGAUAUAAACCCCAUCUUUCUAUCCUCGAUGGCAACAAUACAAUACGUGCCUUGCUGCCCCUGCUGUCACUGGGAAAGGACACCGCAAGAUUGAACCCAAAGCUAAGCACUUCUCCCAUUGCAAGAAAGAUCAAUCUAGUAGGCCAAACCAAACUGAUAAUUCGAAGAGACUUGCAAAGAUAUUAAAUCAUGCAUAAAAGAAUUCAGAGAAGAAUCAAAUAUUGUUCAUAGACAAUCUUGAUCAUAAAACCACAAUUCAUCGGAUCUCAACAAACACACCGCAAAAAGAAUUACAUCGAAUAGAUCUCCAAGAGAAUUGAGGAGAACUUUGUAUUGAGAUCCAAAGAGAGAGAAGAAGCCAUCUAGCUAAUAACUAUGGACCCGAAGGUCUGCAGUAAACUACUCACACAUCAUCAGAGAGGCUAUGGUGUUGAUGUAGGAGCCCUCCAUGAUCGAUUCCCCCUCCGGCGGAGCGCCGACAAAGGCCCCAAGAUGGGAUCUCACGGGUACAGAAGGUUGCGGCGGUGGAAAUAGGGUUUCGUGGUGCUCUCGGAUGUUUUCAGGGUAUAUGAGUAUAUAUAGGUGAAAGAACUAGGUCAGCAAAGCCACAAGGGGCCCACGAGGGUGGGGGAGCGCCUACCCCCCUGGGCGCGCCCUCCUACCUCGUGGCCGCCUCGUUUCUUCCUUGACGUCCACUCCAAGUCUCCUGGAUUGCGUUUGUUUCAAAAAUAACUUUCUCGAAGGUUUCAUUCUGUUUGGACUCUAUUUGAUAUUAUUUUUCUGCGAAACACCCAAAUAGGUAAAAAAUAGCAAUUUGCACUGGGCCUUUAGUUAGUAGGUAGUCCCAAAAAUAAUAUAAAGGUAUAUUAAAGCCCAUUAAACAUCCAAAACAGAUAAUAUAAUAGCAUGGAACAAUCAAAAAUUACAGAUAUGCUGGAGACGUAUCAGUGCUCUCGGUGCGGCGUGGUCAAUGUGGUCAAGAAACGACUUCGAUUGGAAGAGUAUUGUACGUGGAGAGACUAACAGUUGGGUCCACGGCCACAGUAAGGAAGUGCAACCUUAUUACGUGUAAAAUAAUUAUUCCUCCACCUGACAGCAGGGACCCACCGGAUGGGCCACCGUAUUUCGUGAAAAAAAUGUUCCCCCUGACUGCUGGGACCCACCAGCUACAUCUUCGCACGCAAGAAAGUGCGUCCAUAUUACGGGCAAAAAAAAGUUCUCCCCCUGACAGCUGGGACCCACCAGCAAUAACUUCGCGCGCAAGGAAGUGUCUCCUUAUCCUCUCUGACAAUCAGAACCCACCUGGUCGAAGUGUACGUAGCGUUGUCAUUCUAGUCACGAACGUGUACGUACAUACUGGUCGACCGAUCUGUCUGCAGACUGCAAUGAUGAACCGUGGCCGAGUAAGGAAGGACAUGUAUGAAUUAGACAAGUAUUACCAUGAAAAAAGGGGCACAUGUCGUAGUAGAGGCGCGGACGUAGCAUAUCACGCAGUCUCAUCAAUAUCGUGUACACGUACGUACAACCAUGGUGCAAGAAAGUAAAUACGGCCACGUACGUACAUAUGGAUGGGGUCUCGAACGCCUACUCGCACAUACGUACGGCCAUGGCUCGUGUACAUGAAGAGGCAGCGACGACGUCCUAUUCAUGGGAAGCCAACCGAUUGGCUCGGAAUGGAGAAACUGCAUCGUCGUGUUCAUCGGGAGGCAACAAAAUGGAUCAUGUUCAUCAGGAGCCAACCGGCUUGGACGGAACAGCCGAAACAAGGUGUGGCGCACCGCAGAACGGAGGAAACGGCCUUGUGUUCGACCACCUACGGGCAAAACGGGAUCCUGUUCACCGGAAGGGGUCUGGCGUACCGCUAAACAAAGAAAACAGACUUCUCUUCAACCUCCUACGGUCGAAACGGGGUCCUGUUGAUCGAGAGGGGUGUGGCGUAUCGCAAAACGGAGGAAACAGACUUCUCUUCGACCUUCUAUGGUCGAAACGGGGCUACUGUUCAUCGGGAGGGGUGUGGCGUACCAUAAAACGGGGCUCCACGGGCUACUGUUCAUCCACCAUCUACUACCUCACUCCAGCCUCCACGGGCUACUGUUCAUCCACCGUCGACCUCCUCCAGCCUCCACCUGCGACUGUUCAUCCAUGACGUCUCCCUCCUGCCUUCACCAGCUACCAUUCAUCCACGGGCUCCUGUUCAUCAAGCCUCCACCGGCUACUGUUCAACCACCCCUUUACGGGCUACUGUUCAUCCAGCCCUCCAUCGGCUACUGUUCAACCCCUCCACGGGGUCCUGUUCAUCCACCCCCCAACCGGCUCGAUCAGGGUCCUAUUCAUCCAGCGGCAACGACCUCUAGCUACUACCCCGGGGUCCUGUUCAUCCAACCCCCACCGGGAACUGUUCAUCCAACCCCCAACAACGUUCACUAUUCAUCAAGAGGCAGCAGGUCCGAUCGGCUUCAGUUAACAACAAUAGCGAAGGAAUCGCUCGAUCGGGUUCAGUUAACAGCCAUGGAUCGAUCGACCGCUCAGGUUCAGUAACGCGUAGCCGGUGCAAUCGCUCGGUUUCAGUAGGCAAAUGCCUCGCCCAGGUUUAGUUAGAGCCCAACGUCUCGCACCCAAGCGCGUACGUGUACGACAGAAACACGCAAUCCCUCCGUGCAUCUCUCGGCCCCGACCACCCACCGUAACCGGGAACUCCCUGAUAUUUUCCUCGCCCUCGCUUCUAUCACGGUUUUUUCUGUCAUGGACGGCCCAAAGAAUGUCAUGCAGCUGCGUCUCCGGCCCGCCCAGGACGAAAAGCCCAUUUUCUGUCAUGAUUUUUUGUCAUAGAAGUAGGAGCCCACCACAUGUAUGAUGAUAUUGGGUUUUGUCACAACUAUCGUCUUGGAAGUGUCAUAAGCAUGACAUAUUUUCUUCGUUCAGCCCAAAAUGUCACGGAUGUGUCUUUUUUGUAGUGCACCGGUCCACCCAUAUAUAAAAUUACCAAAGUAACGAACGUGAAUCAACUAAGCAUGAUGAACAUGACUAGAUGACAAUUCUCACGUGUCCUCGAGAGUGCCUUGCUUGCUAUUAGAGAACUUACUGGCUUGUCCUUUGCUAUAAAAAGAAUUGGGUCACCUUGAUGCACCUUUUUAUUAUUGUUACUUGUUACGAAUUAUCUUGCUACAAAUCUAUCUAUCACCGAUACUUUUAAUACUUGCAGAAAAUACCUUACUGAGAACCACUUUGUCAUUUUCUUCUAUUCCUUGUUGGGUUCGACACUACGGGAAACAACUAAUUUGCUGUUAGGGGACAUCUUUGCCGUCAGCUUUUCGUCGGGCAGACGGCAAAGAAAGGGUUUGCCGUCAUCAACAGACGGCAAAGAAAAACUGACGGUAAAAUAGACUUUGCCGUCUGCUAAAAAAACACGAACGGCAAAGAACUCACUUUACCGUCUGUAAAACAAAAUACAGAUGGCAAAGCUCUUUGCCGUGUGCUUUUUUAUUAUAGAUGGCAAAGUAUAAUCUUUGCCUUCUGUAAUGAAAAACGCAGACGGCAAAGAUCUUUGCCGUAUGUAUUUUAUUUGAUGACGGCAAAAUGAGUUCUUUGCCGUAUGUAAUAAAGAAAACAGACGGCAAACAAGAAACACAGCCCACGGAUCGAUCACACGGAUCAUUGACGUGGCAGCAAUAUCCACCGCAGAUGCGCAACCCACCCCAUCCCUACGAUCUCUCUGUCCCCACCCCACCACCCGCAGCCCAACCAACCCACCUUAUCCACCCGCAGCCCACCCCACCGCACGUUCUCUCUCCCUCUCUCUCGUACCUUUCUCUCUCGCCGGCGUAUCCCGCUCGCCCGCCUCCAGAUUGACCCGCCGGCGCCACCAGCCUCGGUCCUCCGGCCAGCGAAUCCUCUGCCACCGCCGGCAGGCCUCCGGCCUCCCCUUCCUCUGCUCCGUCCCUCUCUGAAUCCUCCCUCUCUCUUUCUCCAGGAACAACCGAGGCGGGCGGCGCGAGCAGGGCAUGGUCGCUCCGGGCUGCAAGAGACGCGCGGGCGGGCGGCGCUAGCAGGGCAGCCGGCGCGGGAGGCCGCUGCGAGCGACGCUCGGGCGGGCGGCGCUAGCAGGGCGCGGGCGAGCAGGGCCGUGCGGCUACGCGGCGAGCAUGGCCGGGCGCCGGUUCGGAGACCAGGUCGGGCGACCAGGGCACGCCUUCUGCCGGCCGGUGCGGGCAGGGCAGCCGGCGCGGGAGGCCGCUGCAAGCGACGCGCGGGCGGUCGGCGCUAGCAGGGCGCGGGCGAGCUGGGCCGUGCGUCUGCGCGGCGAGCAUGGCCGGGCGCUGGUGCAGAGGAUGGCUGUGCGGUGGCGCGGCUAGGCGAGCAGGGCAAGGCGGCGGCAUGGAUCCCCGGCCAGUAGAAGGACGGCCGACGGUCAAGUCCCUGUUCCUGCAGUGGAGAAGGACGAAGGACUUGAUUGUUUUUACUUUUACUUUCUAGGGUCCUUUGUGUAAAUUUUCAGGACAACUGUGUAACUUCUCUAUAACUCCACCUACAAGUGUAACUUCUCUGUAACUCCACCAGUCCACCUACAAUGAAUGAAAGGUAGCACGGCCGUGUCGAAACCAAAUCUAACGUGAGCUGAACCUGCUCUAUUGAUUUGAUGUUCAUGUGUCCGGCGAGAUGCUCUGCUCUGACGUCAUUUAAAAAAAUGCAAAACAGUCUUUGCCGUUUGUACUUUAGUCUAGAUGACAGCAAAGAACAAGUUUUGACUGACGACAAAGAACGUGGUUUUGCCGUGUGUUAUUUUUGCGGCAGACGGCAAAUCUAUAGUUGGCUGACGGCAAAAUCUUUGCCAUCUGCCUGGUCAAAAGCUGACGGGAAAGUAUUCUUUGUCGACUUAUCUUUGUCGUCUGCUUCCUGACGGUAAAAUCUUUGCCGUCUGUAUUAAGGUCUUUGCCGUCUGUGAUUCACAGACGGCAAAUCAUGUAUUUCCUUCUCCCCUCGGUACCCCACCUUGAUAUUGGGUCCUGCAACGUAAUCUUCAUCAUAUCUGGUGAGCCCUCAGGUGUCAGCGCGUGGCGUGUGGGGUUUAUUGGAAUCAAUACUUGUAGACAUGUGUCUCUUCCGCCCGUCAGGACUUCCUCUCUAGGCAAUGGUCCCGAUAGAACAACAGCCUUGACGACUUCUUGUCCGCGAUCAACCGUGUUAAUCUGGCCCGGGUAUUGGAGCGUCUUGCGAUGGCACUCCAACCGCCUGUUCAAGAAGAAGUUAGUGCACCGUAAAGAUUUCAAUGUAAUUAUUUUAUUUUCCAGGGUUUGGUUAACAUUUUUUAUUUUUGCAAAAACUAAAAAAAUCCAAAAAAAUCCUUACGGUAGCCUUUUGGCUCUCGGGUAUUAGUGCUCCUGAUGGGUGAAAAUAGUUUAUUUUUUCUAGUAAUACAAAAAAUCAGCCAAAAACCAUGCGCAUGGGUUGGGGUUGGAAAAUGAAAACAAGCAAUGGUUGGAAAAGCAAAUUCAAAUCUAUACAAACAAGACCAGACUUCUUAUUUCUUCACAAGCCGCAUGCGCUAGAAUUAUCUUAUGAAAAUUUAUCUAUUAAAAAAAUGUAGAUCACCACACAUGUGAUUUUUUGGUUGUUUAUUGCAAGACCGAAAAAAACUGAGAAAAUAUUUUUGGCAGAACGAGCGGUAUUGCCGGAGAGCCUAAGUGAAUUUUCGCUUUAAAAACGCAAAGCAAUUUAAAACGAGAUAUAGCAUUUAAAGAAAAACUCAAUUUAGGAAAAAAAAAACGUGCGAGAUAACUAACUUAUCGGCGUCAAGGCCUCGCGGCGAUCUGUAUAGCCCAAUCAGGCCCAGCCCAGUCUGUACCCUAGACGAGGGAGUCGCUCGACUCCACGAUAUAAAGGCCUGGCACGCGUGGCCGCUAGGGUUCCUCCUCAGCCGUCUUCGCAUCGCCUCGCGCCCGCACCCCAGGAAGGUAAGGUAAGCCGCCCGCCGCCACCUCCCCAUCCCACCCCUCCCCCGCCGCCGUGCUCAUGCUCCGCUCUUCUUCGCCUCAGUUAGCCGGCGUCGAGCCCCCGCGGCUCCCUCGUUCUUGACGAGAUGCCGGAUCCGCUCCAUGCGCGCGAAAUCCCGUGCUUCUCCUGUAGCGUCCGCGUCGUUGUUCAUGACAGUAGCUGUUGUUUUCCUCAGUGAUUUGUCCCGUAGCCCGUCCUAUUCCGCGGUAGUGUGAAGAUCCGUUAGUAGUCCAGAUGUGUAGCAGAUGUUUAUGUUUUGUUGCGCGUGAUGAUCAUGGUUGGUAGAUUUGGGCGUCAAAUUAGAUGCUUGUUUGGGCUUGUGGCUUAUCCCUGUUUCCAGUUCAUGACGAAUCGAGUUAGUGUUCUGUUUAUAGUUGUUUCAUGUAUUUUCAUCACAUGGUCUGUCGAAAUACUGUGCUCGGGAAAUGCUGUUGUUUGGAUUUCGAUUUACCCUUGUGGUAGAAGACGCUCUGAGUUGCUUUAGCUCGGAAAACUAGACUAGUUUCCUCUUCCAACACACACAGCUUGCUUUUCUAAUGUCAUUGUAUUUUCCUAUAUCGUUUCUCGUUAUAUCGAUCUGAAAUCGCUGCUCGUCUGUGUUUGCAGCUCAAGAGGCUGUCCUGAGAAGCUCAAAUGGCUCCCAAAGGUAACCUCAAAAUGUUGCAGAACUAUGUGCCUCCAUUUUUUGUUGUUGAAAAUGCUAAUGCAGACAUUUCAGGUGCUUUAGAUUUGAGUUCAUGUGUAGUUCAAAGUUUGCUUUACAUCUCACAGUAUUGUGGUCUCACUAUUGGAUUGGUCAACAUGAAUGAAGGCAGUUUUCACUAUUUGGUUGCUCUUGUAAAAUGUUUGUUCUUUGUCAUACAUAAAACUGACAAAUUUUUAUGGCAAAAUUUCUUUUGCCAACUGAAUGGUGCUCCAAUAGUAUGCUCUGCAAAUUUCAGUGAUAUGCUGCAACUUGUUACUCUUUGCCAUGUUAAAAACUUAAACUCAUGCUUGACUGAAUUGCCCCUUUAUGAUCCAGAAGCUUACUCUCAUCUGUCAUUCUGUAUGUCUUGCUGCGAAGUCCAUUAGCUGAUUAUUGUUUCCAUCUGUUACCAGUUGCUGUUGCCAAGAAGGGCGAUGCCAAGGCCCAGGCUGCCAAGGUUGCCAAGGCUGUGAAGUCCGGGUCAAUCAAGAAGACCGCAAAGAAGAUCCGCACGUCUGUGACAUUUCACCGCCCCAAGACCCUGUCCAAGGCCAGGGACCCCAAGUACCCCAGGAUCAGCACCCCUGGCAGGAACAAGUUAGACCAGUACCAGAUACUCAAGUACCCGCUUACCACUGAGUCUGCGAUGAAGAAGAUUGAAGACAACAACACCCUUGUCUUCAUCGUCGACCUGAAGGCAGACAAAAAAAAGAUCAAGGCUGCCGUGAAAAAGAUGUACGACAUCCAGGCCAAGAAGGUUAACACCCUGAUCAGGUUAGUAUUCUGCUCACAUGUUCGUUUGCUGUGCUGCUUGCUUGAUCCUCUAUGACGUGCAGCUAGGUGACCAACCAAACUUGCAAUUUUGCAGGCCUGAUGGCAAGAAGAAGGCGUACGUGAAGCUGACACCAGACUAUGAUGCUCUUGACGUGGCCAACAAGAUCGGCAUCAUAUAAGUCAGAGGGACGGUCCUGCAGUAGGCGCUUGUGUCGUGGUUUCUUAUGUUAUUGGAGUUUUGUAGUUGUUACUUAGCAAAGGGGCUCAGUGGCUCCAUUGCCUACCAUAUCGCCGCGCACUUUCAUGAAUUUGAUGCAAUCGAAGUGACUUGUGUUGAUGCUAAUUUGAGCUUUGCGUUUGGUCUUACCGUAUUGGUUGGUAUCUUUACCAUCCUUCGACUUACCUUAUUUCCUGUAUAAUUUCCCAGUUUUGCUCGUGUGUGUUUGUGUUGAACUCUUUGCUGCUUUGGGCGAUGAGACAGAGAGCCGUUUUGUGAUGUGAUAUUGUGAUUGACUGGUUGCAUCAGUAGCAGAAGCUACCGAUGUGGUAUCUGAAAUUACAUGGCAUGUUGAUGGUUAGGCAUACAUAUGCACAGUUAACAGUCCUACACUGAUCACCUGAAAUUUUGUUGUUACUUAGCGAAGGGCCUCGGUGGCACCAUUGCCGCUGCUUUGGGCGAUGAGACAGAGUGAUAUUGUGAUUGACAUAAGCUUGCAUCUGUAGCUGAAGCUGUGGUAUCUGAAACUAUCAGGUUGAUGAUUAGGCAUACAUAUGCACAGUUAAUCCUACAAGGGUCAGCCGGAAUUUUACAUGUCCAAAUAAAACUAAGAAUCGGCGAUGUAUAAUGUAUCACAGCCGUGCUGGACCUAGCUGUAGCCGAACAACCAAGUCAAAUUAGAGAUGCUCAACGCGGAGUACGACGCAUGUGACGGAAGAUUGGCACCGGCGGCGAACCCUGUUCCCAGGCCGGCGCGUGGCUUCCAGACCACGGCAACCGUCACGUCGUCGCACGCAUUCUCCCGGCCGUACGCCGCCGAGGCCACGCACAGCCGCUCCACGGCCUCGGCGCACUCCGGCGGCAACCGGGCCCUCGCCACGAUGCGCGCGACGGCCUCGGCCCGCCUGCGCCGCUCCAUGCCCAGGAACUCGGCGGCGCUGCCGCCCUUGUUGCCCAUGAGGACGCGGCGGCGGCCGCGGUCGAGAACGAGGUGGACGAAGAGCUGGUGCUCGUGGAGGUCGGCGGCCAGCGUGCGCCGGCCGGAGGCGCGCAGGCGGACGGCGCCGUGGCAGGUGGAGGCCGUGAGGGCGAAGGCGACGCCGUCGGAGUGGGUCGUCAGGUCCGGCAUGGGCCCUUGCUCGGUCGUCGUCGUGGUCGCCGGGACCUCGAGCCGAGUGGUCUGCGAGAGCGUGGCUGGCUACGCGUGAUGGAGGGGCUCGUGGCAUCGUCCAGGCGAGCGAUUAAUUAGUUGGCGAGAUGCGGAAAGGAGUUAUGGUCGGCGUAGUAUUCUGUUUUCUAGGUUUUUGGUUUCGGACCCGGGCGCGCGCGCGCGGAUACGCGGCAUUGGUUACUGACGUGCCAUUUCACUUGUUUAUUUCCUUGCGCUUUCUCUGGAUCUCUAUCUCUCUCCGCGGUAAGGUUUCAGUCCUUCACGUUUCCCCCUUCCUCUCUUCAUUUUUUUUGUUUUAUUUAUCUCUGAUUUUCUUUGAAAACCACAUCAGCUGUCCAGCCUCUUAUUGAUUUGUCAAAUAAAAUUUUAAUGUUUGUGCACAACCAUACUAAUUUGGACACGUAAAUCAAUAGCUUUCUCACGGUAGAUUUUUCAUAGCUGUUUAGGAGAUUUUGUGCAGCUGCUUUAAAAAAUCCACAGCUCAAUCAAACACCACCUAAAAUAUUUAUACUCUUGUUGCAACGCACGAGUCAUUAUCUAUAGUUGAAUUACGUGGAGAGCUUGGUUGUUCCUUCAAAGAGUUGAAACACAUAAUCCACUUUCCAUACUUGGGCGUCUCCAACGCCGACACCCAAUUGCUUGUAUCCGUUCAAAACACAACUGUCCAGACCCUACAAGCCAUCCAACGGUGACCCCCAUCGGUCAGCAGUCCGGGCCGUCGUUUUCACGCAAACCGGAACCAGACCAGGGGCUUGGCAGGAGUUCGGAUACUAGCUAUCCACGUAGGUCUCUGACAUCCUAGGGCCACCCAAAACUAAGGCGGAGCUCGUGCUUUUGUAGCUGAUUGCACUGAUUUCGCGACAAAAUUCCUCACUCUCCUCUUUCAUCCCACCGCUCUCACUCAAUUCCCGUUCUUAUUCUUCAUUGCUGACGCAUGGACCCGUAAGAGAAGCUGCCGGACACGGCGAUGGUGGAGAAUCCAGCGAUCUAGUUACCAAGAAUAUGCUCAAGAUCGAAGAGAGGAAGGCCAUGCUCGAAGAGAAAAAGAUUGAGAUCGCAGCUGCUUCGGAGGACACAAAGAUGUUGACCUUGAAGAUGUAGGAUUUAGACGACGAUGCAAAGAUAACCGUGCAAGCCGUCUAUUUCAAGAUGUUGAAGCGGCAGAAGGAUCAUUUGGAGAGAGUAAAGGAGGCGGCCGAGACGGUGGCAACGACAAAUUGAGCGUGGAUGCUCGAAUUGCCGGUCAGGCAGAGCAUUUUUUGCACGAACUGCCGAACUAAUAUACUUUUGUGAUCGAGUAUCUAAAACUAUGCAUACUUGCCCCUUUUUGAUUGUGAUCGGGACUGAUGUGAUCCGGCGCGUGCUAUGUGAUCGGACGGAUUUUGAAUUUUAAAUUGCCAUUACUAGUGGACAUUUAGGGGAUAGCUUUGGAUGGUCGCCUUCCGCAUUAGUGUCCAUGGACUGGUCCCCACUGGUCCAUGGAUGGAUACGGUGUCCGGUUAGGGAGUCAGCGUUGGAGAUGCCUUAAAACUUAUGGUAGUCAUUGCGCAUUGGUUGUUUCCUUCAGGGGUGGACCCAUAUUGCUUUCUAUCAUGGGGCAAACCAAUGGAGUGGGGACACUUGCAUGAAUUCAGACAUUUUGACUCACUUAAAAAAAUCAAACGAAGUCUAUUGAAAAUUGAGGAUAUAAAUUUGUUUUCACAGUAAGAUAAAACAAUCUACAUCUCUGAUAUGAUGUCAAAACAUAUUUUCUGUGAUGACCAUGUACGGUGAUUGAAGACUUUUACGGUACCCUCAAAUAGAUAUGAGCAUACGUUUUAAUUAGGAGGACAAAGGUCUAGAUCAUUAUAUACCAGUGCUCAAAACAUGAGCAGUAUUGGUCUUUGUAAUGAUUGAAUUGGUAGAGUUUGACACUAUCUUUUUUAAGGAAUGGGGAAGGGGAGAGGGGGGGGUGUAAAUAUGUUACUCGACAAGUAACCAAGUAGGAGACCGUUUACAAAAAAUGAUUGUACAGGCACCUGCACGUGAAUGGAGGUAUUUGCCACGAGUAAGUGAUAACCUCAGCACACUAUUUUAUAAACCAGUAGGUCGAGAGAUCUAAGUCAUUGACGACUGACUUGAGAGUGGUAGCACUAAGAACAUCUUGGCCCUAAAUGGUCUUGGCAUUCCUUGAGUCUCAAACUUUUCACAGGAUCAAAAGUAGGAUGGAUGGCCAAUAGGACUAGUCUAACCCUGGCGUCAGCUGACGACCCCAAAGAUCCGCCACAACGUUGGUGGGAAGACACCGAUGUCUUGGCAGACUCUACCGGAGAAGGGACACUUGAUGGAUAUGAUUGGAGUCCUCUAGCUCAUGGUGACAUCUUGAGUUGUUUGAGAUGUUCUUGUGAGCAAGAUCACCCUAAAAUUAAGGCGGACACGAAACAGAAGUCAGGCGAAGAUCUUGUUCAUGUUUGAAACCCUUGUUUUCAAGAUGUGUGGAUAGGAGGUUCCACCCUUCUCGCGCAUGAUGAGGUGGUAGGCAAGCAUUGCGGAGAAGGUCCUUCCCGAGUUGAGGAAGCGUGAGCAUGGUUAUGCCAACGACAAGAAAUCUUGCAACAAGGAGGCAACCAAUUAGGCUAGUUACCGGCGGAGCUAUGUAGAAGUCCGAGGGGCCAUGGCCCCCAGCCCCAACAAGAUUUAAUUUUUAUGAGGUGCUAGCUAGUAUGCCUUAAUCCCAUGUUUGCACGCAUGCAUAUGCCCAUCAUCUUCAACUUCACGCAUACACAUCUCGGCUGCCGCGAAGAUCCUGUUCAUGUUUGAAACCCUUGUUUUCAAGAUGUGUGCAUAGGAGGUUCCACCCUUCUUACACAUGAUGAGGUGGUAGGCAAGCAUUGCGGAGAAAGUCGUUCCCCAGUUGAGGAAGCGUGAGCAUGGUUAUGCCAACGACAAGAAAUCUUGCAACAAGGAGGCAAUCAAUGAGGCCAGUCACCGGCGGAGCUAUGUAGAAGUCCGAGGCGGCCAUGGCUCCCAGCCCCAACAAGAUUUAAUUUUUAUGAGGUGCUAGUAUGCCUUAAUCCCAUGUUUGCACGCAUGAAUAUGCCCAUCAUCUUCAACUUCACGCAUACACAUCUCGGCUGCUGCUUCAUCUCCUUGGGCAUUGCUACUCAGGCGCUCGGCUGCUCCAUUUCAUCCGACAUGACUGCCGCCACACAGGCUCGACGCUGACUCACGAAGAGCUCCAAUUUUGGGCCACGCGUGUAGCCGGCGACAACGCCGUGUAGGGAGGACGACCAGGCUGAUAUGUAGAACCUCCAUGGUUUGGUAAUGACACGUUGAGAUUUGAAGGCUUAACAGUAUAUGCAUCCAAGUAGACAAGAUGUAUGUUUUGGUCUAGUUUUUUUAGUAUACAUGUACUUUGCAACCAAUAUAGGUAAUGUAAAUAUAACUUUGUCUUAAUGCUACAAGUUCUAGUUUAUUGCCAGAAAUUUUUUUUGCGCCUCCUCUCCCCACGCAUUUUUGUCAAGCUCCACCACUUAGGCCAGUGGUUUGGUCCUCGACUCCUCAUAGCACCAUAAUUAGGUGUAGGAGGCGAUCGUUAGAUCCGACGUCAAUGACACAAAUAUAAGGUUGAGGGAGGGGAAGAGCAUUGGGUAGUGUUAAUGUGGUCGAAAAUGAGUCGUCGAAACCAUACCAGGUGGUGUAACUGGGUUGUUGCAUACACUCCAUUUAUCAGGGAUGCAUGAGGACGCAGACGCGUCCCGACGUCCGCGAUCAUUCGCGCCUCCAAAAAUAAACCAAUAUAUGUUGCUCUUCUAAAUGUGCUAAUACAAAUAUCCUCAACGCGGCUGUCGUUGACUUUUUUAAGAGGAAAUAUUUUUUUAGAGGACUGUUGUGGACUUAGUGGACUUGUUCAGGGGCGGAGCUCUGUUGGGGCCAAACUGGGCUAUGGCCCGCCCAGGUUUUUUGCACUUUUAAUUUUACCUAUGCAUCGAAGCAAAGCCCACCUGCAGCCCAGUAAGCAUAUGAUCGAUCCAAAGCGCUCGAGGUCUCUCAGUCGCAAGUCGCCAUGCUCUCUCGCACCCAGCCGGCACGAGCUCCUGCUGUUUCUCACGGCUGCAGCAGGCAGGAGGCAGAGACAUCGACGAAUCAAGCAACCACUCCAUCCAAUUUCCUUGCAAUUACGAUUAAGCAAGAGAUCACAGCUAAUCUAAUUUGUUUUCCCAAAUACUGAGUUCAACGAUGUAGUCAAAUACAUCAUAUAGUCCUGGUUAGAUAGUCUGAUUGUUCCACUCAAUUGAGGGGCAUGAAUUAGAUGAAAAUAGUACUACAUUGUACAUCUAAUUUUCCUGCAAUUGCUUCAUUAGAUAUCCUGAUCUUCCACUCAAUUGUUCUUUGCAUUUUACAAAUCACAACAUAUAUUUGGUAGCCAAAUCACAACAUAUAUUUGGUAGCCAUAAGCAAUGGUAAGCAAGCUCACUCACACCUAGAGAAAAAUUGAUUUGGUUUUCAAAAGAAAAAGGAUCAUUUCAAAAUUCACUUGAUAUAUACAUAUAUUCUCACUCCAUCUUGUAAUCCUGUUUUACAGACUAAUGAGUAUGACUCAGAUUUUUUUUUUGAAAAAACAGUGCUCUUCCUUUGUUUGGCCCGCCCAACAUUUUCUUUGAAGCUCCACCACUUGUUCACUUGCAUCCCUAUGAUGUAACCUCCUAGCAAGAACCACAUUUAUGCAUGUAUGUAUGCGACUUGUAUUUUCUUUUUUCGAAAGAGAUAUGAUUUACAUUUCCUGAUUUUAGUCGACAUGUUACCUUUUUUGAGAUGGAGAUGUUUUUUGCUUCAACGGGAAAUCCCGUUAAGGACAGAAAAUUGAUGAUAGCUCAUCGCCCCAUACCCAAUACCUUCCAUCUUAUACCCCUCUCCCCUCCAAAGUCCAAACCACCCGAACUUCCCUAACAAACUUCCACCCUCGAUUCAUCUCGGCCAGAAGCUCGUUCUUGGCGGCAAUGGCAACGGCCGUGCGGAGUCUGCCGCCGGGCCACGCGUUCGAGCCCAGCGGCCACCAGAUCAUCACGCAGUACCUCGCACCCAAGGCGCUCCGGGGCGACGCCACCCCGGGGCACGUCGCGGAGGGCGUGGACGUCUUCGCCGCGAGCCCCCCGGCGCUCCCCUUCCACCCCAGCAGCAGGCGGCGGCACGGGGAGGCGUGGGGCUACUUCUAUGGCGCCCAGGCCAGCGGCGACGCGCGGCCGGCGCCGGGCGGGUGCUGGGCGCGGUACGGCCGCGAGAAGGGGUACGUGCACGGCGCCGGCGCGGCCGCGGAGGCGGUCGCGUUCCGAAGCAGGUUCGCUUUCCACGUGCCGCGGAAGGGCUGCGACGGCGGGGCGGCGUGGGCGCCGACGCCGUGGCUGAUGAAGGAGUACCGGCUCAACAAGGGCGCGGCCGCUUUCCGCGCCGCGCAGCCGGGCCCCAAGGCGAACAUGGACUGCGUGGUCCGCAAGAUCUUCACGAAGCCGGUGGUGGCGGCCCCUCCGCCGCCGGCUUGCAGCUCCGACGAGGAGGACUCCAGCGGCCCCGACAUGGACGAGGAGGACGACGGGUGGUACGGCGAAGAGGACCGGAAGCGCGUCGGCUGCUCCAUCGAGGGCCCGCCGAGGAAGCGCGCUCGACCUAGCUGAUGAUGCCGACCGAGCGCGCACGGGUGUGGGGAUUGUGAUCCAUCCGGACGACUGGCUCGUGUCUCGCCGCGUUGCAUCGGUCAUGAAAACAAUCCAGGAUCGCUGCUGCGUUUAUCCUUCGGAGAGCUUUUGAUUUACAGUAACAGUACAUGGGUUUCUGUAGUUGCAGUCAUCACCAAACCCGUAGUUGAGAGAAACUGGUAGAGCCGAGAAUCUGAAUCUGUACGUAUCUUGCAUUGGUUCUGUAACAUUUUGAUCUGCUUGCUCUUGUACGAAUAGUUCAGGAAUCAUAUGCUUCAGGGUUGCAGUUCUCUUGGAUGUUGAAGUAGCAGCUUGUUUGUAAGAGAGUUUUUCACUUAUCAAUUCUCAUGUUGAUGCAGAGUAAAACCCCCUCUGUCCCCAAUCAACUCUCUGCUAAGUAAUCCUUCCUUGUACAAUUGCAGAAAUGUGAUGCUGGUCACAGAGGGAACUGUCUUCUGUGACCACCUCAUCAUUUUCCUGCAACACAUUGGUUGCGAUUUCAGAAAUUGCAGAAAUCAGCUACUCGUUGGAAGAUUUCUUUUCCAGAAUCUUCUCGUGAGCAUAUGCAUAUCCAAUUGCAGAAAUCUUCUCAUCAAUCCACUGCAACAAUCUUUCGGUUGCGAUUUCUUUUCCAGAAUCUUCUCGUUGGAAUGAAGCAUUAAGGAGUAAGUAUCAGCAAGGAAUUAAUACACUCCCAGGCCCAGCUAAUCAGCUACUCAAAUAACUUUUCCGAAUGCAUCCAGUGAGCAUAUGCAUAUCCAAGUUCUGAAUGCACUUGACAGUUCAAAACAAUUAUGGCGUGAUCCUCAAGUCAAAAAGAGAACAAAAAAUGUAAACAAAAUUACUCGUGCAUCACAAGCCAAGCCUCCGUCCAAACUUCUAACUCAUGUGGGGAAUCAUCCUAGCGAAAUCAAGUCAAAGGAGACGACUAACUCAGUGACUGCGUGGCUCAUCGGGUUCAGAAGCUUCUGCGGGGCUUUGCUUUCGCGCUUGCAGUAGGCGGCGCAGCCUUGUUGGGAUUGUCCAUCACCCCCAGUUCCAUGGAGGCCUUGCUCUUGCGCUUGCCGUGCGGCCCGUCGUCGGCUCUGGACGGGUCAGGUGCCGCUGGCGCCUUGUGCUUGAACCGGACCAGCAGGAUGGUCAUGUUGUCGACCGACGGUUGCGGUGGCUCUACGCACAUGUCAAGGAUGGCCUCGCAGUUCUUCCCAAGGUCCAUCCCCUGUGUGUGCAUGUGUGUGUUGGUCACAGCAAUACAUAUGUCAAGUUAAAGGGGAAUUUGAUGAGCUAAACAGGCAGACAUGCUGGUGAAACAAGAAGAAAUGCUCACAGAUUUCAUGUUGUUUCGUAUAAUUUCAACCAGGCCCUGGUUUAGCACGACGUCCCUGCAAAAAACGAGAGGUGUGUGAAUUUAGAGCAAAAAGCUGGUUUCAAUAUGAUAUUUUCACCGGUUUCCACCGAAUGUUUGUUUCCAUAUGAUAUUUUCGCAAUUUAGAUAGAGCAAAGAGCUGGGAGAUAGAUAAGUUAUGUCAGUGAGUAUGUCCGGGAAGGCAGAGCACAAAUUCCUAGCUACACUUCACCAUGUUUCCUUCACUGCCAACAACAUGCAGGCCAAAAAUUCUAAGAUCCAGGUUCUUCAAAGUAGGUUCUUUAUUAUAAAGAUAAGGCAGGCAUAUUUCAAUAUCUUUUUCCAACCAACUGACCAGGUUAAGUUCAUAUUCAUGCAUUCAGGUUAACAUUUUUCUGGAAAAAUUAUGAAGUACUCCAUACUAGCACAACAAGGGAUCAGCAGAGAUUCCGGUAUUCUGUACCUUCAGCAAAUCAUACAACAAUGAUAUGUACACGGUGAUGAUGCAGCUUAGCCCAAAGCAAAGCAAAUUUAACUGAACCCAAAUCUACAAAAUUCUUCCUUGGUAAAGACUACUAACUAUAUCUCGAGAGAAACGCGACUGUUGAAACUAACUGUCAUUUCGAGUCCGUGUACCAUGUAUGAAACUAAUCAUAGUCAUCACAGCAAACAAUAAUUGAUCAAAGCUUCAACAGUAAUAUAUAUUUAGUUGAGGACUUACCAGACUCCAUCACAUGCCAUAACAAGGAACUCAGUUUCAUCAGUUAUGUUCUCCUAACAGCAAAAGGGUCAUUUUCCAUUAGACCGUAUCCAGCAGGACAAACAUACAGAUUUUUAUGACAAUUCAGUAACUCACUACGCGAAUCUCAGGAGAACAAGUCAGUGCUUGUAGUGCAGGGGUCAGCCGGCUAUUGCUUUUAUACCUCAUAUCACCUGAAAUGCAAGCAAAAUGCCAAUUACAAUGUGAUAAACUCAAAAAACGAACAUACAAGAUAAAACUGUACCGAUCGAUCUGGAGACCGCGAUUCCACCAUCGAUGCGACCUGCUCCUCCAGUAACUACAACAGAGCGUCCUGCGUUCUCUAUUCUCCGUCUUUCAGCCGGCACACUCGGUUUGUGAUCGGUGGUCAAAACAGUUGCCUUAGAACACAACAAAGAUAAAACCAGGCACUAUUAGGAGUCACAGUUAUAACAAAAUACUGCACGGAUCGGGUACCAGCCAGACACCGAGAAGAGAAGUACCUGACCGUUCCUUGAGAUUACGCAGCGACAAUCACCAGCAUUCCCAACAAUGAUCUGGUUGCCUCUGAUGAGAGCCACACAGGCGGUACUUCCUACGUCUGCUGGCCCGGGGCGUCUCUGCAGACAAAUAACUCAAGCUGAAGUAAACAAUAGGUGUUUUCAUAACAUGAGAUUUCUACAUACAAAUAACUGGAGGGGAUGUGUAAAAAAUAAAAAAUGAGAUAUGACCUUCACAUUUACACAAGCACAACCGAGCAACAUAUCCUUGACAGUCGAAUUCGUAUUGGCAUUAUUAGCAGGGCUAUACUCAAAUAAUUCCCUCCGUCCCUCCUCUGUCAUCAUCAUCUGAUCCAUUCUGCAACAGUCGAGUAGCAACAGCGAUUACAAAUGUGACACAAAACUAUAUACUCCUGGUAGUAUCGGCAGAAAACUCCGGGAGAAACUGCGUAGCCUCAAAGAACUCAUAGGAUGCACGAAUUGCUUAGCUACUAAAUAACCUGAAGAACGCGCUCUCCACCGCAAUACGCAGACUGUCAUUGAAGUGUGGAUGCUUCUGGACCUCAAGAUGGAAGUGUUUCGCACAGAACAUUGAUACAGCAGGUCCUGUAUCAAGAAACAUUUCAGAUGGUAGUAAAUGGCACGCACUUCUUGCAAAAAGGGCAGGAUGUGAAAGGAUUUAUGUGAAUUCCAGGAGCUAAAUCUGUAUCAUGCAUAUAUCUGAAUUCUGCUUUUCGCAGGAGGAUGGGACUGAAUAGUGAAUGCCAACCUCCAUGGCCAUCAUAAACACCAAAGAACGAUGUGGCGGUGGAAACAUCAAGAUCUCCAACAGCUGCAUGCUGGGGAAAAAGAAGACCAGGAAGUUAGGCCUUGGCAUUUCACCAAAGAUAAACCAUGUAUCAGGAUGGUUUUUACUCACGGCAUCUUCCAUGUUGGCACGGUAACCUUGCAUGGACGACACCGCGUACUCGAGCCUGUCAUUCUCCCCCCUCUCGGUGGUCUUGGACAGCACCGGCUCCCUGCUGAUUGUGCUCAUGCCGGAGUUUGCCUGCCUGAAAGAUCACAGCAGCAUGGAUGAAAAAUCUUGCAGGAGUAAGAAAGAAACUCGAGAGCAAACCGAUGGUGAGUGAGAUGCAUGCAGAUGCAGAUGGCAUAAAUACCAGAAGAGAAAGCAAUGAAUAAAAAUCCAGACGAGACAUCACCAUGCGUUCUUCAUGGCUUGGUGGUGGCCGCCUCGUCCUUCUUCCUUCUCCGUCUGCGACGCAUGCACGAUGGAGCAGCAGCCGGAGCCAGAGAGGGUCCGGGAGGCCAGGUCGGUUGCGCCUGUACCUGGCACCAAAUGCAUCCGUCACGUCUGCAACGGCGGCCGGAGGGGACUUGGGAAAACAUUUCAGGCAAUGCUCAAAUUGGGACCGGGCGGAGGCAGGAUUCGGACACGGGAGGGGCCAACAAAGAGACGGCGACGGGCGAUCACGGAUGAAAUGGGAUGUAUCAAGUGCCAAUGUUUGGCAAUGGCAUUGCAGGUCGUCAGAAUGUAAGAUCUCUAACCUUUUCCCCGUGUGCGAGUAACUAGGGCACUGGCAUUGCCGCAUUGCGCAAAUAGCGGCGCGCAUUCAUACCUUGGCGGAUGAUCCGGCGGUGCGGUCGAGCGGCGGCCGGCGGGAGGCAAGGCGGCGAUCAGAGGCGGCCGGCGAUCAGAGGAGCCGGCCGGGUGCCCUGGUGGAGACGAGUGGCGGAGGAGCAGACACAAAACGAUCUACGACCCCGGAUUGCGUGGCACUUGCGAUCGACUCUUUUGUUGGACCCACAUGGGCCUCUCUCUACCUGUACCCCCCACGAGGGAGGGCUUCACUGCUCUGGCGUGUACGCCUGAAACGGAUUUAUUGCAGGCUGAAUUGGGCAACUCGCCGUCUCACUUACAUCUCCACCAGAUACCGCUCUUCUUUCUUCGUGCAUCGCUUUUCUUUCUUCCCCACGAAGAAAGAAAAAGAAGUAAUAUCACCGGAGGUCAUAUAACUUACGCUGGAUGUUCAGUUUGGUGCUAGAACUUUGAAAAUACGGAUUUGUGAUCAUCUAACUUGCGUUCUCGUGCAAAUACGGUCAUCUUAUCCGUAUCCGGAUGUAUCCUGCGCUUACGUGGCAUGACUAAAACCAUUUUUUACCGAAACACCCCUGCUUUGUUUUUAAUUGCACAGAAGCCCCCUCAUCAACACAUAUAGGUUACACUUGAUAGAGAAAUGAGAAAUAAAAAGGCCGAGCGCAUGUCACGCUUGACAAAGAAAUGAGAAACAAAAGGGCCGUGCGAGGCUUGAAUUCACGAGGCCAUGCACGCACAUGGCCUGACCAAACCAUUGUACUAAGCACGUCUUUAAAGAAAUAUACCUUAUUUCACUCUAUAAUGUAAGCAGGGAUCAGCUGACAUUUUCACAAACUUGCAAGCUGGGGUCACCUACUGGAUGCGCAAUACUAACCACUGGAACAUGCCCAAGAUUUGUACUUUUUUAGUUUCAAUUUAUAUAUUUAAUUGCCAAAAACUUUUGAAUUCAAAAUCCAUUUGAAUAAAUUCUGGUGAAAAAAAUCCGCUCAUCCUCAAGUAGUUGUCGUUGCCAACAUAUAAAAUUCUAGGUUUCUCCUUAGACACAUGAACACGUAUGGAUUCCAAAAUGGCAAAAAAAUUCGCUCGCGCUCGAAAUGCUUGAAAAUUCUUUCAUACAAAGCAACAAAUUUUUUGUUUGAAUUCAAAUAAUUAAAAUUUUAGAAGUCUAGAUAAAUAAAAUAUAGCACAUAAUGAUAUAUCAUUUUAUCCUGAUGUUUGUCCAUUAAUUAGCUUGCAACUGGCCCGGGUUUGAAUCUUGCAUAGGUUAUAUUUUUGCCAAAAAAACAUAUUCAGUACAAAAACAAUCAAAAUGUUUGUACCUCGUGAUUUGAAUUCUAGACCUAGAGGAGUGAAGAAAACUAAUCUACCGCAACAGUACAAAAUUGGAUUUGAAAUUUAAGUGAUCCAAGUCCAUUUUGACAUAGGAGUUCAAACCAACCAUAAACAAUUUGAGCGGAAUGAAAAAAAAUUGUGCACCCUCUAAAUUCAUUUAGAUAACUUGAUAUUAGAGCAAGUUUAUUGAUAACAUCAUUGUUCUCUUUGUAUAUGAUUGAAUUUAUGGUUGUCCCAGCUAAAAAAGAAUUUAUUUGUCGCAAAAAAAUUAAAAGAAAAAUAAUUUGUUUGUCGGGUUGCACAAUAUAACAACAUAUGCAUGUCAAUACUAGACAACAAAGGACGUCUAGUGUGGUGGCUAAAACGUGAGACCGGAUUGAAGAGGUUGUUGGUUUGAAUCCAAACGACACGAUUAAUUUUUAAAUCUUCAAAUCUUUCUCACGUCCACUAGCAGGUGAGUCCUUUAUAGGCCUGACUACCAAAUGAGACCCACAGACUUAAUUAUUAGUACUUAUUACGUGCGAAUGAAUUAUACAGCCAUAAUUAUGAAAAAACUAGGGGUGUUUCUACAAAAUGGACGUUACACAUGUCAUACCUAACGCCUCCUCCACCAACAAUUGUUGACAGUGGGACCAUGCAUGCGUGGCACGCCAUGCAAGCGGUGGAUACGCCCGCGUACACGUUUUGUGACCGUAUUUGCACCACAAUGCAAGUUGGAUGACCACAAAUCCGUAUUUUCGAAGUUCUAGCACCAAACUGAAUAUAGAAAGCAAGUUAUGUGACUCCCGGUGAUAUUACCUCGAAAGGUGAUCUCGUCCAGGGGCGUUUUCUUCCACUGCCGUCCCUCGGCGGCUCCCCACCGCCGAGGUCGUCUGUGUGUGUUUUUUUUGAAGGUGGGGGGGGGGGGUAGCUUUUGAUUUUAGUCUCUAGUACUUUAGGAUUUUGGGAUGUUUAUUGCUUUGGCCUCGGCGACGGCAAUGGCAGCGCUGAAUAAAGAAGGUUUAGAAAUGGGCGAUACCCGCGCAUGCAGUUAGGCGAUCAGGAGGCGAUCGCCUCGCCGCCGCCACCGCCGGCCGCCGCGCCCGCUGUGUGUGGCCUUCCUUCCGCGUCCAAGCCCAGGCUGGUCGUCGGAACAGCAGCGGCCAUGUCCGCAGACCGAUCGCUUGGCCCCCAGGUGCCCAGCGUCCCAGCAGCCUCCGAGUCAAGAUCGGGUUGCCCUAACCCCCGUCGCAAGGAAACUCACCUAAAUGACUCCAUAAAAUCGUCUAGGGUUUCGGUGGGUCUACCAAAACGACAACGCAAGCCGCCAGAUCGGAGUCCUGAGAUCUCCACUCCGCCGUCGCCCGCUAAUAUGUCGCCGCCGUCGCACGAGUCAGGAAAGAAGCCGCUAGCGGCCAUGGCGAACUCGGAGGAAGGUGGGGGCGCAUACGGGGGGUCGGGAUCUCGUGCUGGGAGCCUUGCACGCACUAUGCUGCAGGGCUAACCAGUCGCCUCCACCUGUUCCCGUAGGCCCCACAACUUACUAAACACAUUUUCGUUUCUUUUAGUUUACUCAAAAUUCUCUCUCUUUCCUGAUCCCGGCGACGGCCUGGUCGUCGGCUCCGCCGCGUCGGAGAUGUAUCACCGGCACCUCAACUCCAUCAUCUCGAAGGCCGGUGUGCUGGCUAUGUCAGUCGACUAUGGCCUCGCGCCGAAGCACCCGGUCUCUGCAGCCUACGAGGAUUCCUGGAAAGUGCUCAGCUAGCCGCGUCGACGGGCGACCAUGGCUGUCGGAGCACGGCGAUGCUGGCAGAAUGACAGUGACGACGCCAACAUCGUUCACAACAUAGCAAUCAUGGCCGAUACACGUUUUACCGAAAGGGACUUCACGCCAGGAGCUGCUCGUCUACUUGGGCGAGAGCAUGGGUUCUUGUUCCUCCCCCAGCCCGAGCGUGACUAGCGUGAUCCGCUGCAUUAUGAUGAUUUUCUGGAGCUUAACUGCAAUUAGGUGAUCGAAAACAGAGACAUAUGGAUAGGUGAAGCAGGACAUCAAACUUCAGUUCGUACAUAUGGGUUAACAUCAGUGAAUGUGUAUACAGUAUACACUCUUCCCGUCCGGUGAGUUGAAAUACUACUCGCCUCUGCUUGUGGAGCUUGCAUCGAGGUCCAAUCUUGAUGUGCGCCUCCACGUCCUCCUGCAGCAUCUCGGCGAAUCAAUGCUCCACCCAGCUCAUCGCCUGGUGCCCGCACGCCCUUCAGUUCCACCUUCUCACAGGUAGCUGGUCGGCUCAGAUCGGGAAUGGCGGCACGCGAGCAGCUACCGCUACAUUGUCUCGGGCUUGGGCUCACCGGAGUCGGGUGGCGCUAGCGACGAAAGCUCCCGUAUUACCGCCGGCCAAGGCCACGACCACGAGCUGCAGACCUCACCUUGAGGAAUCCUCUCUUGCAGAAGCUCUAACUCUGUAGAAUAAUGGCCGCCGCCGGGAUAAGGAAAGAGAGAGAAUUUUGAGUAAAUUUAGAGAAGUGAGAAUGUAUUUAGUAGGUUGUGGGGCCUACGGGGACAGGUGGACGUGACUGGUUGGCCCUGCAGCAUAGUGCGUGCAGGGCUCCCAGCACUAGAGCCCAACCCGCAUACGGGGCUCCCUCUGUGGAUGCUGCUCGCCCGAAGCCUACCUCCGAGGGAUCCGAGGCUGCUGCGCGGAUCAACCCACGGCUGCAGACGCUGACUAUAUGGAACCAGUUGGAGACAGCGGGGUCGGCGGGCACGGCGAGGUCGGCGCCGGCGGCUCGCGAGCGCAACAGCCGGGAUGAGGAAGGCCCAGAGGCUUUCAGAGAAGGAGAGGAUCCCGAGGAGGAUGCCGAGCUUGUGGAGGUCGACUUGGAGGGAGAUGGUGUGCUACAGGCUCAGUAGCACCCAUGGACUGUGAUAAUGCUUGUGUACUCCUUGGAUCGGCCAUCCCCUAGUACUCUGUUUGAGAAUAUUGCAGAUGGUUGGAGGUUGAGGGAGAACUUUGAUUAUGCUUACCAAGGUGACAACAAAUAUCUCGUGCACUUCGGCUGCGAGGCCAUGUCUCGUGUCCUAGGGGGAGGGCCAUGGCAGUAUGAGCACGAUCCGCUGCUGAUUGAGGCGUAUGAUGGUAUGAGGCAAGUGUCAGACUACAAGUUGGACAAGAUGAGAAUCUGGGUGCGCAUCCUCGAUGUGCCCAUGAACUGGAGGACGGAGACUGUGGUAAAAGCACUCUGCGCCAACUUAGGAACAAUUUUGCAAAUGGAGCUCGACGAGAAGACAGGCAACUACGUGCGUGUCCGGGUGGUGUCCGGGUGGCCGUUCCGGUGUACCGGGCGCUUGAGACAUCUGUGGCCAUGACUGCCAAGCUGCAGGAGAGGAAAACAAGGGUUGAGUUCCAAAUUCAGUAUGAAAAACUGCCAGACUUCUGCUACACAUGUGGCUACCUCGGACAUAAGGAGAAAUCGUGUGGCCGGAAGGUGAAAGGAAGGCCUCCAUCUGGCAAGUAUAGCGACAAACUCAAAUGUUCUCCACCACGCCGCUUUGGGAGGCAGUCCGGAACAGUGAAAGCGAAGGUCAACCCGAUGGCGUACCACGGCCUUGAUUUCUCUUCAGAGAGCACCGGGUCAUCGGCCCGAGGCCGAGGUGGACGAGGCGCGCGGCGCCCGGAAGGCAGCGCGGCGAGGCGUCAGCAACAUGCAGCAGAUCACAGCUCCGGAAACCCUGCCGUUGAUGCAAUGCUAGCCGAAAAGAUGCAAGCCAUGCCAGGAGGCAGCAAGGGUGCAAUGGAAGAUCGCCAUGCACAUGCAGAGGCUUACGUGCAUGUUCAGGUACAGGAGCACACCUCCAAAGGCACACAACACUCGGACUACUCCCAGCCGAGGAGCUCGGAUAUGAUCCCGGCGCUGCGUAAUCUUUCUCAGGAAGUGAAUAUGGACGACGUAGACCUCUCUGAUGGCGUCUCCGCUUUGGGCAAGCGUGCCGCUGCUGGUGAUCAAGUCGCUGCUGCUGGCGGGGAGGAGGCUAGCAAGGCUUUGGUGAUUUAUGCUAAUACAUCCAGUACGGACGAGCUUGUGGUUCUAGGUACGCCAAAAAAGCGCAGGACACUGGAGUCUCUAGACGGGCAGCAGACUCCGCGUGGCGAUGGGAUGAUGGAACAUGACAUGGUGGACGGAACUAGUACCAUGGAGGCCGUCGGCCCAGGGGCCGCCGACGAACUGACGGGGCCGGCGGAGCCCCGUCAGGAGGAAUGAAUAUCCUAAGCUGGAACUGCCGAGGGGGUGGGAACUCUCGGACAGUUCGUGAUCUUGUGAGUCUGGUGCAGGCUCAGUCCCCUAGUAUUGUUUUUCUUUGUGAGACUAGGCAGUCUAAGAAUAAAAUGAAGAGGUACCAUGCUCGGUUAGGUUUAAGAGGUUUUGAUGCUUUCGAUUGUGUGGGUCGUAGUGGAGGUCUUGCUUUGUAUUGGCAUGAGUCAGUGAGUCUUAAUGUAAAAGAAAUAAAUGAACAAUAUAUUGACGUGUAUGUAACUGGUGCGGAGGGUGAGCCACCCUGGCGGCUCACCUGCGUCUAUGGCGAGCCCCGAACGGAGGACUAUCAUCGCAUGUGGUCCCUCCUACGUAAUCUCCACCAGCAGACCAGCAUGCCUUGGGUCCUGGUGGGUGAUUUCAACGAGGAGAUGUGGAGUUUUGAGCACUUCUUCGACACACCGCGCUUGGCAGGUCAGAUGCUUGAUUUUCGUGAUGUUCUUGAGGUUUGUGGUCUAGGCGACCUCGGUUUUGCAGGUCUCCCACACACCUUUGAUAACCGGCGAGGUGGACGGGCAAACGUCAAGGUUCGCCUUGACCGUGCUGUGGCUAACAAUGCUUGGAGGGAUAUUUUCGCCCAUGCAAGGGUGGAGCAUUUGGUGGCGCCAAGCUCCGAUCACUUGGCCAUCCUCCUCAAGUGCGCGCUAGAGGAGCCGCGCCAACGGGAAGGCAGAAGGUGCAGACAGUACGAAGUUAUGUGGGAACGAGACCCCUCCCUCCCUGAGGUAAUUAUGAACACUUGGACUGAGUUGGGCUCUAUGUUAAAUCUUGGUGAUGUUGCUUCUGGACUAGGGAAUAUGAUGAAAAAACUACAAGAGUGGAGUCGAAAAAAGUUUGGAAAUGUCAUCCGUGAAAUUAACAAGUCCCGCUCUCGUCUCGAGGAGCUUAUGUCUAUGAAUGCAGAUAGAAAGGACAUACGGGAGGCGACUGACAGGAUGAACGAGCUGCUCUAUAGGGAGGAGAUGUUGUGGAUGCAGAGAUCCUGCAUUGCAUGGCUGCGGAAAGGGGACCACAACACCCAGUUCUUUCAUCGAAAAGUAGUUUGGCGCGCUCGCAAAAACCGUAUUAAAACUCUCAUUGAUGAUGAUGGAGUCACACAUCAGGACCAUGCGUCUAUGGCGGCCAUGGCCACUUCUUAUUUUGCCAAACUAUUUGCUGCUGACCCCUCUCUUUGUGCGGAUCCAGUAAUUGAUCUAAUUAAACCACGUGUGUCUGACCGCAUGAAUGAUGGACUGUGUGCAGAGUUUUCAGACAAGGAAAUUGCCAAUGCUCUGUUUCAGAUUGGACCGUUAAAGGCGCCGGGUCCGGAUGGCUUCCCCGCGCGCUUCUUCCAGCGUAAUUGGGACGUGAUGAGAGAACAAGUAAUUGCAGGGGUCAAGGAAUUUUUCCAGACAGGUAUUAGGCCUGAGGGGGUGAACAACACGUCCAUUGUUCUCAUCCCGAAGGUGGAUAACCCAGAGAGGCUCACGAAGUUCCGCCCAAUCAGCUUAUGUAACGUCAUCUACAAGGUGGUGGCAAAAUGUCUAGUAAACCGGUUGAGGCCUAUUCUGGAUGAUAUUAUCUCCCCUGAGCAAAGCGCCUUUGUCCCUGGACGUAUGAUCACUGAUAAUGCUUUGAUUCCGUUUGAGUGCUUUCAUUUUAUUCAGCAGGAGAAAGACCCAAAUAAAAGUUUCUGCGCGUAUAAACUGGACCUCUCCAAAGCAUACGAUAGAGUGGACUGGAUCUUCUUGGAGCGAAUGUUGAAAAAGAUGGGUUUCGCUCGCCGGUGGGUGGACUGGAUUAUGGCUUGCGUCACCUCGGCGAGAUAUACAGUUAAAUUCAAUGGAACCCUUCUGGAAUCGUUCGCACCGUCGCGUGGGCUACGGCAAGGUGAUCCUUUGUCCCCGUUUUUAUUCCUAUUUGUGGCUGGCGGUCUAUCUGCUCUCUUGAAAGAAGGAGAAGAAAAAGGCGACUUUACACCGCUAAAAGUGUGCCGCAGAGCUCCAGGGGUGUCUCAUCUUCUGUUUGCAGAUGAUACAUUACUGUUUUUUAAAGCAGAGGAGGAAGAAGGCCAAAAGGUCCAGGAAGUGCUAAACACGUAUGCUAAUGCCACCGAACAAUUUAUUAAUCCGGCCAAAUGUAGUGCUCUCUUUGGUUCAGCUUGUGCUAUGGACAAACAGGAGGCGGUAAGAACUACAUUAAACAUAGGUACUGUCACUUUUGAGGAGAAAUAUCUAGGGCUCCCAACGCCCGAAGGACGCAUGUCACGAGGUAAAUUUUAGAAUCUGCAAUCUCGGUUAUUGAAGAGGAUUAUUGCUUGGGGUGACACCCUCUCUCUCGCCGGUAAGGAAACCAUGAUUAAGGCAGUUGCCCAAGCUAUUCCCACUUAUAUUAUGGGUAUUUUUAAGCUUCCUACGUCAGUCUGUGAUGACCUGAAUAGAAUGGUUCGCAACUUCUGGUGGGGCGCCUCUGAGGGCAAGAGGAAGACGCACUGGCUUGCUUGGCCAAAGAUCCAGGCGCAGAAAAGCAAGGGUGGUCUGGGGUUCAGAGAUUUCCGCCUUUUUAACCAGGCUCUCCUAGCGAGGCAGGCCUGGCGUUUGCUUACUAAACCCACCAGUUUGUGUGUGCAGGUGCUAAAGGCCCGAUACUACCAUGAUGGACGCCUUGAGGACACGGUCUUCUCAGGGAACUCCUCCCCGACCUGGCAGGCUAUCCAACAUGGCCUCGAGCUCCUGAAAAAGGGCAUCAUAUGGCGUGUUGGGAACGGUCAGGACAUUCGCAUAUGGCGGGACCAAUGGUUGCCACGGGAGCCCUCUCGUCAGCCCAUCACUCAGCAGGGUACUUGCCGCCUGCGGAGGGUGGUUGAGCUCCUCGACGGCGAGGGCUCUUGGCGCACCGGCCUACUACAACGCUACUUCUUGCCGGCGGAUGUCGCCGUCAUCACUAGCAUCCGGACCUCGCCACGCGUCACCAACGAUAUCAUCGCCUGGGCGCCGAAGAAGAACGGUAUCUUCACCGUCCGAUCCGCGUACUGCGUGGCAAUGGACGAGCACGAGCGUCCAUUGGCCACCGCCAUGAGCAGGGCACCGGAUGGUCGUCGCGCCAUCUGGAAGAUCAUAUGGGGGUGCCCUGCUCCCCCUAAGGUACGCGUGUUUGCGUGGAGGGUUGUCACAAAUUCACUUGCUACUUGGGCCAACAAGGCUUCACGACACCUCGAGGAUACUGACGUCUGCCCCCUAUGUGGUGUUGAACGCGAGGACGGAUUCCACGCGCUUUGCAGGUGCCCACUGGCAAGGGAGCUAUGGAGACUCAUGGCGAUGGACUGGAACAUACCCAAGGUGGAGACCAUCCGGGACAUGGGGCCAGAGUGGCUAUUCGCCUUGUUGGAACCCCUGGAUGAGACGGCGAGGAUGGUGGUCCUCAUGAUCAUGUGAAGAGUAUGGCAUGUUUGCAAUGAGAUUACCCAUGACAAACCGCCACCUCCUGCCGAGGCCUCUCGUCGAUUCUUACAUGGCUAUAUUACUUCACUAUUAUGCAUCCAGCAACAUCCGCAGGCCAAUAUGGAGAAGGGGAAGAUGGUGGUUUGUGAUGGCCCGCCGGGCGUGCAGCCCUGCAGGAUAGCGACGGCGCGGCCAAGUUGGGCCCCCUAGUGCGGGCUGGGCCAAACUUAACACAGAUGGCGGCUUUGUUGCAGCCACAGGAGCAGCAGGAGGAGGCAUGAUCCUUCGAGAUGAUGGAGGGGAUAUCAUCUAUAGCGCGUGCAGAGAAAUUCGCACGUGUGAGAGUGCGCUGGAGGCGGAGCUCUCGGCGUGUAGAGAAGGCCUAGACCUUGCCUUACACAGGACAACGAUGCCUAUCAUUGUUGAGAUGGAUAGUGCGGAGGCUGUGGUGAUGCUCAAAGCACCCACAACAGAUAGAUCGCAGCACCGGUCUCUCAUUGAAGAGAUUAGCAGUCUAGCAGCCCUUGAGGAUAGAGAGGUUGUAUUUGCACAGUGUAGCCAUUGGCAGAACAACGCUAGUCAUGUGUUGGCUGCAUAUGGGCGUAGUACCCCCCGCACGGCAGUCUGGUUUGCAGGAGGGCCGGAAUUUCUUGUAAACUUGGUUAAGGCUGAGAGGCCUCCUUGAGUAAUGAAAAAUCCCCCCCCCCCUCGCAAAAAAAGGCAUUAGGAAUGGAUUUGGAAAUCAGUCUAUUCAAGUAAGAAUGGCGUGGAUGACAACAUCAUCUUGGUGGACUUGUGUUCUCUUCCUUGGGAGGUAGUCUGGAAGCGGAUGCGGAUUGUGGUAUGUAUCAGCGGCAUCUGAAAGAAGGUGGAUCGUGUAUUGGGUUCGUGGUUCGUGGCUAGCAAACAUGAUUUCCUCCUCCGACGUCUUAGUUGUACGGGAUGCCAGAUCUAGAUCGAUGGCAUGUUUGGAGUGUUGCCUUGGUCUGAUAUGUUCAACCGCAAUGGCUUCACCUUUGGUGAGCCACCUUAGAGGUCCGCAAAGCUGCAUAUCAGUGAUGGAACCGCGUCAAGAUCGGAUGAGGAGGUGAUUCGUUAUUUUUCUUCUCUUGGUGGUUGUUGUGAUGGUGCCGGAGACAGGUGACACACGUCGGUGUCAAUCUCAAGAGAUUCAUCUGUCUUGAUUGUAAUUGUAAAGACUAGCGUUUCGCUGUCUUUUCAGUUUUAUCAAAACGGUGUCUAUGUGACUUGUACAAUGAUCUUUAUAAUUUAAAUGCGACCCGUAUUAUCAGAAAAAGAAAGAACACAUCCAUUCUUCAAGGGAGGGAUACUCUAGCUCAUCGACUCAUCCGCACGAUAGAUAAUGGAGAGACUACUGAAAGGCUUCCCGGGGAUUAUAACAUGUGCCCCCUACUUGUCUCUGUGAUAAUCCUCCAUUAUUUGUAAGUGAACUCGUUUGCAAAAAAUCAGCAAAUUGGGAUUUUUAUCACCUUGGUCUCGGCGGCGGCAAUGGCAGCGCUGAAUAAAGAAGCUUUAGACCCUUCCCCGACAAGGUAUUGGGAAUGGAUUUGGAAUUCAGUCUAUUCAAGUAAGAAUGGCGUGGAUGACAACAUCAUCUUGGUGGACUUGUGUUAUCUUCCUUGGGAGGUAGUCUGGAAGCAGAUGCGGAUUGUGGUAUGUAUCAACGGCAUCUGAAAGAUGGUGGAUCGUGUAUUGUGUUCGUGGUUCAUGUCUAGCAAACAUGAUUUCGUCCUCCAAUGUUUUAGUUGUACGGGAUGCCAGAUCUAGAUCGAUGACAUGUCUGUGGUGUUGCCUUGGUCUGAUAUGUUCAACCGCAAUGGCUUCAUCUUUGGUGAGCCACCUUAGAGGUCCGCAAAGCUGCAUAUCAGCGAUGGAACCGCAUCAAGCUCGGGUGAGGAGGUGAUUCGUCAUUUUUCUUCUCUUAGUGGUUGUUGUGAUGGUGCCGGAGACAGGUGACACACAUCGGUGUCAAGCUCAAGGGAUUCAUCUGUCUUGAUUGUAAUCGUAAAGACUAGUGUUUUGCUGUAUUUUCAGUUUUAUCAAAACGGUGUCUAUGUGACUUGUACAAUGAUCUUUAUAAUUUAAAUGCGACCCGUAUUAUCAUAAAAAGAAAGAAUAGAAACAUCUAUUCUUCAAGGGAGGGAUACUCUAGCUCAUCGACUCAUCCCCACAAUAGAUAAUGGACAUACUACUGAAAGGUUUCCCGGGGAUUAUAACAUGUGCCCCCUACUUUUCUAUGUGAUAAUCCUCCAUUAUUUGUAAGUGAACUCGUUUGUAAAAAAUCAGCAAAUUGGAAUUGAGAAAAGGUGCAACAAAGUUUUAUUGGUAUUGAUGCUAAGUUAAUCCUUUUAAUCCCAUAUAAUGUACCAGUUGCGUGACUUUUGGUCUUGGAAUUACCAUAAAAGCAUCUUUAGCGGACCCCGUAUAACGCUGACCCAUAAAAUGCGUUCACAGUUCGUGAAAAAACGGUUUUGCGGGCAGGCACGGGCGGCGGUCGAGCAGACCCCAUAAAAAGAUAUGCAGAGCAGACCCGUAAAAAAUAUUCGGCAUAUAUUUUUUACGGGUCCGCAUUGCGAGGUCUGCUCGGCCGCCGCCCGCGCCGGCCCAUAAAUCAAUAAUUUGCAUUUCAAUUUCGGGCAUGAAAACACAUUUCUUUGCUUUUUUAUUUUCUUUAAGGGCAUUGGAUACAUAAUAAUUCACCAAAUCUUUCCUAGAAUAGUAAGAUCAAAGAAAACAAGAACCACAAUUAGGCAUUUUAGAAGAUAUCCAACUUAUAUAACGGCUCUCACUAGUUGGACCAACAUCUUCUCCAUGCCUUCAUUGUUGGUCUGCGGAUUCUUGAUCUUGCAUUCUUCAUGCUUCUUCUUUGAUUCUAAAAAAGUAGACGUUGCUCCCCCUCUAGUUUCUUCUCUAAUUGCACAUGCAGCCACAUCAUUAGCUUCCACUCUACCAACGUGUGCACGAACAACUAUUAAGUUUCUUUCUAUCAAUAAAUCGAUGUAUUCUUCUUCCCAAUACCAAAAUGAGCACCCACCUUCCUACACACAUGACCAUCUCAAUAGGCUACCGAAACUGAACCGAAUAGGUUGACAAAGCCGAAUGAAAACAAGAACAUACCCCGUCGUUUUCGCAUUUGAAGAAUACCCCAUCCGGGUGUUGCAGCGUGCUGGAUGUUAGCUGCUGUGUGCAGUUGUCGCAAUGUAUGAGCGGCUUCGGCGAGCCGCUGCGCGAGCGCCAAGCCCGGACGACGACCGGCUGAGUCCUUGCCGGCAAACCGACGACGACGACUAGAGGACGAACCAUUACCUGCAUGCGGCGAUGGGGCUUGGCCGGGUGCUCCCCAACCAAUCCAUGGAUUAGCGCAGCUGCCGGUGUUCGGAAACGCCAAAUCCGGCGGCCGCGACAAACAACCACUGAUCUGCAACUUUCCGGCCGGCUAAGGCAGGAGAAAGUGGCGGAGGAUAAUCUCGGGCGUGCAGCCCGUCGGCGUGAUCCCGACGGCUGAUAUGGCCGGAAUCGUAGGCGGCGGCCCGACGACGGUGGGUGGGGAAAAGCGCAGGCUAAAAUGUCCCCCCGCCAACCGCUCCCGCUAUAUAGAGGGCAUCGCUGCGGGUUGGGGUGAGAAUUUUGCCGCGCCCCGCAAAAAUAUUUACGGGCCCGACGCGUUUGCGGGGUCUGAUCGAGCAGCUUUUUUCGCGUGGACUCGUAUUUUGGCGGUUAUUUUGCGGGUCGUGGUAUUAUAUGGGGUCUGUUAGAGAUGCCCUAAGAAGGGAGUUUUAUGUGUCCAUCCGGCUUGUCCCAUGCUUGUUGCUACCAAACACCGACGGGAGGCUUCGCUUGAGGGAUACAUUGAUUCCUCCAACUAAGAUAUGUUGAAUAUAUAUGUCUUUCAUGUAUUUAUGUAUAUCCUGGCUCACCUCCUAAUUAUGUAUAGUUGAGGUUGAUGCCUGCUUGUACUCUAUAUAUACGUGCAUCUGCACCCAAUCAAUACAACGAUAAUUGUAUUGGCAAAACAUCUCUCUACAUGGUAUCAUCCUGAAGGUCUGACCUAGGGCCGCCGCCGCGCCUCCUCGCGUGCACCGCCGCUGCCUACCACCGCCACUGCACGCCGCCGCCGUCGUGUUUCCGUCUGCAAUCGCCGCCGCCACCCCAUGCCGCCGCGCCGACCCGCCGCCGCCGCCGCGCACCUCCUGCCGCACCACCGCCGCCCCGCCGUGCCGCCUCUUCUUCCCGUCGCCGAUGCCGUCUCCUCUCGACGUAGCCGCCGCUGCUCCUACUCAGCCACCCUACCCCGCCGCGCCAUGGCCUCCCGAGUUUCGCCUCCACCAGCUCCUCGAACCCCUUCGUCGGCCCCGAGCCCUCCGCCGCCGCCAUCCGUGAUCUUAACAUCGAGGCCCGUGUCCCCGUUCGCCUUGACAGCUCCAGCACCUCGUACUAUGCAUGGAAGACCUACUUCAACCUCAUCUUCCGCGAGUACUAUCUUACCAAGCACAUCGAUGGCUUCAUGGAUGACGACUACAUGAAGGGCGACCCGGAGUGGUCCGCCAUCAAGGCCACGCUCAUCCGAUGGUUUUAUCAAACCGUCUCGAAGGACAUCUUCCACACGGUUGUCGCUGAGGACGACGAUGCUUGCGCCGUGUGGACCAAGAUCAACACGCUCUUCAUCGACAACAAACUUCAACGCCUUGUUUUCUUGCAGCAGGAGUUCUUUGGUUGUCAUCACGACAACUCCACCAUCGAUGAGUACUGCAUGCGGCUUAAGAUGCUCGCCGACGAGCUUCGUGACAUCGGGGCCAAAGUCUCCGACGAUCUCAUGUUGAGCACCAUCACCGCCGGCCUCAACGAGGAUUUCGGGAACGCGACGUCUAACCUCACUUUGCUGCCGCAACCCACUUUUCAGCACGUCACCGCGUACCUCAAGAUUGAGGAGCGCCAAAUGACAAAGCUGAAGCAGCGGGUCCAGCACACUGCCCUCGCCGUCGGCACAACCCGUGGCCGCACCGCUCCACCGGCCACGCCACCUCAGCCGCACCCUCCCGCGCCCGCUGGGUACUUCCCGUUGCCGCCCGCGCCCCCUCGCCUCCCCAGCAGCCGCAAGGUGGCAGGGGCUGGCGCAACCGGCGGGGCGGCCGCUGUCAGCAGCAGUAGCANNNNNNNNNNNNNNNNNNNNNNNNNNNNNNNNNNNNNNNNNNNNNNNNNNNNNNNNNNNNNNNNNNNNNNNNNNNNNNNNNNNNNNNNNNNNNNNNNNNNNNNNNNNNNNNNNNNNNNNNNNNNNNNNNNNNNNNNNNNNNNNNNNNNNNNNCCUCCACCAUGGGCAACCGGGCAGAACCCGUGGACGGGCGUCGUGCAUGCCUAUCAUAUGCCCGUCCCACGGGUUCCUGCCCAGAGUCUUCUCGGCCCUCGCCCCGCGGGCCAUCAGGCGUUCCUUGGUGCCCCCUACCAGCCGCCGCCUAUCGGUGGGUAUGGCCCGCCCACCCAGGCGUCGCCCUACAGGGCCCCCCUGCCGCCACCGGUCCCUAUACCAUGGGAUCCCACCCUCCUCGCCGCCCUGCACUCUGCGCCAUCGCCGAGUAACUAUGGCAGUGGAGGCGACUGGUACAUGGACUCAGGUGCUACCACGCACAUGAUAACUCAUCCUGGUAACCUAACCUCCUUCACUCCCGUUAACACACCCACUCGUAUCACCGUUGGCAACGACUAUUCUUUUACCUAUCACUCAUAUCGGUAGCAUUAGUUUUCCUUCUAGUUCCACACCUAUCACUAUGUCUAAUGUUCUUAUUUCACCUGACUUAGUCACUAGCUUAGUUUCCGUUCAUUGUCUUACUCAUGAGAACCCACUUACUGUUGAAUUUGACGGUGUUGGUUUUUCUGUGAAAGACGCCCAUUCCCGGAUGGUACUUCACCGAUGUGACAACCCCAAUGAGCUUUAUCUCGUGCAUGCCGGCACUUCCACCUCCACACCCGCCGCCGGCGUCUACCUUUGGCAUGCUCGCUUGGGCCACCCCAACCCCACCAUUUUGUGUUAGAUUCUUAGGAGUUUUUCUUUCUCAUGUAAUAAGCUCAAAGAGCAUACUUGCGAGGCUUGUCGCUUGGGCAAGCAUGUUCGUAUUCCCUUUAGUGUGUCUACAAAUGUUUCCACUUUUCCAUUUCAAUAACUUCAUAGUGAUGUUUGGACGUCUCCCGUUGCGAGGAACACAGGCUAUCUAUACUACUUGGUGAUUUUAGAUGAUUAUUCGCAUUAUGUGUGGACUUUUCCUCUUCGUCGCAAAUCUGAUGCUUUAGCCAAACUCACCUCCUUUUAUUCCUAUGUCACCACCCAGUUCGGUCGCCCCAUUCUUGCACUCCAAACUGAGAACGGAAAAGAGUUUGACAAUGUCGCUCUCCGCACCCUUCUUGCCUCUCAUGGCACCAUCUUCCGUCUAACUUGCCCAUACACCUCACAACAGAACGACCGAGCUGAGCAUAUUCUUUGCACUCUUAAUGACUAUGUUCACACAUUACUCUUUCACUCGAACGUGCCCGCUCGAUUUUGGCCUGAUGCUCUCGCCACUGCCACCUGCUACCUCUUGAGCACUUCGUUGGUUUUCCCUUGAAGAGGAAAGGGUGAUGCAGCAAAGUAGCGUAAGUAUUUCCCUCAGUUUUUGAGAACCAAGGUAUCAAUCCAGUAGGAGGCUACGCACGAGUCCCUCGCACCUACAAUACGUGCCUUGCUGCCCCUACUGUCACUGGGAAAGGACACCGCAAGAUUGAACCCAAAGCUAAGCACUUCUCCCAUUGCAUGAAAGAUAAAUCUAGUAGGCCAAACCAAAAUGAUAAUUCGAAGAGACUUGCAAAGAUAACCAAUCAUACAUAAAAGAUUCCAGAGAAGAUUCAAGUAUUGUUCAUAGAUAAACUUGAUCAUAAACCCACAAUUCAUCGGUCUCAACAAACACACCGCAAAAGAAGAUUACAUCGAAUAGAUCUCCACAAGAGAGGGGGAGAACUUUGUAUUGAGAUCCAAAAAGAGAGAAGAAGCCAUCUAGCUAAUAACUAUGGACCCGUAGGUCUGAAGUAAACUACUCACACUUCAUCAGAGGGGCUAUGGUGUUGAUGUAGAAGCCCUCCGUGAUCGAUGCCCCCUCCGGCGGAGCUCCGGAAAAGGCCCCAAGAUGGGAUCUCAUGGAUACAUAAAGUUACGGCGGUGGAAUUAGGGUUUUGGCUCCGUAUCUGGUAGUUUGGGGGUACGUAGGUAUAUAUAGGAGGAAGGAGUACGUCGGUGGAGCAACAGGGGGCCCACGAGGGUGGAGAGCGCACCUGGGGGGGGGGGUAGGCGCCCCCCCUACCUCGUGCCUUCCUCGUUCAUUGGUUGACGUAGGGUCCAAGUCCUCCGGAUCAUGUUCGUUCCAAAAAUCACGUUCCCGAAGGUUUCAUUCCGUUUGGACUGCGUUUGAUAUUCUUUUUCUGCGAAACCCUAAAAUAGGCAAAAAAACAUCAAUUCUGGGCUGGGCCUCCGGUUAAUAGGUUAGUCCCAAAAAUAAUAUAAAAGUGUAUAAUAAAGCCCAAUAAUGUCCAAAACAGAAUAUAAUAUAUCAUGGAACAAUAAAAAAUUAUAGAUACGUUGGAGACGUAUCAAGCAUCCCCAAGCUUAAUUCCUACUCGUCCUCGAGUAGGUAAAUGAUAAAAACAGAAUUUUUGAUGUGGAAUGCUACUUGGCAUAAUUUCAAUGUAAUUUUUCUUAAUUGUGGUAUGAAUAUUCAGAUCCGAAAGAUUCAAGACAAAAGUUCAAUAUUGACAUAGAAAUAAUAAUACUUCAAGCAUACUAACUAAGCAAUUAUGUCUCUUCAAAAUAACAUGGCCAAAGAAAGUUAUCCCUACAAAAUCAUAUAGUCUGGCUAUGCUCUAUCUUCACCACACAAAGUAUUUAAAUCAUGCACAACCCCGAUGACAAGCCAAGCAAUUGUUUCAUACUUUUGGUGUUCUCAAACUUUUUCAAUCUUCACGCAAUACAUGAGCGUGAGCCAUGGACAUAACACUUUAGGUGGAAUAGAAUGGUGGUUGUGGAGGAGACAAAAAAAGGUGGAAGAUAGUCUCACAUCAACUAGGCAUAUCAACGGGCUAUGGAGAUGCCCAUCAAUAGAUAUCAAUGUGAGUGAGUAGGGAUUUCCAUGCAACGGAUGCACUAGAGCUAUAAGUAUAUGAAAGCUCAACAAAAGGAACUAAGUGGGUGUGCAUCCAACUCGCUUGCUCACGAAGACCUAGGGCAUUUUGAGGAAGCCCAUCAUUGGAAUAUACAAGCCAAGUUCUAUAAUGAAAAAUUCCCACUAGUAUAUGAAAAUGAUAACAUAGGAGACUCUCUAUUAUGAAGAUCAUGGUGCUACUUUGAAGCACAAGUGUGGUAAACGGAUAGUAGCAUUGUCCCUUCUCUCUUUUUCUCUCAUAUUUUUUUAUUUGGGCCUUUUUUAUGGCCUCUUUUUUUCGUCCGGAGUCUCAUCCCGACUUGUGGGGGAAUCAUAGUCUCCAUCAUCCUUUCCUCACUUGGGACAAUGCUCUAAAAAUGAUGAUCAUCACACUUUUAUUUACUUACAACUCAACAAUUACAACUUACUUAGAACAAAAUAUGACUCUAUGUGAAUGCCUCUGGCGGUGUACCAGGAUAUGAAUCAAGAGUGACAUGUAUGAAAUAAUUAUGAAUGGUAGCUUUGCCACAAAUACAAUGUCAACACAUGAUCAUGCAAAGCAAUAUGACAAUGAUGGAGCGUGUCAUAGUAAACGGAAUGGUGGAAAGUUGCAUGGCAAUAUAUCUCGAAAUGGCUAUGGAAAUGCCAUGAUAGGUUGGUAUGGUGGCUGUUUUGAGGAAGGUGUAUGGUGGGUGUAUGAUACCGGCGAAAGGUGCACAGUAUUAGAGAGGCUAGCAAUGGUGGAAGGAAGAAAAGUGCGUAUGAUCCAUGGACUCAACCUUAGUCAUAAAGAACUCAUAUACUUAUUGCAAAAAUCUACAAGUUAUCAAAGCAAAGUAUUACGCGCAUGCUCCUAGGGGGAUAGAUUGGUAGGAAAAGACCAUCGCUCGUUCCCGACCGCCACUCAUAAGAAAGACAAUCAAUAAAUAAAUCAUGCUUCGACUUCAUCACAUAAUGGUUCAUCAUACGUGCAUGCUACGGGAAUCACAAACUUUAACACAAGUAUUUCUCAAAUUCACAACUACUCAACUAGCAUGACUCUAAUAUCACUGUCGGUGUCAAAACCGGCGGAUCUCUAGUAGGGGGUCCCGAACUGUGCGUCUAGGCGGAUGGUAACAGGAGGCAUGGGACACGAUGUUAUACCCAGGUUCGGGCCCUCUUGAUGGAGGUAAAACCCUACGUCCUGCUUGAUUAAUAUUGAUGAUAUGGGUAGUACAAGAGUAGAUCUACCACGAGAUCAAGGAGGCUAAACCCUAGAAGCUAGCCUAUGGUAUGAUUGUUGUUCGUCCUACGGACUAAAACCCUCCGAUUUAUAUAGACACCGGAGAGGGCUAGGGUUACACAGAGUCGGUUACAAUGGUAGGAGAUCUACAUAUCCGUAUCACCAAGCUUGCCUUCCACACCAAGAAAAGUCCCUUCCGGACACGGGACGAAGUCUUCAAUCUUGUAUCUUCAUAGUCCAGGAGUCCGGCCGAAGGUAUAGUCCAGCUAUCCGGACACCCCCUAAUCCAGGACUCCCUCAGUAGCCCCUGAGCCAGGCUUCAAUGACGACGAGUCCGGCGCGCAGAUUGUCUUCGGCAUUACAAGGCGGGUUCCUCCUCCAAGUACUUCAUAGAAGAUUUUGAACACAAAGGUAGUGUCCGGCUCUGCAAAAUAAGUUUCCACAUAUUGCCAUAGAGAGAAUAAUAUUUACACAAAUCUAAUCUGCUGACGUAUUCUGUAGCGUGACAUCACACCACGGCCAUGUCUUUAUUCGAAUCGUUUUACUGUCCCACCUCAGCGCGUUUAGCGAGGCGGUUUCCUUGGCACGUCUUGUCAACGCAGAGAUCGUGUCCCCUUAUUCCGGGAUUCUCAUCAAUACGGGCGUGGGUAACCCAACCGUACCCGUUGGUAUGUUUUCUCGAUCAAAGGCGAGUCCCAAACGGUCACGGGGAGGGCCCUUGGUAUUCAACCUCUUAUAAAGAGACCAAGGCCUUACUCUUUUCUUUCAAUCUCAAACGAGUUCGCCCUUCGCCUCGAGUUCCAACACCCAAGGCUCCAGAUUUUAGGCGCUUCGGACCUUCGACAAUGUCUGGUUCCGACCUUCGAGGCCGAUGGAUGCCCUCCUCCGUCACGGAGGAGGACGUGCUGAAGUUGAGAGAGGCCAGGUUCUUGACCGGCGAAAUCUCGCAUAGGCUGCCUGCUCAAGGGCAGGUCAUUCCCACUCCCAAGCCUGGUGAGAGUGUGGUGUUCAUGUCUCACUUCCUUCUGGGGCUAGGCUUCCCGACGGAUCCCUUCGUGAGGGGGCUCAUGUUUUAUUAUGGGCUGGAAUUUCACGACUUAGCUCCGGAGUCCAUCCUCCAUAUUUCCUCAUUCAUCAUCGUGUGUGAAGCCUUCCUCCGUAUUACUCCUCACUUCGGACUAUGGCUCAAGACCUUCAAAGUAGAGCCGAAGAUGAUCGAGGGACGGCACGCGGAGUGCGGAGGUGCUUUUAUAAGCAAGAAUGCUGGUGCUCCAUGGCCCGAGGGCUCUUUUCAAGGGGAGUCCAGCUUAUGGCAACGAGAGUGGUUUUAUAUCACAGCUCCCAGGAGCACCAAGCGGGUGGCGCUGCCUGCUUUCCGCUCGGGUCCCCCGCCACGACUGGCGUCAUGGGUCAAUAAGGGGCUGGACUGGGGGUUGGCAAAGGACGUGCCCCUGUUGCAGGGCCGCAUCCGAGAUCUCCUAGAAAGAGAUAUCAGUCUGGUCGUGGUGACAAAGGUUAUGUUAAUUCGCCGAGUUCUACCCUGCAAACGUCGCCCCCUCUGCCUGUGGGAGUUCAAUCCGGAGGGACCACGAGGUCUCCAACAUUUUCUUGGCAUGACGCCCGUGGAGAUGUACAAAUUGUUCUUCGGGCCACAAGUAGUGUGUCCGGAUUCUACGGAGGAUGCAGGUCUGAGCUGCAAUCGUCCGGAUACUCAAGUAAGUAGCCUUGUGCCCGGACUCGCUAUCCGUAUAUUUAUCAUAAAAUUGCCCCUAAAAGAGCUGUCCUUUAAACAGGAGUGGAUAGCGAAAGCAAAGCUAAUCAGGUGUCCGGCCCCCUCCCCGAGACCACGCCGGGUCCCGUGCUAGUCAGGAUGUUGGAGGUUGUGCCUUCAAAGGAAAGUGAGGGAGGGGACAAGGAAGCUACAGCCUCCUCGAAGGAGGUUGUCCGAAAGGGAGGAAUCGAAAAUUCCUCUCCUCAAGGGAAGAAGAGGACCGCCUCUGAAGACCCGGAGACCAUGGCCUCAAAGCGGGGGAAGAAAUCUUCGCCAGAGGGUCCUGUGCUGGGGGAUACUUCGGCCGAAUUAUGCCCUCAAGGGGAUCAGCCCUCCACCGAGCUGUAGGUAGAGAUGAGUUUUAUUUUUAAGAAACAAGAGAAAUCCUUGCUUUAUAUCUGAGAAAAGUAAUCGAAAAUUUACCUUGUAGCUCAGACCUUAGCCCUUCUCAGCAGAGCUCGUCUUCGGGGGAUCUUCCUCCGGAGAUGAUGGAGAGUGGAACGCCUCCCCCUGCCGUACCGCCUUGCGAGGCAGGUGACCCUGAGGUAUCGUCACGGAGGGUUUCUCUGAAUCCGGCAGGGCCGGAAGGUAGUCAUAUGGCCCCUCAAAGCCCUCCGCGUCCGACCUUCGAAAAGGGCCAUCGGACAAGUCCGGCGCCGUCUGGUGCACGGUCAGAGGAGCUGAAGGAUCUGCUAGGGCGAGCAUCUAUCUCAGAGGAGCACCGUACAUUGAUGCGUACGGUGAUUGAGAGGAUUUCAUCCGCGGAGAGUGGAUUGCACGAGGCCGUCAGGAGUUUACUGACAGGUUUUGAGGUACGCGAAAUAAUGUACCCUUUUUGGACAGUUGCGCAUAAAUAAGAUGCGCCCUGUGUAGAUAGUAGCCCCUGAGACUCUGUGCGUUGUCAAAAGUGAUGGCGCGCAGAGGAUCAUAAUCCUAGGUCUAAUAUGCCGCCUUCAUACGUAGGUGGCGAAGUGUCCGGUGGCAAGCCGGACUGAUGAAUUUGCCGAGCUAAAGCGGCAAAUUGACGUGGCAGAUGCCGACAUCGCACUUGUCAACAAGCGGCUUGACGAGGCACAAGGUAUGUAAUUCCUCCGGCGGCACCUGGUAAGAGGAGCUUUAUGCCAGUAUCUUACAAUGUGUGCGCUUGAUGCAGAUGGUGCUGCUGCCAUGGAGAAUCUUCGGGCGGAACUUGCCCGAGCCAAGGAGCAAGCCAGGAAAAGUGAUGCGGCUGCCGGAAAGGCAAUUGAAGAGCUGAAAGCCGAACAGGCUGCUCACUGCCGAAGCAAGAAGGAAAUGGCCGAGAUGGCCGUGAAGCUGAAGAACGCUACUGACCGUUGCAAGCUUCUUGAAAAAGAAGAUCGGGCAGAACAGACGGACCUGGAGAAGGCCGUUUCCGAUGCCAAGGAUGCUCGCUCUGCAAUGAGAGCUAUGAAGGAGGAGCUGCGUCAGGCCGGAGAGAUCACGGCUGGAAAGCCCUUUAUGCUACGAAGGAAGUUCUGUGAUCCUAAACAUGCUCCGUUAGACCGGAUGUGGAGUACGGUGGACACCUAUCUGGAUUUGGCAGCGAGUGCCGCAGAUGCGGCCGAACACUUCCGAGAUCAAGAAGAUCGCGAAGUGGAAAAGCUCUUUUGGUCGCAGUUCCACAAUCCGGAGCAUCCACUGUCAUUAGCCGAUCGUUUGGCCGAAUGGGCCGAGCUAAAUAGGUUGUCUGGACUCGCCAUGAAGUAUGUCAUGAGUCAUCUGUGGCCAGAGAGGCCAGAGCCGAAAAGUUAUUUCAACUUAGUGCAGCAGUUCCUUGGUGCGGCGCCGCAUAUCAAUGCGAUGAAGAGGUCAACGUGCAUAGAGGGUGCGCGGAUGGCUCUUGCCCGUGUGAAGACAUACUGGGCGGAAAUGGAGGCCACCGCUGUUGCAUCCCCAGACUCGGAUGGAAGCCGAGUACCUGCCGAGCACUAUUUUCAGGAAGUUCUGCAAGGCGCUCGUUUAAUAGAGACACAGUGCUCGAAGGAUACUAUGUUCGAAUAACAUAUAUUAUUGUAAAACAAUAUUUUGAUAAAUUGUAGAAUCUUUUUAUACUUGUGCCUGCAAGUAUUAUAAUACCUCCUGUGCGGCCGUUUAACAUAUAUGUAUAUAUAAUCUGAAAGAUGGCAGUCAUCGGCUUCAGCCCCCAUGCACAUAAUGCGGGGGUGUUCGCAGAAGGCGCAUUUUCACACUUAAUCCAAUGUCUUGGUCCUAGAAAGGAGGUGAUAGCGCAGCGAACUAGGCAAUCAAACUAUGAUGCUUUAUCACUUUCACUUAGCCAUAGGAGUUUGACAGUGAGGCUACUUAUAUAGCCCCUGGUGGCGCCUGCGCUCGCCCGAACUCGGGGCGCGUAUGUGCCUGGCCGGGAAGCGGCCCUUUGUUAAUGCGGAGGAAUCCUAAAGAUUCCGGUAAGUCAUCGAGUGGUUGACCAGUCUCACGCUAUAUCAUGAUAGUCAGUUUUCGGCUUUCUCUACUAAGGUGCUCGCCUGGCCGAACCAGGGCACAAUCGCAGUAGUUCUCCUGGUGCCGCCUUAGCCGAUAGAGCGGAACGUAAGGUAGCAAAACACAGGAGCCGGGCAAACCCAUCAUUUGACCAAAGACAUGAUUCAGAGCUGAUGCAUAUAAGGCCAAACUCGCGACGCCGAACACUCCCUAAGGUAUUCAGUCUUUAUGAGGGCGGGCGGGAUAACGCCCUUAGUAAUAAGCACCUAGUGUCCAGGUACGCGCAAAACUCUGACGUGGCCACAUGCCAAAACGCCAGCCUCCUCCUUGGUUAUACCAAGAAACCAGGGGAUGUGUAUCAACAAGAGACAGUAAAAAGGUUUACGCAGGGUCUUAAUCUGAAAAGAAUCCUUGGAACAGGUCCCUGCUGCACGUCUGCGCCUGUGUCUCUGUUGUGCCGUAUCCUGGACGGGCGUAGCACGGUGUUCAUAUGUAAAAGAGAGGAACUUAGUUUAGGAAAGAUCGUGCCGAACAUGAGUUAUACUAAAUAAACGAAGUAUAAAUCGAAAUGGGUAAAAUUGAGCUUUAUUGUCUCUUGUUUUAUAUGCGCGGAGCCCCUAGUACAGGGGUAUACGGCUAUUAAGCCUUUAUCAAUUGUAUGCUUAUGCCGGACUCGUCUAGCCGUGUCCGUGGUCUUGACGACCUGUUUAGGUGCUUCGGCUGGUGAAGCCGCUUUAUUGUGGGGCUGUCAAGGCAGCCGCACUGUCUUCCGCGUGGGGGGAACACUCAAUGUUUUCCCUUUAAUGAGAUGAUGCCUCGUGGACCGGGCAUCUUAAGCAUAAGAGAUGCAUAAUGCGGUAUUGCGUUAAAGCGGGCGAAAGCUUCGCGUCCCAGCAGUGCUUGAUAGCUACUUGAGAAUGGGGCGAUGCAGAAAGUUAGCUGUUCGCGACGGAAGUUAUCGGGGGAGCCGAAACAUAACUUCUAGCCGGAGAGAACCCAUGCAACGGGCAUCCGGGCCUAGCGUUACCCCUUGAAAGGAGGUUUUGCUAUGGUGAAUUUUUGUUGGGUCCAUCCCCAUGUUGCGGAUUGUGUCCUGGUAUAACAGGUUUAGACCACUACCGCCGUCCAUCAGGACAUUUGUAAAGUGGAGUCCGUCGAUUAUUGGAUCUAAUACCAAGGCAGUCCAGCCUACGUUCCGGAUACUUCUAGAGUAAUCCUGAUGGUAGAAGGUGAUCAGUUUUAACAACCAUUGGCGAGACUCCUUUGGGAUAGGCCAUAUGGCGCGUAUCUCUAUUGGCACCAUUCUGUUCGUCACGUGAGGUAAGUUUACUAUUUUGACUUCCUGUGGGAAAUCCUUUUGUUUCCUGGUGCUCUGCUUGUGGGGUUCGUCGUCGUCCUCACUUGGUGUGUCGAGCCCCUUGUGUUCGGCGUUGAGUUUGCCGGAUUGCUUGAAAACCCAACAAUCUCUGUGGGUAUGGUUCGCAGGCUUCCCGAAAGUACUGUGUAUUUGACAUAUCUUGUCCAAGAUUUUGUUUAAGUUGGAUAGCUCGUUCCUAUUAUCCUUGAGGGGCGGCUUUCUCUAAUUCUGUCGCGAGCUUUUGAAUCCGGCGUUGACCGCCGUGCUCUUUGGGCUGUUUCCCUUAUCCCGAUGCUGGUCCUUGUUGCGUCGGGGUUUUCCGUUUCCAUCCCUAACUUCGGAUGUACUUGGGUCGCUGGUGCUACAUUUUGCCAACCAGCUGUCCUCUCCUACGCAAAAGCGGGUUAUGAGGCUUGUUAAUGCAUCCAUUGUUCUUGGCUUUUCUUGGCCGAGGUGUCUGGCAAGCCAUUCGUCUCGAACGUUAUGCUUAAAAGCUGAUAGGGCUUCGGCGUCCGGACAGUCGACUAUCUGAUUCUUUUUGGUAAGAAAUUUGUUCCAGAAUUUCCGGGCUGACUCUCCGGGCUGUUGAGUUAUGUGACUGAGAUCGUUUGCAUCCGGAGGGCGGACAUAGGUCCCUUGAAACUUUGCCCAGAAAGCAUCGUCAAGCUCUUCCCAACUUCCAAUGGUGUUUUCGGGAAGGCUUUUGAGCCAAUGCCGGGCUGGCCCUUUAAGCUUGAGGGGUAAGUAUUUUAUGGCGUGGAGGUCAUCUCCUCUGGCCAUGUGUAUGUGGAGGAUAUAAUCCUCGAUCCAGACCCCAGGGUCUGUUGUUCCGUCGUACGCCUCUAUGUUUACGGGCUUGAAUCCCGCUGGAAAUUCAUGGUCCAACACCUCAUCAGUGAAACAUAGGGGGUGUGCGGCACCCCUGUAUUUGGGUGUGCCAUGAUGUUCAGAUAUUUGUUGUGUUGCAUUGCUUACUAGAGCUUGCUUUCUUGGUACGUAGAUAGAUCUGGCUGGGCCGUCUUUUUGAUGCGGAUCCUUUGGUGGACCGUGUGCCGGCUUGUGUGCGUCGCCGCUUGCCGCUCCAUGCUGGCCUUGCGGUCGUCUAUCCGACCGGGUGGCUUUCCUAUUUUUUAACUGCGGGGGCUCUAAGGCCUCCUCGUCAAAUUCAGGCAGUAGCUUUCGCUUUGGAUAGCUUUUUGUGCGGCGACUGCCACCAUAUUUGUCUGCGGUGUUGCGUACUUUGCUCCAUCUAAUUCUGAGUGCAUCUUCCGCAGUUUUGAGCUUCCGCUUCUGCUUUUUCAGGCUACGCGCAGUGGCGACGAGCCCUUCGUGGAGGUUCUUCUGCUCCAUGAGCCUAUCCGGCGUAAGGUCGUCCGGACUAUUGUUUUCGCCGGGGACGGGGUGUUCGGUUUGUUUAUCCAAGUUGCCCUGUUCGGACGGUUGCUCGAAGGCAUGUUCGUCGUCCGCCGGCUCGUCCUCCUCUAUGGCUGGGUCUGUAUGGCUGCUGUCUCUGUCGAGGCAGGGCUUGGAGCAGCGCUUACGUUGCCGCUUUGAUUGCUUUUCGAGUGAACGAUCCCUCGUUGCAUCCCUGUGUUCCUCGUCGUCGCUUCCUUUGGGUGUGUCCACCAUGUAUACAUCAUGAGAUGAGGUGGCUGUCCAGUGCCUUAUAGGCGUUGGUUCAUGUUCAUCUCCUACAUCGUCGUCCAUACCGUCGAUGUCUUCGGAGUCGAAGUCGAGCACGUCAUUUAAAUUAUCGACAGUGGCUACGAAGUGGGUGGUGGGUGGGCUUUGAAUUUCUUCAUCAUCCACAUCCCAACCUUGUUGACCAUAGUCCGGCCAGGGCUCUCCUGAUAAAGAGAGAGACUUUAGUGAAUUCAGAAUAUCACCAAAGGGCGAGUGCUGAAAGAUGUCCGCGGUGGUGAACUCCAUGAUCGGCCCAAUCGGGUUCGAUCGGUAGGGGCGCGGAGAGCUAGGAGUCUGGAGAGGAGUCCGACUCCUUGGAGUCACGGGCUUCGCAGAGAAUAGGGCUGGUGUUCGGCUCGAUCGCCGUAGAGAUUGCAGCCCCCGAGGCGGUGUUCAACCACCCAUCCUCGAUUGGUGCAGUUGGCUCUAAAUUAAGGGUCGGAGCUGAUGCGGGUGCGGCCUCCAAGGCACUGUUCGACGGCAGAGCUAGAUCAUGCCCAUCAUGACAGUGCGGCACGCUCGGCUGCGGCUCGAAUCCGUCGAAGAUCAAGUCUCCGCGGAGGUCCGCUGUGUAGUUUAAACUUCCAAAUCUGACCUGACGGCCAGGGGCGUAGCUUUCGAUCUGCUCCAGAUGGCCAAGCGAAUUGGCCCGCAGUGCAAAGCCGCCAAAUACGAAGAUCUGUUCGGGGAGAAAAGUCUCACCCUGGAUCGCAUCGUCGUUGAUGAUCGCAGGAGUCAUCGGGCCUAAAAGUGACGACACAGAGGAACUCUCAAUGAAAGCACCAAUGUCGGUGUCAAAACCGGCGGAUCUCGGGUAGGGGUUCCCGAACUGUGCGUCUAGGCGGAUGGUAACAGGAGGCAGGGGACACGAUGUUUUACCCAGGUUCGGGCCCUCUUGAUGGAGGUAAAACCCUACGUCCUGCUUGAUUAAUAUUGAUGAUAUGGGUAGUACAAGAGUAGAUCUACCACGAGAUCAAGGAGGCUAAACCCUAGAAGCUAGCCUAUGGUAUGAUUGUUGUUCGUCCUACGGACUAAAACCCUCCGGUUUAUAUAGACACCGGAGAGGGCUAGGGUUACACAGAGUCGGUUACAAUGGUAGGAGAUCUACAUAUCCGUAUCACCAAGCUUGCCUUCCACGCCAAGAAAAGUCCCUUUCGGACACGAGAUGAAGUCUUCAAUCUUGUAUCUUCAUAGUCCAGGAGUCCGGCCGAAGGUAUAGUCCGGCUAUCCGGACACCCCCUAAUCCAGGACUCCCUCAAUCACCAUCUCCAUAUCUCAAAACAAUUAUCAAGUAUCAAACUUCUCAUAGUAUUCAACACACUCAUAAGAAAUUUUUUAUUAAUCUUGAAUGCAUAACAUAAUUAAAGCAAAUUACCAUGCUGUUUUGUAGGAAUCUCAAAAUAAUCUAAGUGAAGCAUGAGAGAACAAUAGUUUCUAUAAAACAAAUCCACCGACGUGCUCUAAAGGAUAUAAGUGAAGCACUAGAGCAAAAACUAUAUAACUCAAAACAUAUAAGUGAAGCACAUAGAGUAUUCUAACAAUUUAUGAAUCAUGUGUGUCUCUCUCAAAAGGUGUGUACAGCAAGGAUGAUUGUGGAAAACUAACAAAUAAAUACUCAAAUAAUACAAGACGCUCCAAGCAAAACACAUAUCAUGUGGUAAGUAAAAAUAUAGCUCCAAGUAAAGUUACCGAUGGAAGUAGACGAAAGAGGGGAUGCCUUCCGGGGCAUCCCCAAGCUUUGGCUUUUAGGUGUCCUUAGAUUAUCUUGGGGUGCCAUGGGCAUACCCAAGCUUAGGCUCUUUCCACUCCUUGUUCCAUAAUCCAUCAAAUCUUUUACCCCAAACUUGAAAACUUCACAACACAAAACUUAAAGUAGAAAAUCUCCUGAGCUCCGUUAGCGAAAGAAAACAAAACACCACUUCAAGGUACUGUAAUGAACUCAUUCUUUAUUUAUAUUGGUGUUAAACCUACUGUAUUCCAACUUCUCUAUGGUUUAUAAACUAUUUUACUAGCCAUAUAUUCAUCAAAAUAAGCAAACAACACACGAAAAACAGAAUCUGUCAAAAACAGAACAGUCUGUAGUAAUCUGUAGCUAACGCAAGAUCUAGAACCCCAAAAAUUCUAAAAUAAAUUUGUGGACAUGAGGAAUUUAUCUAUUAAUCAUCUGAAAAAAGAAUUAACUAAAUAUCACUUUCCAAAUAAAAAUGGCAUCAAUCCUCGUGAGCGCUAAAGUUUCUGUUUUUUACAGCAAGAUUAAAAAGACUUUCCCCAAGUCUUCCCAACGGUUCUACUUGGCGCAAACACCAAUUAAACACAAAAAACACAACCAAAUCAGAGUCCAGAUAAAUUAUUUAUUACUAAACAGGAGCAAAAAGCAAAGAAUAAAAAUAAAAUUGGGUUGCCUCCCAACAAGCGCUAUCGUUUAACGCCCCUAGCUAGGCAUAAAAGUAAGGAUAGAUCUAGGUAUCUUUAGUUGGUAAUUCUUUAAUGAGACAUCUAUCACCUUUAGGAGUUUCUUUCCUUUUAUCAAUAUUCAAACUUCUAGGCACACGAUCGAAAAAAUCAUUAGUAGCAAAUGGUUCCUUAAUGAUAGCAAAAAGAUUAGGAUGAAUACUUAUAGAUUUGAGGUCCGCAGUUCCUUUUCUAGAGGAUUCACCCUUAUUUUUAGGAACACACAUAAACUUGGCAAUUUUAGUUGGAGGACUUGGAGUAUUCUUUACGGAAGAAAAAGCAGUUCCCAAGUUGGUGAUGAUACCCUCAAGUUUAUCGAUUCUAGUGGAAUCAUGAUUGAUUGUUUCAUUAACUAUAGGUUCCUUCUCUUUAAUAUUUUUCAAAGUUACUCCUACUUUAGAUCCAUAUUGGGUAAUUUGGUUCUGGAUCUUUUUAUCGAAAUUUUCAAUUAACUCAAUGGUAGCAACUUUAUUUUCAAUAAUUUCAAGUUUUUGCAUUACAUGCUCCAAAGUUAACAUAGUUCCAUUAACCAAAAGAGGGGGUGAGCCAAACAAAUCUAUCAUAGCAUUAUAGGAAUCGAAAGUGUGGCUACCCAAGAAAUUCCCUCCGGCAAUGGUAUCAAGGACAUAUUUGUGCCAAGGAAUAGCACCUACAUAAAAAUUGCGGAGAAGAAUAGAAGUAGAUUGCUUCCUGGUAGAUCUAUUUUGAGUAUUGCAAAUUCUAUACCAAGCGUCUUUUAGGUUUUCUCCUUCCCUUUGCUUAAAAUUAAGACCUUCAUUUUCGGGAGACAACGGAGAAGAUAGGGGACUAGCCAUAAUGACAAGCAAGCAAUCCAACACACAAGCGAACAAGAAACGGGCAAAAAGAGGCAAAUAGAGAAAGAGAGGCAGGAUGGAGAGAGAGGGCGAAUAAAAUGGCAAGGGUGAAGUGGGGGAGAGGAAAAUGAGAGACAAAUGGAAAAUAAUGUAAUGCUGGAGAUAAGGGUUUGUGAUGGGUACUUGGUAUGUCUUGACUUGCAACGGCGCCACAAGUGACUCGUUGUCGGGAGUCACAUCUUGACUUGUCUUGCGCGAACCUCCCCGGCAACGGCGCCAGAAAUCCUUCUUGCUACCUCUUGAGCACUGCGUUGGUUUUCCCUUGAAGAGGAAAGGGUGAUGCAGCAAAGUAGCGUAAGUAUUUCCCUCAGUUUUUGAGAACCAAGGUAUCAAUCCAGUAGGAGGCCGCGCACGAGUCCCUCGCACCUACACAAACAAAUAAAUCCUCGCAACCAAAGCGAUAAGGGGUUGUCAAUCCCUACACGGUCACUUACGAGAGUGAGAUCUGAUAGGAUAAUAUUUUUGGUAUUUUUAUGAUAAAGAGAAAUAAAAGAUGCAAGUAAAACAAAUGGCAAAGGAAAUAACUAAGUAUUGGAAGAUCAAUAUGAUGGAAGAUAGACCUGGGGGCCAUAGGUUUCACUCGUGGCUUCUCUCAAGAGCAUAAGUAUUUACGGUGGGUGAAAAAAAAUAUUUUUGAGCAAUUGACAGAAUUGAGCAUAGUUAUGAGAAUAUCUAGGUAUGAUCAUGUAUAUAGGCAUCACGUCCGAGACAAGUAGACCGACUCCUGCCUGCAUCUACUACUAUAACUCCACACAUCGACCGCUAUCCAGCAUGCAUCUAGAGUAUUAAGUUAAAGAGAACAGAGUAACGCUUUAAGCAAGAUGACAUGAUGUAGAGGGAUAAACUCAUGCAAUAUGAUAUAAACCCCAUCUUGUUAUCCUCGAUGGCAACAAUACAAUACGUGCCUUGCUGCCCCUACUGUCACUGGGAAAGGACACCGCAAGAUUGAACCCAAAGCUAAGCACUUCUCCCAUUGCAAGAAAGAUCAAUCUAGUAGGCCAAACCAAACUGAUAAUUCGAAGAGACUUGCAAAGAUAACAAAUCAUACAUAAAAGAAUUCAUAGAAGAUUCAAAUAUUGUUCAUAUAUAAACUUGAUCAUAAACCCACAAUUCAUCGGUCUCAACAAACACACCGCAAAAGAAGAUUACAUCAAAUAGAUCUCCACAAGAGAGGGCGAGAACUUUGUAUUGAGAUCAAAAGAGAGAGAAGAAGCCAUCUAGCUAAUAACUAUGGACCCGUAGGUCUGAAGUAAACUACUCACACUUCAUCGGAGGGGCUAUGGUGUUGAUGUAGAAGCCCUCUGUGAUCGAUGCCCCCUCCGGCGGAGCUCCAGAAAAGGCCCCAAGAUGGGAUCUCGUGGAUACAGAAAGUUACGGCGGUGGAAUUAGGGUUUUGGGUCCUUAUCUGGCAGUUUGGGGGUACGUAGGUAUAUAUAGGAGGAAGGAGUAUGUCGGUGGAGCAACAGGGGGCCCAUGAGGGUGGAGGGUGCGCCUAGGAGGGGGGGGGGUAGGCGCGCCCCUACCUCGUGCCUUCCUUGUUGAUUGCCUGAUGUAGGGUCCAAGUCCUCUGGAUCAUGUUCAUUCUGAAAAUCACGUUCCCGAAGGUUUCAUUCCGUUUGGACUCCGUUUGAUAUUCUUUUUCUGCGAAACCCUAAAAUAGGAAAAAAAAAC
rnacentral:lncRNA from 1 species